UAAGAGCGCAAUGCAUACAUGAAAGCAUAGUCAUGCGUAUUUUCUAGUCAAACUUAUUACAAAUAAUUGUAUGAAAGUUGGAUUGAUUUUUUUUUAGGGUACGGAUGUUGUAGAGGGUCUUGCACUGGAUGUAAGAGCAUCAGAAGCUAAAUCACUGAGCACAAGAUCAUUUGCAAAAAUGAAACGCUUAAAUUUACUCCAAAUCAAUGGAGCACAUCUCACCGGAUCCUUCAAACUGCUUUCUAAAGAGUUGAUGUGGAUUUGUUGGCUUCAAUGUCCUUUGAAAUAUUUUUCAUCUGAUUUUACCUUGGAUAAUCUGGCUGUUCUUGAUAUGCAAUACAGUAACCUCAAAGAACUAUGGAAGGGACAAAAGGUGUGAAACAUUCUACAAUCCCCAAAAUUUCUCCAGUAUGUAAUUUAUAUUUACAUGUUAUGACUUUCUAUGAUUAAUUUUCAUUAUUUUGCCCUCUAUUAAGACAGAUUCUCAACAGGUUAAAAAUCCUCAAUCUCAAUCAUUCUAAGAACCUUAUUAAAACACCAAACUUGCACAGUUCAAGUCUAGAGAAACUAAAGUUGAAAGGUUGCUCGAGUUUAGUUGAGGUGCAUCAAUCAAUUGAAAAUUUGACAAGCCUUGUUUUCUUGAAUCUGGAGGGAUGUUGGAAUCUGAAGAUUCUUCCUGAAAGCAUUGGCAAUGUAAAGUCUCUUGAAACUUUGAAUAUUUCUGGGUGUUCACAACUUGAGAAAUUGCCAGAAUGCAUGGGUGAUAUGGAAUCCUUAACCGAGCUGCUAGCAGAUGGGAUUGAAAAUGAGCAAUUUCUCACUUCAAUUGGACAAUUAAAGCAUGUCAGAAGGUUAUCGUUGUGUGGAUACAGUUCGGCUCCACCAAGUUCUUCUUUGAAUUCAGCAGGUGUUUUGAAUUGGAAACAGUGGCUGCCAACAUCUUUUGGAUGGAGAUUAGUGAAUCAUCUUGAGCUUUCUAAUGGUGGUUUGUCUGAUCGCACAACUAACUGUGUUGAUUUCAGUGGUUUGUCCGCUCUAGAAGUAUUGGAUCUAACAAGAAACAAAUUCUCUAGCCUGCCUUCUGGGAUCGGCUUCCUUCCCAAGCUAAGGCGGUUGUUUGUUCUGGCAUGCGAAUAUCUUGUAUCAAUCCUAGAUCUUCCCUCAAGUUUAGAUUGUUUGGUUGCAUCUCAUUGCAAAUCAUUGAAAAGAGUAAGAAUACCAAUCGAGCAAAAAAAAGAUCUAUAUAUAGAACUACAUGAAAGUCAUUCGUUAGAAGAGAUUCAGGGCAUCGAAGGUCGAAGUAAUAGUUUCUGGUAUAUUUGUUCUAAUCAGUUCAGUCAUUCACCAAAGAAAUUACAGAAAAGCGUUGUUGAGGUACUAUUUCUUUCAGUCUCUUUUGCACACGAAGAAACACACAAUUGGUACAUACAUUGAUUAAUGUCUAAAAUCUCAGCAUUUCUUGAAAUCAAUAUGUAUACAGGCAAUAAUCAUCAUUAUUAUUAUUUUAUUUUAAAAAAUAAAUAUGUUUAAUAAUAUUUUUUAUUUUUCUUAUUUAAUCUAAAAAAUUAAAUAUUAUCUUUAAUAAUAUGUUUUUAUUAAAUAUUUAAAGUCUGAUUGGUUUUAUUUUUUAAUUAUUUCUUGAUUUUAUGAUAAUAUACAGGUAAUGUGCAACGGUCGUCACCCGUAUCGUAUUUCCCCCAUUCGUGGUGAGAUGCCAAAUUGGAUGAGCUGCAGUGGAGAAGGAUGUUCAUUGUCAUUCCAUAUACCUUCAGUCUUCCAAGGCUUAGUUGUUUGGUUUAUCUGUCCACUUGAACCCGUGACAAUUGAAUUCGAUUCUCGCAUUAUUAUUAUUAUAAGAAAUAAAAGCAAUGGUAUUCAAUUGUUUGAAGAUAAACGAACACCAGGAACUGACAUGUUUUUUAUUGAGGGAUUCAUAAGAUACAUAAGUAUAAGUGAAAUGGGAAUGGAAGAUUACUGUGGAGAUGACGAAUUGGAACUCUGCAUUUAUUCAGAGCCAACAGAGCAUGCGGUGCGCCGUCUUCCAUUCUACCCCGUACACAUUAAAGAAUGUGGGGCCCAUGUGAUCGCAAAGAAGUUAAAUUCAUUUGAAGAGUCGGCAAUGGGAAGAGCUACAGUGAUGCCUUCACCAUCGCUGUAUCAUCUGCUUCCUCAUCCCCAUUGUGGUUCAAUUACAGCAUCUACACCUAAGCAAUGGAGUAAUUAUUUAUUUGCGAAGCUGCAAGAAUAUAACCUCAGUUUAACAUUUCAUGGUAAGAACAAAUAUUUCCUUUAGUUAUUUUUAUUCUAUUAUAUUUAAUUUAUGAGAUUAAAUAUUAUCUUUAAUUAUUUCAUUAUUAUUAUUUAAUCUAAAACAUUAAAUAUCAUCUUUAAUUAAAAAAUAUAUAUAUAUUUAAGGCUUUUUGGUAAGAAUACAUAUUUCCUUUAGUUAUUUCUAUUUAAUUUAAGAGAUUAAAUAUCAUCUUUAAUUGUUACAAUAUUUUUCUUAUUUAAUCUAAAAUUUUAAAUAUUUUCUUUAACAAUAUUUUUUAUUAAAUAUUUAGAGUCUACUUGGUUUUAUUUUUUUUCUUGAUUUUAUGAUAAUAUUUUUCUUAUUUAGUAUAAAAAAUAAAUAUUAUCUUUAAUAAUUAGAUCUAUCGAAUAUCACUUAAAAAAUAAAUUAUAACUUUAAUAAUUAUUUUUUGAAAAACAAAAAGCCAACAAUCACUAACAUAUUUUAUUAAAAUCACUUUAGUUUAUUUAGAAAAUAUUGAAAAUUGAUUAUUUUUUUUACAUUAAAAUAAAAAAAUUAAAAAAUGUUUUUAUAUUUUAUUUCAAAGUCGAUAUUUUAAAACAAAAAUGAAAAAGAUGUGAUAUUAACCUUUUUUAUUAUAAAGUAAGUUUUUUAAUUAAAAGUGAUGAGAAUUUGUUCGUAAUAACAAAAUGCAUGUUUAAUUUUCUUUUCAAACUUGGAAUAUAUUUCUAUUGAAUUUGAUGGUUUUUUUAUCUUAAAACACUUGCCAGCAAUCUUGUUUUUUCAAUGCUGCCAUUUAGCAAGUGGAGUACUGUAGCUUUUCCACAUACAUUGAAUAAUAACAGUUUGAAUAAAUAACAAGAAAAUAGAAAUUAGUUUUAUUAAUUUGAACGGUACAUCAUUCAUCGAAUAAAUUACAAAAAAGUAUUAUUGAGAUACUAUUUUUUUCAGUUUCUAUUGCACCAAAAUAAACACAUAUAUUUGUCACAUAUAUUAAUUAAUAUCAAAAAUCUCUGUAUUCCUUGAAAUCAAUAUGUAUACAAGUAAUAAUCAUUAUUAUUUUAUUUUAUUUUAAAAAAUAAAUAUCAUAUUAAAUAAUAUUUUUUAUUUUUCUUAUUUAAUUUAAAAAAUUAAAUAUUAUCUUUAAUAAUAUUUUUUAUUAAAUAUUUAAAGUCUGAUUGGUUUUAUUCUUUAUUUCUUGAUUUUAUGAUAAUAUAUUUAUACAGGCAAUGUGCAACGGUCGUCACCCGUAACGUAUUGCUUCAUUUCGUGGUGAGAUGCCAAAUUGGAUGAGCUACGGUGGAGAAGGAUGCUCCUUGUCAUUCCAUAUACCUCCAGUCUUCCAAGGCUUAGUUGUUUGGUUUGUCUAUCCACUUGAGAAGGAUUGUCAUAACCUAUUUUUAGGUUAUUUUUCAAUAUAUAUAUUUUUUUUUCUUCAAAAAAAUUACAAAAAAAAUCUAAAAAUAUUAUAAAAAAUAUAACAGUAAAAAGAGGAUGUCAGAACGCUCAGAAAAUAGUUAAAAUUUGGUUGAGGAGGUUUAAAAAUAUAAAAAUUAAAAUUUGGUAGUAUUUUAUUAACUGAUGAUAGCCCUGUUGACAAAGAAAAUUCAAUUUGAGAAAAAAAAAGUCUAAAAUCAGAUGUUGAGGGACUCAAUUAAAUUAUAUUGAAAGUUUAAUUGAAUUUAUGGAGGGUUUGAUUGUAAGAAAAAUUGAUUUUGGAGUUAAUUUGGGCUUUAAUUGGAAGAAAUUAAAGUUCUGGGGUCAGAUUAUAUUUUUUUUUAGAGUUGAUUUGGUCAAAUUGGGGGCUUAAUUGCAUAAAUAUUAAAGUUUGAUGGCCAAUCGGGGACUUAAUUGAAGAAAUCUGAGACCAAGGACCAAAAUGCAAAACGCGCGCAAAUUGAAGGAUUGAAUUGAAAUCUAGCGCUUUGGCUCCAAUUUUCAUUUAAAUGAAACAGUGCGUUUUAAGCAAAACGACGUCGUUUCAUGCACUUUCCAAAAAAAAAAAAGAGGACGAAACGGUGCCGUUUUGAGGCGGCACUGUUUCUUCUUCUUCUUCCCCUGGACAUGCAGCAGGGGAAGAGGCGUUUUUGUUUUCUUCUCUUUGUUUCUUCCUCUCCCUCCCCAUGUGCUCUGUUACAACCAAAACCGGUCGCCACUUGCCUCAUGAUGAGAUGCCAAAGCAGUCGUGCCCCGCAAGCGACGCCUCCAUUGGCCACCUCUGUCGGCGCCGUGACAGAGCAGGAGACGUGCGACGCAUGCAUGGGCAACGAUGGGACGGGGCAGGGUCGACCCCGCUCCCCUUGCCCCUAUAAAUAGUGACCCGAAAGGAGAAAAAAAGGAACACGGGAGAAAACAGGGAGGGAAACCGAGAGAGAGAAAUCGAUAGUGUUGAGAGAGAAAUGACUGAAACAGUAGAAACCAAAAAAACCGGGGAUAUCGAUAGGGAGACCGAGAGAGACAGACGGGGAGAAGGAAGAAAAAGGACAAAAGAGGUAAACCGAUGGGGAAGAAGACACUGACUGGUGUCUCUACACAGCGGAGAAGAAGCGCCGCUGCUGGCAUUGGGCUUCACAGUCACCGCCACCGCAACACCACCGAGAACGUUCACCAGCAUCACCGUCAGCUCAGCCAUCCGAGAUCACCACCUCAGGUAAAUUCUCUUCCCCUCACGCCGAUAAUUAUUCAUCUUCUUGCUUGUAGAACGUGCACUGUGCACGUUCUGCAUGCAAGAAGAAAUAAUUAGUCGGUUACCGUGCAUGCGCACAGUAACCGGCUAAUUAAUUAACUAGUUACUGUGCUCAUGCAUAGUAACUAGUCAUUGGUUUCUUCUUCUGCGAGUUGGAACAUCAGCCCAGCCCACGCGACUGGGCUGAGUCCAACCCCCUUUUUUUUAUGCGGGCUGGAACAUCAGCCCAGCCCACGCGGCUGGGCUGAGUCCAGCCCUGUUAACUGCGGCCUGGAACAUCAACCCAGCCCAUGCAGCUGGGCUGAGUCCAGCCUUGUUGCUGGGCCAAUACAGGCCCAACCCAGUUCAUUUCAUUUUUUCUUUUUUCCUUUUUGUUUUGUGUUUUAUAUAUAUAUAUUGUGAUUUUCCCACGGAUUUUUCUACGUCAUUUUAACUAAUAUUGGUCUAUAUUUUUUACUCGGUUUUCAAAAAAAAAAACUUUUGCUUUCAUGCAUACGGCCAAGUCUCUCAAAGCUAAAAAAUCAUAUUGUAUUUUUAUACAACAAAGAAAACUAAAAAAAUAUAUAUUAUUUUAGCAUGCAUUUUAGCUUUAAUAACCAGUUUAUUAAAGUCAUGAUAACUUGGCCAAUAUUUCAAAAAAUCAAAAAAAAUAUUUUGUUUUGUUUUAAUGUCUGGGAUUACGAAUUUAUACGUAAAACGUAUUCCCGAUAUUAAAAAGGUAGUUCUUUUAUAGACAUUAGGCCGGUUAGAUUUUUACCCCAUAAGAUAAGAACCUCCUUACUGAGGAGGGCUUUUCUUGAACCCUAGACAGACCAACAUGAUAAGACCUUAGAUUUUUUAUUAGACAAUAAAACAAUGCAGCUUACCUUAGGUAGGGUGUAUUUGAGGUGCUAAUACCUUCCCUUUGCGCAACCAGUCUCCGUACCCGAUCUCUAAGACCAGUUAGGGUUCCUAGUGAUCAGAAUACUAGGUGGCGACUCUCAUUCCAUUUUUUCACCGCUAAGAGACAAAGAAUUCCUUGUUUUACCAUAUUUUCCAGAAUAGAUAGACAUACCACAUUUGAUGAUGAGGGUGGUGGAUGAUCGCCGCACACGUGCGAUAGAAUGGUGACUCCACUGGGGACCCAUCAAAUCAAUCAACAGAAAAAAAAAUCACCAAGCCGAUGCCGCGCGGGUGACAUGCGACAAGGAUGAUCAUUAUUACUCACGGUCUGGCACUAUUAUUAUUAUUAUUAUUAUUAUUAUUAUUAUAAGAAAUAAAAGCAAUGGUAUUCAAUUGAUUAAAGAUAAACGAAUAGUAGGACCUUUCCUACCAAAAACUGCGGGAUGGAUAAGAUACAUAAGUAGAAGUGAAAUGGAAAAUGGAAGAUUACUGUGGAGAUGACGAAUUGGAACUAUACGUAUAUUCAGAGCCAAGAGGAGAUACAGUGCGCAUCAUUAAAAAAUGUGGGGUUCAUGUGAUCGCAGGGAAGUUAGAUUCAUUUGAAGAGUCGGAAGUGGAAAGAGAUAUAAUGAUGCCUUCACCACCGUUGUAUCAUCUGCUUCCUCAUCUCCAUUGUGGUUCAAUUACAGCGUCUACACCUAAGCAAUGGAGUGACUAUUUAUUUGCGAAGCUGAGUAAAUAUAACCUCAGUUGAACGCUUCAUGGUAAGAACAAAUAUUUCAUUUAGUUAUUUCUAUUUUAUUCUAUUUAAUUUAAGAGAUUAAAUAUUACCUUUAAUUAUUUCAUUAUUAUUAUUUAAUCUAAGAAAUUAAAUAUCAUCUUUAAUAAAAAAAAUUAUUAAAUAUUUAAGGCUUUUUGCUAAGAAUACAUGUUUCCUUCAGUUAUUUCUAUUUUAUUCUAUUUAAUUUAAGAUAUUAAAUAUAAUCUUUAAUUAUUUUAUUUUUCUUAUUUAAUUAAUCUAAAAAAUUAAAUAUGUUCUUUAAUAAUAUUUUUUAAAAAAUAUUUAGAGUCUGAUUGGUUUUAUUUUUUAUUUCUUGAUUUUAUAAUAAUAUUUUUCUUAUUUAAUUUAAAAAAUAAAUAUUAUCUUUAAUAAUUAGAUCUAUCAAAUAUCACGUAAUUAAUUAUAUCAUUAUUUUAUUGGUAGCAACUUAGGAGUCUUUUAAGCCAAAAGAAUAAUAGCUAGGAAGAGCUAAAAUUAGCAAGGAAUAUUUAGAGUCUGUUUGAUUUUAUUGUUUUUCUUUGAUUUCUUAAUAAAAAAAAUCAAAUUCUUGAAAACAAAAAUUGAAAACUUAUACGUUUUGAUUUUGAUUUUAUUUUUGAAAAUGAAAAGCCACCAAUCAAUAGCAUAAUCUAUUAAAAUCACUUUGUUUUAUUUAGAAAAUAUUGAAAACUGAUUUUUUUUACAUUAAAAUAAAAAAUUGAACAAUAUUUUUAUAUUUUAUUUCAAAUUUGAUAUUUUAAAACAAAAAUGAAAACGAUGUGAUAUUAACCUUUUUUUUAUUAUAAAGUAAGUUUCUUAAUUAAAAGUGAAGGUGAUUUGUUUGUAAUAACAAAAUGCAUAUACAAUCAUGCAAAAGUUGUAUUUAAUCAACUCUGCUAUUGAAUUUAAUGGUUUUUUAGGGAACAAAUGAUAUGGAUGAAUGUGAGAGCACAAGAUCAUUUUACAAAGAGAUUGAUUGGUACUUAAAAAUAUAUUUUUAUUAAGGUUUUAUAUCAUCAUAUUGCAUUUAAAGUAUAAUUAAAUUCUCUAAUUUAAGCAUAUUUUAUAAUAACAAGUCUGAUAACAUAAAAUAUAUUUAAUUUAUGGUAAAUGCUCAUUUUGAAUGCAGGCAUAUCUCACAAUUUAAAGGAUUGAUUGAUGUGUUUAACUAUUAAAAGUGAAAAGACAAAAAGAAGGCUAAGCUUAAAGAAGAAAUGUUGGUUCAAUUCAAACUGGAAUAUCAUUAUGUUAUUGAAUCAUAACUAUAGCUAUAGAACAUGGAUUUAGGUUUGGUUUAUAUGGAUGGAAAGCUAAGACAUAGGCCUAAAACUUUCAUGAAGAGUUCAAGAUUCAAAACGGCCCUUUUCAAGUUCAAAUUAUAGCAACAAAAGAGAAGUCGAAAUAUGACUUGUAACCUAGACACUGUUCAGUGUUCAGCCCAUAUCUCGAGUUCUAGAAGUUCAAAUAAUCUCAUUCUUGUUUUGUUGGAAAACUGAGACAAAUGCCCAGAAGUUUCAUGAAGACUAUCUGUUCAAAUUUUGAUGUUAGCAUGUUGUGUUCAGACAAGAAGAUAAUGGUUGUCACCAAGUCAAUAGGUGGCCACCCACUUAAUAAUUAGUCAUUAAAUCAAUAGUUCUGAAUUUUGGACUCUAAAAGAAGGCAUUUGCCAUACAUUUAGACAUCUUGGUGUUCAGAUCAAGAUCUUGCUCUCACUCUCUCUAUUUGUAUUUUGUAAUGUUCAAGUUUUAUUUUAUGUUAUAUUAAUCUCUUAUUUAUGCUUUUCAUUUCUUUUACUAUACUUAGUUAACUUAUAUCAUGUUUAUGUUAUUAUGUUGUUUAUUUAUGUUUUUCUUCUUCAUGAUGUUUAUCUAAGUUAAUUUUGUCAAGGUGAAAAGGGUACACUAAUGGUGUAAGAAUAAGUAUAAUACAAACUCCACAUAGACUUUAAUGUUUAAUACUAACAUGUUUUGUAUUUGUUAUCUUACUCACUCUUUAUACCUUACUUGUUAAAUGGUUAAUCUAAAUUUAUGUUGUACAACCCUUGGCAUAACAAAUACUUGACACUUUCAUAACCUACUGUAUGGUAUAAUCAACACUUGUGCUAUGAAAGGAACUUGAUUUAUUGUUAACAUAAAUUAUCAUCAUGAAUACCUGACCACAUUUACAAGUAUUGGCAUUACUCAAAUAAGAUAAUUAAUAUAAUCAUGUAUGUGGUUUCUAGUUGAGUAAUAAAAAGAGUUUAUACUAUACUUAUUUGAAAUACCUCUAACUUUAACAAUUGUUUUAUCCUUGUUUAAUCCUUACAUCAAUAUCACAUUUCAAAAGUUCUCUUCAACUCCUUUUUAAUUGUUGUUUAUAAUUUUAUAUAAUUCAUCUCCCUGUGUUUCAACCCCGGUCUUGCCGGGUUAUUUAUUACUUUGACACUCCUGCACUUGAUAUAAGACAUCAAUCUCUUGAUCGUGUUAGAGAUGCUUGAAGUUACUCUUUAUUGGUAUGGUAGUUGUUUCUAACGAGUUGAUAAGUAUUUGUUAGCUUGAAGAUUAUUUUCCAAACUUGGAAGUUAUAUUGAAUGCUUUUUGAAAUCUUUUCCAUCCGAUUUGAAAUUGGACAACCUAAUUGUUAUUAUCCAUUAUGUAAUUUAUAUUUUCAAGUUUCAACUUUUGAUGAAUAUUGUAUUGAAUGCUCUUUGAAAUCUUUUCCAUCCGAUUUGAAAUUGAAAAACCUAGUUGUUAUUAUCCAUGACGUAAUUUAUAUUUUCAAGUUACAACUUUUGAUGAAUAUUGUUUCCUUUUUUUCUCACUUCUUGGAAGUAUUCUCAAAAAGAUGAAAAUCCUCGAUCUUAGUUAUAAAUAAAUUGGUUUUCUAGGAAGAGAUUAUUAGGUGGGAUAUAUUAUUUGAGUUGGUUCUUCAUCAUUUAAUGUUAUGAUUUAAGAUAAUUGAUGAAAACUACCAAUACACAAGAAUGUUUAGAAAGCAUCUUUAAUUGGUCUAAUAAGUAAAGUCUUGUUAGUUUUGGCCAUAAGCUAUGUAUUAUUGCUUGUUUUUUACUAUUUUUUUACCUUUUUUGUUUUUUGUAUAUACAACUUUUGUUUUUCUUGCGAGUUUCUCAUUAGCUUUAUGGCACUAACAUCAAUUAAUAAUAAAUCUUGGACUAUUAUUAAAUAAAAAAAAACAUAAACAUUGUUAAAACACCAAACUUGCAUAGUUCAAACCUAGAGAAACCCUAUGCCAAUAAUCUAAUUUAAAAAAAUAAUUAAUUUAUCCUUGUAGUCUUAGAAAAUAGUAUUUAAUCCUUAUGUUUUUACAUUUAUCUUUGAUUUAACCUUUUACAUCUAUUUCAUCUUAUUAUUUUGGUUUACUAAGUAAAGUCUUAGAAACCUAUUUAUGGUCUUAAACAACUUAAAAAGGCUCAAAAACCUAAAAUGAACUCAAACCUGAAAAUCUUCAUGCUGAGAGGUCUGUUUCAUCAAGCAAGGAAAAAGAAAAAAAAAACAUAGGUGAAACUUCCCUCAUCAAAUAAAAUCCAAUGACACUAGGAUUGACUAUUUUGGUGGCUAGAAUAGAAGUCAACGAUAACAUUUUCUUUCCACGUCGGAAUCUAGCAAGUUUCUCUCUUCUCUCACAAAAAAAAACUAAAAAAUAAGGAAAAUAAAGUUUGGUAUUAAAAUCAAAUUUCCGACAACUAAAGAGACCAAUCACCUAUUAACUAAAAACAAUUGGGGACCGAACUAAGUUUUUCAUAUGAAAUAUGAAGUUGACAUCUAUUUUCUCCAUGUUUUUUACUUUGGUUAUCUAUCUUUCAAUCCAACCCUUUCUUCAUAAAAAUAGAAGUAACUUUGUAUUAAUUUGGACUAAAAAAGGUACAAUAGUGCAAAAACAAAUUGAGGAUCAAAUUGAGAAUUAAAAAAUAAUUGAUUAUUUUAAUCUAUAAUGAUAUGUGAGAGAGUGCACAUUAUAAAGUGAAGAGAAAAAACUCCACAUGACUUUGAAACACCUUUGAUGGUUGAUUGAAAUUGGUAAGUGAGUUUCCUCACAUGUUGUUUUUUCGGUUUUGAGUCCAAAUAUGGAGAUUUUAUGAUUUAAGGUAUUUUUCAUGAAUGCAACCCUUCAUGUAUUCAAUAACUUAUUUUCUAGUAUAAACUACGUUUGAAAUAAAAUUGAUAAAAGACAUGUGGUACACAAUUAAUGAUGGCAUGUAUAUAAAAAUAAUUAAAUUGAAAAUUUUCAAUUAUCUUUAAAGAUAUCAUGGUUUUAGUCGGUUAAAUUAUAAAAAAAAUAUUUAAUUUUUUGAUAUAAAUAAUAAUAACAAAUUAGAUAAUAGUAACAAGAAAAUAGGAAUUAGUUUGAAUAAAUGGUACCAGUUCCUAUUAUGAUAUAUCUAGAGAAGAAGUUUGAAGAAUAAAAUGAAGUGAAAUAUUCUUAAUAAAAAAAGAAAAACACAAAAAGAAAUAAAAAAAUAUUCUUAAUAAAUAUAAAAGAUGGGUGAAAUUAGAGAACAAGAAAGAGAUAUAGAAUCUCUUUGUAAGAUUUCUAAAAACUUAAUUACAAUUAUAUUAUAAUUUCUUCCCUAAAAUUAUUUAAAAUAUAGUAUUAGAAUUACAUAAUGCUAGGUUUUAAUAUAUAAUUAAAGAGUUUCUCCUUAACCAAAUAUAAAAAUAUUUUAUAAUUCUUUUGAAUGAAUUAUUAACGGAGGGACUGUUUUGGGUCCCUAUUUAGCUGAUUUUAUUUGAAUAUAUUAUUUGACUAGUCCAUUUAUAGGUUUACUCUACUAUUCUUGCCUUACUGGAACCGGAAAAUUCACUCGAAAUUUCUAGUAGUUUACACAGAAAUUUCCUGUGCUAAACUUCAAAGAAUUUCUUUUCUUUUCAUUUUGUAUUUUCUCAUUUUCUUGGCAUGCGCGCAGCUGCAUCAAGGAAAAAACGUUUCAGAUGCGUGUAAUAAAUCCAAUCGAUGAAUGAGAAAGGGACGCAAAAUAAAGAUAAAAGUGGAAUAUUCUCAUUAAUUGGUCAUCAUUUAAACGUUGGACACAGCCAUCUAUAUGUUGUUUAAAGAAUUUAAAUGGUUAGUCAGAAAGGAUUGCUUUUUAAUUAAAAAUAUAUUAAAAUAAUAUUUUUAAUGCCAAGUAUUUGUUCAACCUCAUUAAUGCUAACGAGUGGACCCAGUUGUUGUGGAAACUUUGCUAGGGAUCUGGAGUGUCAUAAUCCAAAAUUAUUCCUUAAAAUUUAUAUUUUUUCAAAAUAAAAAUCAAAAAAAUAAAAUAAAGGCUGGCAACGUGGAGAAAGCAGGCCGGAAAAUCAAGCUGUAAUUUUUGGAGGAAAUUCAAGGCGUAAUUGUACCCCACUAUGCCCCAAAAUAGAGAGAAAAUAUAAAUUCAAGGUCAAAUUAAAUGAUUAUUUGACAAAUUUGCAUAAACAUUAAGUCCGAUGACAUAAUUAAAUUUUUAAUAGGCCAAUUUGAUUUAAUCACGGGCCAAAUUAAAUUUUAAUUAUGUUUAAGAAUUAAUUUGCGUCCAAUUGAAGGAUUUAAUUAAGUGCAAGGACUUAAUUAUACUUUAAAUGGGUCAAAUUAAUUUUAUUUUGGGCUUAAUUGGUGAAAACUUAAGUUUGGGAGCUUAAUUGAGAAGAUUGGAAUUUUAAGAGACCAAAUUUAAUUCUUACCAAGUUAAUUGAUUGAAAUUAGGGGCCCAAUUGCAAGAACAUUGAAGUUUUGGGGUCAAUUGGGGGUUAAAUUGAAGAAAUUGACAGCUAAGGACCACUCUGCAAAAGGCGAAAACAUUUGGGGACUUAAUUGACAACCACCGGGGCAAAAUUGAAGAAAUUGAAAGUAUAAUGGUCAAUUAGAGGUUAAUUUGACAAAAUUCGAGACCAAGGACCAUAUUGCAAUAGGCGCGUAACUUUGGGGUUUCAAUUGAAGUUUAUCAGGGGCUUAAUUGCAUUAAAUCCAAAGUUAAGGGUUAAUUAGGGGUUCAAUUGAAACCAAUUGAAAGAUGGAGGACUAAGAUGAAAAUAUGUUAAAAUCCCUAAUUCAACUCAAAAUGGCGCCGUUUUAUAUUAAAAAAGAGAGAGAGAGAGGGGACCAGACGACGCGUUGUCGGGUCACUGUUCAUUGUCUUCUUCUUUUACCCGAAAGAAACUGCUUGGGAGCCUUAUUUGCAGGUGCAUUUAAUGCUUGAUUUCUCCAUAAAAUUGAACAAAACUUGCACGAAAAGGAUCCCCUGCAAUUCCUCUACAAACCCAUGUGAACUUUUCAGGAUUAAUGACAGCACAGCUACGCCGGAGAUGGCGUGAAGAGGUCAACUCAGGCAGCCUUUUCCUGCAGAUUUGACAACUCAGGGAGGCUACUUUGAGCCAACAGUUGGGAUCCUUCCCAACAGAAUCAAGAGCUAAAAUUUUACCCCAGUGCAAAAGAGAUUACCCUCUUCGACCGCCUAUAAAUAGAGGCUGAUUUGAUGGCCUGAGGGAGGAAAAAAAAUCGGGUCCAAAAUUUGAAAAAAACAAGCUCCCACUGCCCCCGUUUCUGCAAUUUCUCUCUCUCUCUCCGUCGCUUCAACCACCACCAACCUCAUCACCAGCUUCUCCACCACCAGCUCCAUCACAGUAAGCCACCAACCGACCACCGAGAGCCACCGUGAACCUUUCUCUCUCCUCUGCAAACCGGUUUCUUCUUUCUCCCACAGCGACUCCACCGGCCAAAACUCUCCACCAACGCCGCCAUCAGCCUCUUUUCUUCCACGACCAGACCACCGCCAACUUCACGCCAGGCCAGAGACAGCAGCUUCUUCUCCUCCGCAAGGUCGCCUCCCACUUCACUCCGCCGUCUGCGCAAAGUUGCAUGCAGAACAUGAACUUACUGUUCACGUUCUACAAUUAAUUCAUCCCUCACUUGGGCCGGGCCAUAAAUGUUUGGCUGGGUCUGGCCCGGCCUCAAAAGAAAAGGAGAAAGAAAAUAUGUUGGGCCGAUAUCGGCCCAACCUUUUUGGACCGAGAUCGGCCCAACUGUUUCUGGGUUUCUGCUUGGUCCAGUUACUUGGGCCAUCCCGGCCCACCUGUUUUAAUAAUAUUUAAUUAAUAUAUUAUAUUAUAUUAUAUAUUUCCUUUUAAAAAAAACAAAAAAAUCCAAAAAAAAUUUCAAAAAUCAUUUUUAAAAAAUUACGAUUUUCUCAAAUAUUUUUCUACCACUUUUGUAUAAUAUCGGGUUGUAUAUUUACACUGUAAAAUACAAACCUGGUAUUAAAAUACCCGGUUUUCUCCUAAAUAUUUCAAAAACAAAAUUCAAAACAUUUUCAAAGAGAAAAAAAAUAUUUUGUUGCAUACGGCCAAAUCUUAAAAUUUUUCCAAGCAUAUUUUUCAAUAAAAAAACAAAAAUUGCAUCUUUCUCCAGUUUUGAAAAUAAAAAAAAUGGAUAUCAUAACCAGUUUGUGAAUAUCCAUUAGAAUUUGGCCAACAUGUCAAAACCUUUUUCCAAUCUUUUUAGGGUUCAGAUGCAGACUUUAGUAUUUGUGGAGUGUAAAAUUACACGAUAAAGUACACCCUCAGGUAUUAAAGAUACAAGGUGUAAAUAAAUGCGAUGCUAAAAUUCAGACUUUAGAAUGGUUAGGAUUUAACCUGAUAAAGUAAAGACUUUCUCAUGAAGAGAGAUCUGCCUUAAACCUUAAAAAAGACCAACGAAUAGAAACCCGAUUUAGAAAAAAACAAUCAAACAACAAUGUAGCUUACCUUAGGUAGGGUGCACUGGGGGUGAUGCGUCUUCCCCUUGCACAACCAGUCUCUUACCCAGACUCUCGCAGACCAUAGGUUUCUAGUGAUCAUAAUACUAGGUGGCGACUCCUAAACAUUAAUCAUAAUUUUAUAAUUAAAUCCAAAAAACCUUCCCAACACACAACACCUCACACAGGAGGCACGACAAGAAGCCUUUGCCGUCGCCAGACGACGUCGCGCCCCUUGCGACAUGGAGGAAGAAAAAUGAUUGCAUUGCUAAUAAUUUGCAAGAGAGAAUUCUUUUUCUGAAUAGAAAAAACUAUUAUUUUUAAAAUAAAAACAACUAAAUAGAAAAAUUAUUAUUUUUUAAAUAGAAAAACUAGAAAAGCCUUGUAAUAUUGAAUAAAAAAUAAAAUAGAAAAAUUAUUCUUUUAAAGUAGAAAAAAUUAUGACAAUUUAAUAAUACUGAAUAGAAAUAAAUCAAAUUUUUAAACUAAAUAAAAAUAAUAGAGAAAAAUAUUUAUUAUCCUAAACUUUUUUAUAUUAAAAUCUUAAUUUAUAACAUGAACUGAGUCUACAUGCUAAAAUUAGAAGAACAAAAAAAAAAUGUAACAAAAAAAUUCCAUACAACACAAUUAAUGAUGGGAUCAUAUAUUUUGAGACUAAAAUGAGGUUUUCGAAUUACCUUUAAACAUAACAUAACAUGAUUUUAAUAGAUGUACUGUACAUCAUUUGAAUUUAUUAGAAAAAACAUAUAAUGUAAAGUAUGAACCACUUACCAUUAACUAGAUUUUUCAAUUGGAUUUUUUAUUUAAAUGAAAAGGAAAAUUUAUUUUAUUAUGAAAAAUAUUUUUUAUAUAUAUCUAGUAAUAAUAAAUUAAAGGAUAAUAACAAGAAAAUAACAAUUAGAUCGAAUAAAUGGUACCAAUUUCUAUUCUGAUAUAUCUAGCCAAAGAAUAGAAUGAAUCAAAAUAUUCUUAAUAAAAAAAAUAGAAAACACAGAAAGAAAUAAAAAAAUGUUCUUAAUUAAUAUAAAACUAUUAAUUUACAAAAGAAAUUUUCUGGUACUUUAUACUGUAUAUAAUUUGAAAAAUUGUGACUGACCGACUUACUUGCAAAGUAUUUGCAAGAAAGUUAAAGAAUUAGAGUUUUUUAAUAUUCAAAAUUAUAAUUUUAAAUUCUACGAAAAAAAUCAAUUAUUUUUAAAACUGUUUUCAAAAAUAAAACAUCAACUAUUUAUAUAAUAGCUAAAUAAAACAAUUAAAAUAAAUAAAAAAAUAACUAGUAAAAUCAAGUGAAUAAUCCAAAAAUAACAAGAAAAUAGAGAUAUUUCCUAAAUAUGAUUUCAGUUUGUUGUAUUGAUCAAUUUGCUAACAUAAAUAGCAUAAACGAACUUUAUUCUAAUAGUAUGUUUGAUAUUUAAAAAAAAAAAAAACUUAUAGAUAUUAUAUGGGUUGGCAACCCAUUUUUUAUUAAAUUUUAAAUUUUAUUUGUUUAAAAAUAUUUGUUUAUGUUUUUUAAUUAUUUUAAUAUGAUAAUAUCAAAAAUAAAUAAAUAAAAUUUUUCUAAGUUUUACUACUUCUGACUUGCUUUGACUCGAAAUUAGUGGUGCUUUCUCCUGCGAAUGAAUAGAAAGCAUAUCAUAAAGGUGUGUUUGACAUUGUGUUUUGGAAGUAUUUUUUAAAAAAAUAAAUUUUUUUAUUUUUUUUCUUCAAAUUAUUUUUUUUGUUGAUGUUUUCAUAUUAUUUUGAUAUGCUGAUGUCACAAAUAAUUUUUAAAAAAUAAAAAAAUAUAUUAUUUUGAUGUGUUUUGAAAUGAAAAAACUUUAAAAAGCAACCGCUACCACACUCUCAAACUCCUUUGUUUAUUGAGUCUUACUGUGAAACCUCGUUUUGGGAUGAAUUGAUUGUAAGAAUAAGAAAUUAUGUGCAAAUUAUACAAAAUUUAUUAUUCAUCAUCAAGAUUUAUUAUUUAUUAUCACUAUUGAAUAAUGAUUUAUUUUAUAAUAUAAAUUAUGUUUAAAAUAAAAUUGAUAAAAUUAAAAUACAUGAAACGAGGUCGUAUAUUUUGAAACUAAAUUAAAAUUAUUUUCUUUUUCAAUGAUAUCAUUUGUUAGUUUGCAAGUCCACAUGUCACGAGUCUCCACUGCAUGAAAUUUGCAAAAUCAUAUGGCCCAUUGAUAGAAGGUGUGUUGAAGCAAAAUCUGUUUUAUUGAUUAUCAAUAUUGAAUAAUAGCUUAUUUUCUAGUAGAAACUAUGUUUGAAAUAAAAUUGAUAAAAGACAUGAUAUACAAUUAAUAAUAGGAUCGUAUAUAAAAAUAGGAAAUUUCCUGGUAAUAAAGUCCCAACUUUCGUAGGCGAGCACUAAAGUCCCAAACUUCAAGAAUUUCUCUUCUUUUCCUUUUGUAUCUUCUCAUUUUCUUGGCAUGCGCGCAGCUGCCUCGAGGAAAAAACGUUUCAGAUUCGGAAAAUAAAGAUAAAUGUGGAAAAAAAAAAUCCCAAAUAAAGAUAUCUUUUCGUCCCUUGGUGUCGUGUGAAUACCAUGUGGAUAUCAUUUCAGAAAAUCAAUUCAACCGUUCUCCAAAGAACACUCAUACUCCAAUAUCAGCAACUACCACGAAAGUUACCACUCUAAAUUCCAGCUCAAUAAUUAAGGUUCCAAGAUAAGCCUAAAAAAUAUUUAUUAGGCUUAUCUUAAAGCCUAAUAAAUAUCUAAAAAAAAACAAAAAAACAAAAUUCCACCCUAGGCUGUGAUUAACAGAUUAUCUGAUGGAAACAUGAUGAGCUUUUUUUUAGUGAAUUAAGUUCAAUUAAAAAAAAAUUAAGGUUAAAUUGAUGAUUAAUAAUGAAUUUUGUAUACUUUGCACAGGAUUUUCUUAUUCUCGUCAAUUAAUCUUAAAGCGAGGUUCCAAGAUAAGCCUAAAAAAUAUUUAUUAUUGAUCAACAAUAUUGAAUAAUGGCUUAUUUUCUAGUAUAAAUUAUGUUUGAAAUAAAAUUGAUCAUAAGAGUAGAUGAUAUACAAUUAAUGAUGAAAUCGUAUAUUUUGAGACUAAAUUAAGAUUUUUCAAUUAUCUUUAAAUAUUAUGGUUUUAAUAGGUGGACAAUGCAUUCUUUGAAUUUAUUACAAGUAAUGUGUAAUUUAAAUUAUAAAAAAAUAUUUAUUUUUCUGAUAUACAUGAUAAUAAUAAAUUUGAUGAUAGCAACAAGAAAAUAGAAAUUAGUUUGAAUUAGUACGUUUCUCAUUAACAUUAAUGAUGGAAUCAAAAUCUUUGUUAGCGGUCACCUGUUCGACCUCAGUAAUGUUAACGCGUGGACCCAGCUGUUGUAGAAACUUUGCAAAGGAUCUCGAGGAAGAAAAAUGAUUGCAGUGUAAGACUUAAUUACCGAUUCUAUGAUGGGGAAUAAAUAUGUUUAUAACAGAAUUGUAAGUUAUAAUAUGUAAAAUUUAAUUAACGAUUCUAUUAUACGAAAUAAAUAUGUUUAUAACGUAAUCGUAAGCCUUAAUAAUAAGAAAUCAAUAUCUCCAUCUAUUAAUGUUCCUCAUGUAUUUAUUAUUCUUUUUUAUAUAUAUUUGAUACUUUCAAACUCUACUCACUUUAUAUAGAUUGUGUAAAACUUAAGAGAACUCAGUAAGUGAGUAUAGAGAUCAAAUAACAUUAUUUAUAGCCAAAGCUUCCCUCAAGCUUUAAUGGCUAUAUGUCCCACAUAUUUAUUAUAUCAUGGGUAGUUACAAGUGAAUCACUUUAAGAGCUUAUAAAUGUAAAUGUUACAACUUUAAAAUGAACGAUUUUAAGAGUUUAUAAAUAUAAAUAUUAUAAUUUUUAGAGUGGAUCACUUUUAGUGUGAAGGAGAGUUAGAGAAUCGAUUAUAAUGACUCUGUAAAAAACAGUCAACAUGCAUUGCUAAUAAUUUGCAACGGAGAAUUCUUUAUUGAGAUUUAUUGUUAAACCUCGCUUUGGAAUGAAUUGAUCACGAGAAUAAAAAAUAAUCACUACAUACACCCUUUAACUAUUUUACUUGAAAGUUUCGAUUAUUUCCUAAGCUCCUUUGUUCAUUUUCUUUUUUAUUACCCCUUCAUGCACGACACUUUAUGCCACUUCAUGAUACCCUUGUUUUCAACGUUUUACACUACUUUAAAAGCGUGUUUGGUAGUGUGGUUGCGGGUGCUUUUCAAAUAACUUUUCGUGUCAAAAUACAUGCCAAUGAUAUUUUUUUUAUUUUUUAAAAAUUAUUUUUGACAUCAGCACAUCAAAACGAUCCAAAACAUAUAAACCUUAUUAAAUUUUAAUUUAAAAAAUAUUCAAUUUUUUUGGGAACGCAGCCGCAUCCGCGUUCACAAACGAGUCCUCAAGUCAAUUGUUAGAUACUAAAAACAGCAAGAACUGUACUCAAUCAGCAACCACUGUGAAAUUACCACUCAAAAUCCCAUGAAUAUAUAUAAAAAAGAAUUUUGUCUAGAAAAAUUCUAUCAAAUUCUCUACUUUAUUACUCUUCAAUGUUUUACACUGCUUUAGUUCUAAAAAAACUCCUAGAUGUUAUAAAGCAAGAUAUAUACAACUAUAUAUAUAUAUAUAUAUAUAUAUAUAUAUAUGAAAGUGUAAUAAAUAUUAUAUUUUAAAGUAUUUUUUAAAUAUAUUAAAAUAAUAUUUUUUUAAAAAUAAUUUUGAUAUUAGUAUAUUAGAAUAAUAAAAAAAUAAUUUAAAACAAUAAAAAAUAUUGAAAUUUUUAAAAAAUAUGAUUUGACUGAACUCCAAAACACACGCAUGCUCCCUCAGCAGCCACCACGAAAUUACCACUCUAAAUUCCAGCUCAAUAAUUUAUUCUUUAGCAAUUAUUGCUUGCUCUUUGACAAGUACUGCUUUGCUAAUAAUUUGCAAGAAACUUUCUCAAUUUCCUUCUAUUUUCUUUUUAUCAUGGAAACUUUAAGUCACAUACCACUAAAUUACCGAUAAUUAAAUUUCAAUGUGUAAUUGUGUAGGUUUCAAUUAAAAAUGUUUUAAUUUGAGAAAAUUUGUUAAAAAAAUAGUAUAAAUUAUAUUUUAGAGUUUAUUUUAAUAGUUUAAAUUUUUAGAUGAAUAGUUUUCUAACAAAUAAAGACAUAGUUUUACGAUAAAAUGCAUUUUUUAAAAUGAAAUUAUAUUAAAUUAAGCAUGGUCGAGAUUAUUCAAAUUAUUAAUUAAUUAUAAUUAACUUUAUGUCUUUAGAGGAAACAAAAGGAAAGGACAAAAUGAUUAAUUAAAUUUUUAGAUGAAUUAAUAAAUCUUUACAAAUAAAAGAUAUAGUUUUUCAUUUUUUGAAAUGAAAUUAUAUUAAAUUAAGCAUGCUCGACAUUGUUCAAAUUAUUAAUUAAUUAUAAUUAACUUUAUGUCUUCAGAGUAAACAAAAGGGAAGGACAAAAUUAUCUUCCCCACAACGAUAAACCUAGCCCCCUUUCCAAACCAAUCCUCUAGUAAAUAGAAUGAUGGUCCCAUAAAUUGCUUUAUUCUUUCCAGCCCGCCAAGUAGUUUGGUCUCCCUCACAGGACCUCCUUAGCAUGGGAAUCAUAUGAAUUUCCUUGCUUUUCUUCCUCUACGCGUUACCUUUCACCUUUUAUAAUUAUUAUUAUUGCAUUGCUAAUAAUUUGCAAGAAAGAUUAUGAACAUUUUUUUUAGUGAAAUAAGCUCAUUUCAAAUUAACAAAAUAUAGUUUGUUGAGGCUUGUCUUGAAACCUCACUUUGGAUUAAUUGACAGGAAUAAUAAAAUUUUAUUCAAAUUAUAUAAAAUAUUAGGUGUGGAUGUGCCCUUGCCCAACAAGCUACCAUGACCUUAUCUAGAGUUGGGUGUUAACGAGACAAGCCCUUGUCCAACUCAGAGUUCGGCAUAGAUAUAUCAUGACCCAACAUAAAGUUUGGAUGCGGAAAAAAUAUAAUUUCAUUUUGAAUUAUGAUUUUUGUUGGAUAGUCUUUAAAUAAAUUUUUUUUUUAGAAAAUCAUGACCCAUAUCUGGUUAUCGGAAAAACAAUUAUGGUUGAUUUAGCCUCAUCUUCUCUGCUUGUAAAAUUGGGGCAGAUUAUGGACUUAACCGAGCAAUUACCGCUCAAAAUUCCUAGCAAUUUACAAAGGAAUUUUCCUUGCUUUUUCUCAGUAUAUUAUUAGAAAAACCGUCAUUGACUGAUUUAAUUGUAAAGUCUUUGCAAGAAAGUAAAAAAAUUAGUUUUUUAAAAUAAAAAAUAUAGAGAGAGAAAUAAAAAAUAAAAAAUAAAAAAAGGAGCGAAAGGAAACAACCGCCAUCUUUCUUGUUCCUUUUCCCUUCUUUACACGGCGUCCUCGAUGAAAAUAGCAAACACCCCAUUUGAAUAUAUAAUUAAAGAAAGAAAGAAAGAGAGGAAAAUUCCUUCCUCAAUACUUACCGCUACACGCUUCAGAAAUUCCUUGCUUUUUUUUUUUUUUUUUUCAUCUCUACUUACGUGUUACCUUUUACCUUUUAUAAUUAUGAUUAUUGCAUUGCUAAUAAUUUCCUUGCAUUUCUUUAAUAUAUAAUUAAAGAAAGAAAGAUGUUGAACACUUUUUUAGUGAAUUCAAAAUAACAAAAUAAGGUUGUUGAGGCUUUUCUUGGAACCUAGCUCAGGGAUUAAAUUAUAAAAAAAUAUAUUUAUUUUUCUGAUUAUAUAGCAAUAACAAAUUAAAUAAUAGCAACAAGUAAAUAGGAAUUAGUUUGAAUAAAUGGUACCAGUUCCUAUUAUAAUAUAUCUAGAGAAGAAGUUCGAAGAAUAGAAUGAAGUCAAAUAUCCUUACAUAAUGCUAGGUUUUAAUAUAUAAUUAAAAAGUUUUCCAUGAACCAAAUAAUAAAAAUAUUGUACAACUUUUUUGAAUGAAUUAUUAACAUAGAGGCUUAUUUGAUUUGAAUAUAUUAUUUGAUUAGUCCAUUUAUAGGUUGUCUCUAUUAUUCCUGCCUUGCAUUGCCAGGAAAUUUCACUAGAAAUUUCUAGUAAUUUAAACAGGAAAUUUGCUGGUGAUAAACCUGGAAUAUGAUUUUCAACUUUCGUAGGCGAGCACUGAAGUCCCAAACUUCAAGAAUUUCUUUUCUUUUCCUUUUGUAUCUUCUCAUUUUCUUUCUAGGAAUGUUAUGAGAAGCAGCAGAGUCAAGAGGCCAUUUUUGAUCCUGUGGACCGGAAGUAGUUGCAUAGUUAGUCGUAACCUCUGAUCAAUGGAGUCGUGGGUAAGACUUGGCUAAAUGGCCUAUCUGAUCAGGAAAUUGGCAUUUCGGUUGAUAAUGCAUUUGAGUGGUACCGAUUGGUUGAAGACUUGCAGUUGUCUUUGAAUGGACCGACCUUGAGGGAUUUUAUUGUGGCCUGGAGACCGAGAAGAUCCAUUAGUCUUAUUUGAACCCUUCGGGUGAGACCCACCAUAUGAACUAUUUAAGUUCUGUUUGUGAAGAUAAGAAUAAUUGGCAGAGGCCACAAGCUGCUGAGUUGAAGAUUCCAAACGCCGCAGGUAACUGUCAUGCCCCUCAAGAAUAUCUUGAAGCUCUUCAAAUUAUCCCAAUAGUUCUUAUAUUAAAAUCUCAUUUAUCAUAUGUUACAUCUAUCAAAAAAAAAAAAAUAAUUUGUGACGUGAACUAAAGCUAUAUGUGAAAACUAGAAAUAACAAAUGUAUGAAAAAAAAAUCAGCUGUGAUUAACAGAUUAACGAUGGAAAUUAAGAUGAUGAAUAUUUUUUUGUAAAUUAAUUUCAAUUUAAAAUAACUACAAAGAAGUUAAUUAGGAUUCCUUCCUUGAAAUUAUUAAAAAUAUAGUAUUAGAAUUAUAGAAUGCUAGGUUUUAAUAUAUAAUUUUUAAUAUUAAUUGUUAAAGAGUCUCUCUCGAACCAAAUAAUAAAGAUAUUAUAUAACUCUUUUGUAUGAAUUGUAAAUCUAGGGAUAGUUUUGGGUUUUCCAAUCACAACUUUGGACUAAAAUUAAUAACAAAAUAAAGACCAAAGAUAACGGUAUGUAAAUCUAGGGACCAAAAAUAAUACAACUGCAUUUACUGUAGAUUUCACUUAGAAUUUCUAGUAAAUUACAAAGGAAAUUUCUUGUGCUUUUUAACGUACAUGAAUUGAAAAACUACCAUUGACUGACUUGCAUUGACUGACUUGCUAAGCAUUUGCUGCUCGAAAUUUUCUCCCUAAAAAUUUUCAAGCAAUUUACGGAGCAAAUUUCCUUAUGCUCUCUCUUGUAUAUUAUUAGAAAAAUUGUUUUUAAAAAUCAAUUUUUUUUUAUUUUCCUGAGAUUCUAUUUUUUAGUCGAGUCAAUUUCAAGUUGGGUUCAAUAAUUAUGAUUAAAUUUACUGAAAAAAAAAUAAUUUUAUGUCACUUCAUGAUACCCAUGUUUUCAACGCUUUACACUGCUUUAAUAAAUUGUUACAGUAAUAGCACAGAGAGGAGCGGUUCCAGAAAAAACAAUAAUGGAGAUGAAGCAAAAUCUGUGUUUGAUUUUUUCUUUUUUGUGUUUUCGGUACAUUGGUCAACAAUAGCUUGGAAGAGUUUGGAAUCAGUAACACGUGGACCCAGUUGUUGUGGAAACUUUGCAGAGGAUCUUCACUCUGCAGGAAGAAAAAUGAUUUUAAUAGAUGUACUGUACAUCAUUUGAAUUUAUUAAAAGUAACGUGUAAUGUAAAGUAUGAUUCACUUACCAUUAACUAGUUGGACAAAAAAACUAAACUUUCUCAAUUUCCUUCUAUUUUCUUUUUAUCAUGGAAACUUUAAGUCACAUCUGCGCCUACCACGAAAUUACCGAUAAGUAAAUUUCAAUGCGUAAUUGUGUAGGUUUCAAUUAAAAAUGCUUUAAUUUGAAAAAUUAUGUUAACAAUAAUAUAAAUUAAUUUUUCUUCAAAAUAAAAAGUAAUUGGGUAUUAAUUUAGGCUAUAAAGAUAAAAUAAUAAUAAUAAAAAAGAGUUCGAGGGUAUUCAUUUUAUUAUUUGUUAUGUAACUAUAUAAUCUAAUUUGUUGAUGUGGAAAAUAGCACAAAGUUUUUGACAUGGAUAUUGGUGAGAAGCAAAAGCAGUAUCCACUAUGAGAGCUUUUGUAAACGCGUGGACCCAGUUGUUGUGGAAACUUUGCAAAGGAUCUGCAGGAAGAAAAAUGAAAUUUGCAAAGUAUUUGUGUGUAUUAUAUAAUUGUGUUAAUUUAAGGAUUAUUUUUUAGUUGUAUUAAUUUAGAAAAUAUUUUGUCUCACCGGAAAACUCUAAUUACGUUCGUAUAUUUGUUUUUGGUAACAGAUGCAAUAUGCUUUUUAAUUCAAGAUAUAUUAAAAUAAUAAUUUUUAAAAAAAAAUUAUUUUUUUUAUUUUAGUAUAUUAAAAAUAAAAAAUUUAAAAAUAGUAAUUUAAUAUUUUCUUAAAAAUAUAUUUAAAAAACACUUUUAAUUUUGUUUUUCAACUGUACUAUUCCUUGAAAAAACUCAAACUCUAAAUAAUAUCUUCUACUACAUACUUUCUAAGACUAAAAAUUAAUCUAAAUGUUUUUGAAAAGUAGUUCAACCAAAGUACCAAAUAUGUUUAUAUACUCCAUCUUCAACCACUGUAAAAUUACCACUCUAAAUUACAACUCGGUAUCGAUUACCUUUUAUCUUUGACAAUUAUUGCAUUGCUAAUAAUUUGCAAGAAAAAAUACAUUCUCAAUUUCCUUCUAUUUUUUUUUUAACAUGAAAAACUUUAAGUCACUCAAUCUGCAACCACCAUGAAAUUACCGGUCCGAAUUCCAGCUCAAUAUUUACCGGUACGACACGCUUGAGGAAUUUCCUUGCUUUUCUUCCUCUACGCGUUACCUUUCACCUUUUAUAAUUAUUAUUAUUGCAUUGCUAAUAAUUUGCAAGAAAGAUUAUGAACAUUUUUUUAGUGAAAUAAGCUCAUUUCAAAUUAACAAAAUAUAGUUUGUUGAGGCUCGUCUUGGAACCUCGCUUUGGAUUAAUUGACAGGAAUAGUAAAAUUUUAUUCAAAUUAUAUAAAAUAUUGGGUGCUGAUGUGCCUUUAUCCAACUUAGAAUUGCGACAAGCUACCAUGACCUUAUCUAGAGUUGGGUGUUAAUGAGACGAGUCCUUGCCCAACUCAGAGUUUGGCAUGGAUAUAUCAUGACCCAACAUAAAGUUUGGAUGCAGAAAAAAUAUGACUUUAUUUUGAAUUAUGAUUUUUGUUGGAUGGUCUCUAAAUAAAUUUUUUUUAUAGAAAAUCAUGACCCAUAUCUGGGUAUCGGAAAAACAAUUAUGGUUGAUUUAGCCUCAUCUUCUCUGCUUGUAAAAUUGGGGCAGAUUAUGGACUUAACCGAGCAAUUACCGCUCGAAAUUCCUAGCAAUUUACAAAGGAAUUUUCCUUGUUUUUUCUCAGUUCAUUAUUAGAAAAACUGUCAUUGACUGAUUUAAUUGUAAAGUCUUUGCAAGAAAGCUAAAAAAAUUAGAGUUUUUUAAAAUAAGAAAUAUAGAGAGAAAAAUAAAAAAUAAAAAUAAAAAAAGGAGCAAAAGGAAACAACCCCCAUCUUUCUUGUUCCUUUUCCCUUCUUUACAUGGCGUCCUCGAUGAAAAUAGCAAACACCCCAUUUGAAUAUAUAAUUAAAGAAAGAAAGAAAGAGAGGAAAAUUCCUUCCUCAAUACUUACCAGUACUACACGCUUGAGAAAUUCCUUUCUUGUUACCUUUUACCUUUUAUAAUUAUGAUUAUUGCAUUGCUAAUAAUUUCCUUGCAUUUCUUUAAUAUAUAAUUAAAGAAAGAAAGAUGUUGAACACUUUUUUAGUGAAUUCAAAAUAACAAAAUAAGGUUGUUGAGGCUUUUCUUGGAACCUCGCUCAGGGAUUAAUUAACAAGAAUAAAAAAAUCCCCUGCAAAUUAAACAAAAUUUAUUAUUAAUCAUUGAUAUUUAUUAUUGAUCAUCAAUAUUGAAUAAUGGCUUAUUUUCUAGCAUAAAUAAAAUUGUUAAAAAACAUGAUUACACAAUUAAUGAUGAGAUCGGUUAUAAAAAUGACUAAAUUGAGGUUUUUCAAUUACCUUUAAACGUAUCAUGGUUUUAAUAGGUGGACAGUACAUCCUAUUAUGUAAAUUAUAAAAAAUUAUAUUUAUUUUUCUGAUAUAUAUAGCAAUAACAAAUUAAAUAAUAGCAACAAGUAAAUAGGAAUUAGUUUGAAUAAAUGAUACCAGUUCCUAUUAUUAUAUAUCUGGAGAAGAAGUUCGAACAAUAGAAUGAAGUCAAAUAUCUUUACAUAAUGCAAGGUUUUAAUAUAUAAUUAAAAAGUUUUCCAUGAACCAAAUAAUAAAAAUAUUGUAUAACUUUUUUGAAUGAAUUAUUAACGUAGAGGCUUAUUUGAUUUGAAUAUAUUAUUUGAUUAGUCUAUUUAUAGGUUGACUCUACUAUUCCUGCCUUGCAUUGCCAGGAAAUUUCACUAGAAAUUUCUAGUAAACGAAAUUUGCUGGUGAUAAACCUGGAAUAUGAUUUUCAACUUUCGUAGGCGAGCACUAAAGUCCCAAACUUCAAGAAUUUCUUUUCUUUUCCUUUUGUAUCUUCUCAUUUUCUUGGCAUGCGCGCAGCUGCCUCGAGGAAAAAACGUUUCAGAUGCGGAAAAUAAAGAUGAAAGUGGAAAAUAGAAGCGGGGAAAAAAAUCCCAAAUAUCGACAAACAUCACAAGAGAAGCUUGAUAUCUCUUCGUCCCUUGGUAUCGUGUGAAUGUGGAUAUUAUUUCAGAAUAUCAAUUCAACCGUACUCCAAAGAACACUCAUACUCCAAUAUCAGCAACCACCACGAAAGUUACCACUCUAAAUUCCAGCUCAAUAAUUUAUUCUUUGACAAUUUUACUUCUAAAAAAAAUGAAUUUUUUUUUAUAAUUAUACGCCAUCAGCAACUACCAUUACGACUCCAAAUUCCAGCUCAAUAUCGAUCAACACGUGGCUAAAGAAUUUGUUUCCUUUUUUUUCCUGCACGUGUUACCUUUUUAUCUUUUAUAAUUAUAAGUAUUGCGUUGCUAAUAAUUUGCAAGAAAUAAUAUUCUUUCUCUAAAAAGGGCUUGAGAAAACCCUAAGCAUAGUAUAUAGUCUCUUAUAGGAAUCUCUUUAUUAAAUCAUCAAAAUAUCAAAGUCUGUUUCCAAAGACUAUGACUACAGUUUAUAUAUAGAAACAACCAAAUAUAAAAAUUAUUUUUUAAAAAUAGAAAAAACAGAAGAGCUUGAUAAUAUUUAAUUAAAAAAUAAAAUAGAAAAAUUAUUCCUUUUUAAGUAGGAAAAAAAAAUAUAAAGAUUUAAUAAUACUGAAUAAGAAAAAUUAAAAUAUUCUUUCUCUGAAAAGGGCUUAAGAAAACCCUAAGCAUUGUAGAUAAUCUCUUAUAUGAAUCUCAUCAAAAUAUCAUAGUAUAUUUCCAAAUACUAUUACGUACUACAUUUAUAUAUAUAUAUAUAUAUAUAUAUAUAGAGAGAGAGAGAAAGAGAGAGAGAGAUAGAGAGAGAAACAACUAAGUAGGUAAAGCUUAUGUUUCUUUGUUCUUGUUCCUUUAUAUAUAUACAUUCUCAAUUUCAUAAAAAAAAUUAAUUAGUCCUUGAAAUCUUAAAAAAUAGUAUUUAAUCCUUAUGUUAUUAUAUUCAUCUCUAAUUUAAUUUUUUUCAUCCAUUCAUCUUUUUAUUUAUUUAAUAGCUUAAGUUUUUAGUUAAAAGAUAAAUAGUUUUACUAUUAAAAGCAUUUUUUCGAAAUAAAAAUAAUAUUAAAUUAGGCAUCCUCAACAUUGUUCAAAUUAUUAAUUAAUUAUAAUUAACUUGAGGUUUAGAAGAAACAAAAGGGAAGGACAAAAUUAUCUUCCCCACAACCAUAGACCUAACCCCUUUCCAGACCAGUCCCCUGGUAAAUGGAAUAAUGGUCCCAUAAACAGCUUUUUUUCUUUCCAGCCCGCCAAGCAGACUAAGGCCUGUUUGUUUCUGUGUUUUAAAAGUGUUUUUGAUAAAAUUUAAAAUUUUUUUGUUUUUUUUAUUAACUUCAAAUUAAUAUGUUUUUAGUGUUUUUAAAUCAUUUUGAUGUGCUGAUGUCAAAAAUAAUUUUUAAAAAAUAAAAAAACAUCAUUAGCAUGUAUUUUGACACGAAAAACUAUUUGAAAAGCAACCGCAACCACACUACCAAACACACUCUAAGCAGUUCGGUCUUCCUCGCUGGACCACCUUAGCAUGAGAAUCACACUAGUUGGAAGUAUCUUUAAACCUCAUAAAAAUGAAUAACUGAUAAUAAUAUAAUUGGGAUUUAAAAAAAAUUCAUAAAAAAAUUUCUUAAAAAAAUCCAAAAAAUUAAACCGGACAAAAAUAAACAACCAAUAAUAAUAUAGUUAAAAUGAUAAAAAAGUGUUUAAAAAGCAAUUUGAAACCAAUUAAUCUUAAAAAAAAAAAACCAAAAAGAAACAUGCGAUGAAAACCAAUUCAUGAAAAAGUAAUUGGAUAUUAAUUUAGACUAAAAGGAUGAAAUAAUAAAAACAAAAGGAGAGUUUGAGGGUAUUCAUUGUUCAAAGGAACGCAAAAAUGCAUUCCAAGUAUGAAGUGUUUUAUUGUUAUAAAGUUUUUCAAACUUACAAUAUGGAGAGAGAAAUAAAUAAAAAGAAAAAAUAGCAAAAGGAAACAGCCCCCAUCUUUCUUGUUCCCUUUCCCACGGCCUACUCAAUGAAAAAGCAAACACCCCAUUGGAUUUCCCACGGCCGCCCACGAAAUCCCUUUAUCCUCUGCUGUUAAUUUUUUAAUGACGCAUAUCAGGUGUUUGAUAAAAUUCCUUAGCUGGGAAAGGAAAAAAAACCAUGUUAAGAAUGCUUUAGUCCUUUUCGAGUGGAAAGUGGUGUGAAAGUGAGAAGUACUGUGAGAGCUUUAUACCACUUUCUAUCUUAGACGUAAUGGCUUUGGCAAAAAGAAACCAAUAAAAGUUAGUGUUCGCACUGCUUUAGUCCAAGAGUCUUUCAUGGUUGCAUUGAUUGACUGGAAAAAAUCUCAAAGUUUUUAGAAAGAAACAGCCUUCAUUGCUUUUCGAAACCAAUCUCAGUAAUGUUAACGCGUGGACCCAGUUAUUGUGGAAACUUUGCAAAGGACCUCGAGGAAGAAAAAUGAUUGCAUUGCUAAUAAUUUGCAAGAGAGAAUUCUUUCACUGAAUAGAAAAAAGUAUUAUUUUUAAAAUAACAACAAGUAAAUUUAAAAAUUAGUAUUUUUUAAAUAAAAAACUAAAAAUUCCUGAUAAUAUUGAAUAAAAAAUAAAAUAUAAAAAUUAUUCUUUUUAAGUAUAAAAAAAUAUAAAAGUUUAAUAAUACGGAAUAGAAAUAAAUAAAAAUUCUAAACUAAAUAAAAAUAUUUUCUAUCCCAAAAAUUCUUAUAUCAAAAUCUCAUUUAUCAUAUUUUAUAUCUAUAAAAAACUAAUUUGUCAUGUGGAAUAAGUCUAUAUGCUAAAAUCAGAAAAAAAAUGUUACAAAAACAAAUUCCACAAAAGGCUGUGAUUAAAAAGAUGAUAGAUAUUUUUUAGUAAAUUAAUUUCAAUUCAAAAUAACAAAAUAAGGUUUAUUGAGGCUUACCGUUAAACCUUGCUUUGGGAUGAAUUGAUCACGAGAAUAAGAAAUCAUGUGCAAAUUAUACAAGAUUUAUUAUUAAUCAUCAAGAUUUAUUAUUUAUUAUCAAUAUUGAAUAAUGAUUUAUUUUAUAAUAUAAAUUAUGUUUAAAAUAAAAUUGAUAAAAUUAAAAUACAUGAAACGAGGUUGUAUAUUUUGAAACUAAAUUAAAAUCAUUUUCUUUUUCUAUUAUAUCCUUCAAAAUUAUUUAUUUUAUAAAAAACAAAACUUGUUAGUUUGCAAGUACACAUGUCAUGAGUCUCCACUGCAUCACUUUUGCAAAAUCAUAUGGCCCACUGUAUAUUUUGAAACUUGUUGAAGCAAAAUCUGUUUUAUUGAUCAUCAUCAAUAUUGAAGAAUGAUUUAUUUUCUAGUAUAAACUAUGUUUGAAAUAAAAUUGAUAAAAGACAUGACAUAUACAAUUAAUGAUGGGAUGGUAUCUAAAAAUGAUUAAAUUGGCAUUUUUCAAUUACCUUUAAACAUGCAUAUCAUGAUUUUAAUUGGUGGACAAUACUGUUAAAUAAUAUAUUUAUUUUGUUUUAUUUAUUAAGAUUAAAAUAAUAUUUUUAGCUUAAUCUAUAUAUAAACUCUUUAUAUUUAGAUUAAGCAAAAAUAAUAAUAUAUAUCAGAAUUCUAGUCUCAUUCCUUUUCGUAUUUAUUUUUAUGUUAAUUAAAUUGUUUUAACAAUACAUCAUGUAAAUUAUAUAAAAAUAUAUUUAUUUUUCUGAUAUAUAAAUACCUCUCUGUCCCAUUGCUGCCAUUUCAUAGCUAACUCUUUGUUAUAUUUAACUUCCUCUUCUUUGCUUCUUGCUCAUAACGAUAACUUGAAAGCCUUACGUUCAGAUAGAUAAUCAUUGACUAGCUCAUCCUAUAUCAUUCUAUUCAAUUUAUAUAUGCAGAAAGAAAAACGCAAGCAAUCCAAAGAUGAAGAAAACGCUUCAUCCUCGCGAAAGAGAAGAAAAGCUGACCUCAGUAAGCCUAUAUAAAGAAUACAAUUAACCUCAUUUCAACAUCAUAGUUAACCUCAUUUCAAUAUCAUAGCUUUGGAAUUUCAUAGCUAACUCUUUGUUAUAUUGCUCCAUUGGUAAUUGAUUGUGCCUUGAUUUCUGCAGCUGCCAUGACAGAGCCAGAGUCUUCUCGAUCUAUACCAGAAGGGGCCUAUGAUGUCUUCUUGAGUUUUAGAGGAGAAGAUACUCGCAAGACGUUUACUGAUCAUCUAUAUGCUGCCUUAGAUCAAGCAGGAAUCCACACUUUUCGAGAUGAUGAUGAACUUCCUAGAGGAGAAGAAAUCUCCGAGCAUCUUCUCAAGGCAAUUCGAGAAUCAAAGAUAUCCAUAGUUGUCUUCUCAAAAGGAUAUGCUUCUUCUAGAUGGUGUCUCAAUGAACUUGUAGAGAUUCUUAAGUGCAAAAGGAAGAAAACCGGUCAGAUUGUUCUUCCUAUAUUCUAUGACAUUGAUCCUUCAGAUGUGAGAAAACAGACUGGCAGUUUUGCAGAGGCAUUUGAUAAGCAUGAAGAGCGUUUUGAAGAGAAGUUGGUGAAGGAGUGGAGAAAAGCUCUUGAGGAUGCCGGAAACCUAUCUGGAUGGAGUCUCAAUGAUAUGGCAAAUGGGUAUGCCUUUUUUCCAAAUUUAUGGAGUCAAUAUACUUUACAUUUUUUAAUGUGAAACAAUAAAAUACUUAAUUGACUCGCUAUCAAUGACUUGCUUUUGUCUAUGAGCAGGCAUGAAGCAAAAUUUAUCAAAGAGAUUAUCAAGGAUGUGUUGAAUAAAUUAGAUUCCAAGUACUUCUAUGUUCCUGAGCACCUAGUAGGUAUGGAUCGGCUUUCUCGCAAUAUUUUUGACUUUGUAAGUACUGCAACAGAUGAUGUACGCAUNNNNNNNNNNNNNNNNNNNNNNNNNNNNNNNNNNNNNNNNNNNNNNNNNNNNNNNNNNNNNNNNNNNNNNNNNNNNNNNNNNNNNNNNNNNNNNNNNNNNNNNNNNNNNNNNNNNNNNNNNNNNNNNNNNNNNNNNNNNNNNNNNNNNNNNNNNNNNNNNNNNNNNNNNNNNNNNNNNNNNNNNNNNNNNNNNNNNNNNGAUGAUAGAGGAAAAGUUCUGAUCAAAGAACGACUUCGUCGCAAAAGAGUUCUUGUUGUUGCUGAUGAUGUGGCUUAUCUGGACCAGCUAAAUGCUUUGAUGGGAGAGCGAAGUUGGUUUGGUCCCGGAAGUAGAGUAAUUAUUACAACAAGAGAUUCAAAUCUUCUUCGUGAAGCAGAUCAAACAUAUCGGAUCAAAGAGCGACUUUGUCGCAAAAGAAUCUUGUUGUUGCUGAUGAUGUGGCUCAUCAGGAGCAGCUAAAUGCAUUGAUGGGAGAUCGAAGAUGGUUUGGUCCCGGAAGUAGAGUAAUUAUUACAACAAGAGACUCAGAUCUUCUUCGUGACGCAGAUAAAACAUGUCAGAUCGAAGAAUUGAAACUAGAUGAGUCCCUUCAGCUUUUCAGCAGGCAUGCCUUUAAGGACACCAAGCCAGCAGAAGAUUACAUUGAGCUUUCGAAGAAAGCCGUUGGUUACUGUGGAGGACUUCCUUUAGCUCUCAAGGUUAUAGGAGCUCUUCUGUACGGGAAAGAAAAAGAUAGAUGGGAAAGUGAAAUUGACGACUUGAGCAGAAUUCCAAACCAAGAUAUUCAAAGAAAGCUUCUAAUAAGUUAUGACGCACUUGAUGGUGAACUACAAAGAGCAUUCCUUGAUAUUGCAUGCUUCUUUGUUGGUAUAGAGAAAGAAUACGUCGCACAAGUGCUAGGAGCCCGUUGCCGUCGCAAUCCAGAAGUUGUUUUGGAAACUCUCCGUGAAAGGUCUCUGAUUCAAUUUCAUGAGUGUAUAAUUGAAGAUGAAAGGCAGUUAUCUGGAAGGACGGUAGCCAUGCAUGAUCUAUUACGAGACAUGGGAAGGGAGGUCGUUUGUAAAGAGUCUCCCUUGCAUCCUGAAGCAAGGACCAGAAUUUGGAAUAAAGACGAUGCAUGGAAUGUACUUGAGCAGCACAAGGUAAGUAAGAGCUCAAUGCAUACACGAAAGCAUAGUCAUGCGUAUUUUCUAGUCAAGCUUAUUACAAAUAAUUGAAUGAAAGUUGUAUUGAUUUUUUUUUUAGGGUACGGAUAAAGUUGAGGGUCUUGCACUGGAUGUCAGAGCAUCAGAAACUAAAUCACUUAGCGCAGGAUCAUUUGCAGAAAUGAAAUGUUUAAAUUUACUCAAAAUCAACGGAGCACAUCUCACCGGAUCCUUCAAAUUGCUUUCUAAAGAGUUGAUGUGGAUUUGUUGGCAUGAAUUUCCUUUGAAAUAUUUUCCAUCUUAUUUUACUUUGGACAAUCUAGCUGUUCUUGAUAUGCCGUACAGUAACCUCAAAGAACUAUGGAAGGGAAAAAAGGUGCGAAACAUGCUACAAUCCCUAAAAUUUCUCCAGUAUGUAAUUUAUAUUUACAUGUUAUGACUUUCUAUGAUUAAUUUUCAUUAUUUUUCUCUCUAUUAUAACAGAUUCUCGACAAGCUUAAAAUUCUUAAUCUCAGUCAUUCUCAGCACCUUAUUAAAACACCAGACUUGCACAGUUCAAGUCUAGAGAAACUAAUUCUGGAAGGUUGCUCGAGUUUAGUUGAGGUGCAUCAAUCAAUUGAAAAUUUGACGAGCCUUGUUUUCUUAAAUCUGAAGGGAUGUUGGAGUCUGAAGACUCUCCCUGAAAGCAUUGACAAUGUAAAAUCUCUUGAAACUCUGAAUAUUUCUGGGUGUUCACAAGUUGAGAAAUUGCCGGAACGCAUGGGUGAUAUGGAAUUCUUAACCGAGCUGCUAGCUGAUGGGAUUGAAAAUGAGCAAUUUCUCUCUUCAAUUGGACAAUUAAAGCAUUGCAGAAGGUUAUCAUUGUGUGGAGACAGUUCGACGCCACCAAGUUCUUCUUUGAUUUCAACAGGUGUUUUGAAUUGGAAACGUUGGCUGCCAGCAUCUUUCAUUGAAUGGAUAUCAGUGAAACAUCUUGAGCUUUCUAAUAGUGGUUUGUCUGAUCGCGCAACUAACUGUGUUGAUUUCAGUGGUUUGUCCGCUCUAGAAAAAUUGACUCUAGAUGGAAACAAAUUCUCUAGCCUGCCUUCUGGGAUCGGCUUCCUUUCCGAGCUAAGGGAGUUGUCUGUUAAGGGAUGCAAAUAUCUUGUAUCAAUCCCAGAUCUUCCCUCAAGUUUAAAGAGUGUGUUUGCAUGUGAUUGCAAAUCAUUGAAAAGAGUAAGAAUACCAAGCGAGCCAAAAAAAAGACUAUUUAUAAAGCUAGAUGAAAGUCAUUCGUUAGAAGAGUUUCAGGGCAUUGAAGAUCUAAGUAAUUGUUUCUGGUAUAUUCGUGUUGAUGACCGCAGGCAUUCAACAAGUAAAUUACUGGAGCGUUGUUGAGGUACUAUUUCUUUCCGUCUCUCUUUCGCACAAAAAGAAACACACACAAUUGACACAUACAUUGAUUAAUGUCUAAAAUCUCAGCAUUCCUUGAAAUCAAUAUGUAUAUAGGCAAUAAUCAUUAUUAUUAUUAUUAUAUUUAAAAAAACAAAUAUCAUCUUUAAUAAUAUUUUUUUAUUAAAUAUUUAAAGUCUGAUUGGUUUUAUUUUUUAUUUCUUGAUUUUAUGAUAAUAUAUUUAUACAGGCAAUGUGCAACGGUCGUCACGGGUAUUUUAUUCGCCACACUCCUGGUCAGAUGCCAAAUUGGAUGAGCUACAGGGGAGAAGGACGCUCAUUGUCAUUCCAUAUACCUCCAGUCUUCCAAGGCUUAGUUGUUUGGGUUGAUAAGGAUGAUAAGGAUGCUCACAUUAUUAUUAUUAUAAGAAAUAAUAGAAAUGGUAAUCUCUUGUUUCAAUGUACGAAAUGGUAUUAUCAUCCAAAAACUGGAAGUAUAAGAUACAUAAGAAGAAGUGAAAUGGCAAUGGAAGAUUACUGUGCAGAUGACGAAUUGGAACUAUACAUUUAUUCAAAGCCAUCACCGUUGGCAAUGGCAAUGGCAAUGAAGGAUGCUGUGAUGCCUUCAUUUGAACCGUCUACACCUAAGCAAUGUGGGGUCCAUGUGAUCGUAGGAAAGUCAGAUUCAUUUGAAGAGUUGGCAGUGGGAAGAGAUGCAGUGAUGCUUCCUCAUCCUCGUUGUGGUUCGAUUACAGCGUCUACACCUAAGCAAUGGAUUGACUUUUUAUUUGCGAAGCUGCAAAACCAUAACCUCAAUUUAAGGCUUUUUGGUAAGAAUACAUAUUUCCUUUAGUUAUUUCUAUUUUAAUAUUCUAUUUAAUUUAAGAGAUUAAAUAUCAUCUUUAAUUAUUACAUUUUUCUUAUUUAAUCUAAAAAAAUAAAUAUUAUCUUUAACAAUAUUUUUUAUUAAAUAUUUAGAGUCUGCUUGGUUUUAAUUAUUUCUUUUCUUGAUUUUAUGAUAAUAUUUUUCUUAUUUAAUAUAAAAAAUAAAUAUUAUCUUUAAUAAUUAGAUCUAUCGAAUAUCACUUAAAAAAUAAAUUAUAGCUUUAAUAAUUAUUUUUUGAAAAACAAAAGCCAACAAUCACUAACAUAUUUUAUUAAAAUCACUUUAGUUUAUUUAGAAAAUAUUGAAAAUUGAUUUUUGUUUUUUUACUUCAAAAUAAAAAAAAUUGAAUAAUGUUUUUAUAUUUUAUUUCGAACUCGAUAUUUUAAAACAAAAAUGAAAAAGAUGUGAUAUUAACCUUUUUUAUUAUAAAGUAAGUUUCUUAAUUAAAAGUGAUGGGAAUUUGUUUGUAAAAACAAUCUUGCACAUCUAACUUUCUUUUCAAAUUUGAAAAUUUUAUUAACUUUGAUGGUUUUAUAUGUAUGAAGGAUCUGGAUGGACGUAAUAGCACAAGAUCAUUUGACAUAGAGAUGCUUGAAGUUACUCCAAAUUAGUACGGUACUUUUAUCUAAUGUAUUGAUAUGUAUUUGUUGGCUUGAAGAUCAUUUUCCAAGCUUGGAAUUUUUAUUGAAUGCUCUUUGAAAUCUUUUCCAUUUGCUUUUAUAGUGGACAACCUAGUUGUUAAUUAUUAUCCAUGAUCUAAUUUAUAUUUUCAAGUUAAAAAUUUUGAUGAAUAUUAUUUCAUUUUUUUCCUCACUUCAAAAGAUGAAAAUCCUUGAUGUUAGUUAGUAAUAAAUUGGAGAGAAUAAUAAUAAUUUGUGUGUAUAAGCUGAUUGAAAUGAAGAUUAAAAUAAAGAAGUAAAAAAAAAGAGACUCGUAAAGAUUUUAUGUUAGUACUCAACAUGUCCUUUCUUGUUUUUUUUUUAAUUGGAUUACCUUUGUCUUUGGUUAAACUGCACUUCUUAAAAUAUUUUUGGAUUGUUCUGAUAUCAAAAAUAAUUUUUUUUAAAUAUUAUUUUAAUACAUUUUCAAUUAAAAAAUAUUUUGAAAAACAAUAUCUAACACACUCUCAAACAAGUUAAAACGUUAGUAAUAAAAUAACUUUUACAUAUUUUUCAAGUUUAGUAGAAUAGUAGUGGAAUAAUAUUUUUAAUAUUUAAAAAUUAAAAUUUUUUGUGUAACUGUUUUGUUAAAUUAUAAAGUUAAGGACUCUUUUGUAGUUUACCUUACACUAAAGUUAAUAAAUAAUAACACAAGAAAGGACCAAAGUUAACUACAAUACGAGGAAGUUUCAUACUAAAGUUAAAAUACCUCACACUUUUCAAUGAAACAUUACCUCUCCUGUACAUGAAUAUAAAUAAUUUCGUUGACCGACUCUUAUUUCAUUAAUUAUUGAUUAUUUGGAAGAAGAAAGCGUAUCCCUUCUCACUUUUAGAGCGUAUUUAGGGUAUUUAAGAGCGCAUUAUAAAUCCAGGGACAAUUUUGGGUUUUCUAAUCAGAACUUUGGACUAAAAUUAAUAGCAAAUUAAAUAAGGACCAAAUAUAACAGUGUGUAAAUCUAGAAACCAAAGAUAAUACAGCUGCAUUGACCGGAGAUUUCACUCGAAUUUUGACUAAAAAUUAAAAUUUUAUCAAAUUCUCUACUUUAUUAGUGUUCAUUUUCUUCUUUUUUUUUACCUAUCUUUUCCAACUGUUUAGAAAAUUUUUAUGGAUAAAAUUAGAGGAUAAGAAAGAGAUAUAGAAUCACUUUGUAAGAUUUCUAAAAACUUAAUUAUAUUAUAAUUUCUUCCUUAAAAUUAUUCAAAAUAUAGUAUUAGAAUUACAUAAUGCUAGGUUUUAAUAUAUAAUUAAAGAGUCUCUUCUAAAAGAAAUAAUGAAAAUAUUGUAUAACUCUUUUAGAAUGAAUUGUAAAUCCAGGGACAGUCUUCCUGGUGGUUUUUACUGUAUAUGAAUUGAAGAACUAUCAUUUGCUGAUUUACUUGUAAAGUAUUUGUAAGAAAGCUAAAAAUUAGAGUUUUAAAAUUUCUAAAAUAAAUAAUCUUCUCUAAAAUAAGUUUUUUUUAAUUAUACUUAUAAAAUUAAUUAAAUCUCAGGAUAAUAAGAUAUGUCCGGAUAUUUGGCGACUGANNNNNNNNNNNNNNNNNNNNNNNNNNNNNNNNNNNNNNNNNNNNNNNNNNNNNNNNNNNNNNNNNNNNNNNNNNNNNNNNNNNNNNNNNNNNNNNNNNNNGUAUGUUACAAAUUAAAUAUUAGUAUAUUUUUUUCAAGGUGAUAUCUCUUAUUAAAUCAGAGAUUCUCUCUAUUUUUUACAUGCAAUAUAAUCACGGAAUAAUUAAAUAAUUUGAAAAAUAAAUAAAUUUUUAUUGUGGAAUAAGUAAAUACUAAUAUCUAUAACUAGAAGUAACUAUAAUUAUAAUAUUAAAAAAAAGCAUAAUAAAAUGAAUUUAUUUAUAAAUUAGAUAAGAUUCAAACCAAGGGAAUUAAAGUGUAAAAUAAGGAAAACACCCUUGCCAGUCUAAAAUAAUUGAAGUAAUGAGUAAAUGCAUGAAGCAAGAUAAUUAGUUGAUAUUGUGACUAUUCAAGAUAAUUAUAAUCUAUAGGUAAUUGUAUACUAUAAAUUAAUAUCAACAAAAUAAUUGUAUUUAAUUGUUUGAAGUUAAACAAAAAAACAUACAUUCUCCCUUUCCCUUCUUUACAUGGCUUACUCAAUGAAAAAGCAAGCACUAACGCACCUUCUCCACAAACUACCAUAAAUAUAUAAAUAUAUUAUGAAAACAAGAUAAAAAGAAAUCUUUUGGUACAUAUAUAAAUAUAUUAUGGCUAUGAAAAUAGGUUUGUGGAAAUUUACAUCAUUUGAUCUUGACAGUGUCAGAUUAGACAAUUGAUUGCAUGGAAAUGGUCUUCUUAGUUUGCCGUGUGGAAAAUCAUCUCAUUUACGGGACUGCUGGAGAGAGUGUCUAUUGAUAAUUUUACCUUCUUUUCAAAUCUUUGACACUGCUUGGAUUGACCGGUAAUUUCACUCGAAAAUUUCUAGUAAUUUAUAAAGGAAAUUUCUACUGACUAUUAUUGACUGACUUCUUGCAAAGUAUUUGUAAGAAAGCUAAAGAAUUAAAGUUUUUUAAUUUUUAAAAUUGUAAGAAAAAAAUCAAUUAUUUUUAAAAUUGUUUUCAAAAAUAAAACAUCAACUAUUUAUAUAAUUGCUAAAUCUAUUAAGAUAAAUCCAAAAUAACUAGUAAAAUCAGUGACUUGCAUUGACGAGUGUAAUGAUCUUGACAGCAUCAGAUUAGACAAUUGCAUGGAAAUGGUCUUCUUAGUUUGCCGUGUGGAAAAUCAUGUGAUUUACGGGACUGCUGGAGAGAGUGUCUAUUGAUAAUUUUACCUUCUUUUCAAAUCUUUGACACUGCUUGGAUUGACCGGUAAUUUCGCUCGAAAAUUUCUAGUAAUUUAUAAAGGAAAUUUCUACUGACUAUUAUUGACUGACUUCUUGCAAAGUAUUUGUAAGAAAGCUAAAGAAUUAAAGUUUUUUAAUUUUUAAAAUUGUAAGAAAAAAAUCAAUUAUUUUUAAAAUUGUUUUCAAAAAUAAAACACCAACUAUUUAUAUAAUAGCUAAAUCUAUUAAGAUAAAUCCAAAAUAACUAGUAAAAUCAGUGACUUGCAUUGACGAGUGUAAUGAUCCGGAACCACUCGCAAUAAAUAAAGCCAAAAAAGGCAGACGAGUGUGUCUAUAUAUACAUAUAGGAACCGCUGAUUCGAUUUGAAUAUGUUAUUUGAUUAGUCUAAUUCAUGACUUGCAUUGACUCAAGAUUACCACUCAAGAUUUCGUGGUGCUUUCUCGGCCUGCAAAUGAAUAGAAAGCAUGUCCUUUUAACCUCAUUUCAAUAUCGUUGCUUUACUCUCCAGCUAGCCUGAUACAUAUGAGUCUCGAGACAUACGGCCAUUGAUAGAAAGGUGUGCUGAAGCAAAAUAUUUUUUUAUCUGUAGCGACCUCAAUAAUGUUAAAGCGUGGACCACCAUGAAAUUACCGCUCCAAAUUCCUUGUUCUUUCUAUAUUAUUAGAAAAAUUAUCAUUGACUAAUUUAAUUGGAAAUUAUUUGCGAGAAAGCUAAAAAGAAUUAAAGUUUUUUAAUUUAUAAAAUUAUAAUUUUAAAUUGUAAAAAAAUUCAAUUAUUUUAAAAAAUAAAACAUCAACUAUUUAUAUAAUAGCUAAAUAAAUCUAUUAAAAUAAAUUGAAAAUAACUAGUAAAAUCAAGCAAAUAAUCCAAAAAUAACAAGAAAAUAAAUAUAUUUCCUAGAUCUAAUUUGAUUAUAUUUUUUAUCUUGAUUGACUUACUUGCUAAGUCUUUGAACUUUAAUCUAAGAAUUUGUUUUAUAUUUCUUCAUUUAUUAAUGAAAUAUUACUUCUAUUGUAUAGUUUUUGGUUUCGAGUCGAUCCACCAGAUUAAUAGGUGAACAAUACAUUUUUUGAAUUUAUUAGAAGAAACGUGUAAUGUAAAUUAUAAAAUAAUAUUUAUUUUUCUGAUAUAUAUAAUAAUAAUAAAUUAGAUGACAGUUACAAGAAAAUAAAAAUUAAUUUGAAUAGAUGGUACGAGUUUCUAUUCUGAUAUAUCCAGGGAAGAAGUUCGAAGAAUAGAAUGAAGUUAAAUAUUCUUAAUAAAAAAAGAAAAAAAAAAGAAAAAAAAUAUAUUUUUAAUAAAUAUAAAAGAUGGAUAAAAUUAGAGAACAAGAAAGAGAUAUAUAAUCUCUUUGUAAGAACUUCUAAAAAUUUAAUUACAAUUGAGAAUUUCUUCCUUAAAAAAAUCCAAAAAAAUCCUAUUAUAUAUGAAUCAAGACAACAGUUGAAUAACUAUUACAUAUUUUUCAAGUUUACUUAGAAUAAUUAUUUUAAUAUUUAAAAAUUAAAAAAAUACUGUGUAGUUGUUUUGUAUAAAUUCUAAAGUUGAGAACUCUUUUGUGCUUGGUAAAAUGAAUAACUUUUACAUAUUCUUCAAUGUUUCACACUGCUUUAAUAGAUUGGUACAGUAAAUACCUCACACUACAGUUAAUAAAUAAUAACACAAGAAAGGACCAAAGUAUAUAAAUAAUAGCAUGUUUCACACUGCUUUAAUAGAUUGUUACAGUAAAAGCACAAAGAAGAACGGUUCAAGAUGUGGUAGAAUCACCUUCGAAGUGACUAAAUCUGCUUUAAUAUAUUUGAGAUUCACGCAAUGCCACUCUCAUCGGUAUUCUAAAAGCGAAGAGAAGAGUAGAAGCAAUGUGAUAGCUAUACAGGUGAGACUUAAUAAUUUACAGGUGAUAAUUGUUUUUUAAAAUAUUUUUUUUAUUUGAAAAUGUAUUAAUUUAAUGUAAAAUAAUAAAUAAAAUUUAAUUUUUUUUAAUUGUUUUUUAAAAUAUAAAAACAAAGAGGAUAUAAUCAACCUCUUGAUGUCACUAUUAAUUAUUGAUGUCGAUUGAUGCACAUGCUAACACCAGCGAAGAAUUAAGAGGCCAAUAUGCCAUUUGAUGCGAUAUUGCAAUUCAACAGCCAAGACACCACGGCUGAUAGAUGUAGACAGCGGUAAUGAACAGGAAAAGUUAAAAAAAUUAAAAUAUUUCAUGUCUUCACAGUCGUUUAGAAAAGAAACAAGAUCAAACCUUGGUUUCAUUUUGUCAGUUGACUCCAAGUCAAUGUCUAAAUCUCCUCUAAAUUCCAAACUGGGUCACCCAGCGAAUUAAGGUAUAGAUUUUAUUGGACGACAAUCAUAUUAAUAAAUAUGGGACGACAAAUCACAAACAUAAUCAAUUCAACCGUACUCCAAAGAACACUCAUACUCCAAUAUCAGCAACCACCACGAAGGUUGAAUUACACUACUUGUUAAAUUAAUAAAGUUACUAGUUGCUAUAAAGUAAGAGAUAAGAAAAUAUUGUGUUUUAAAAUAUUUUUGUUUUAAAAUAAUAUUUUUUUAUUUUUAAAAUUUAUUUUUAAUAUUAUUACAUCAAAACUAUAUAAAAAAAAUAUUUCAGAUUAUCAAUUCAACCGUUCUCCAAAGAACACUCAUACUCCAAUACCAGCAACCACUACGAAAGUUACCACUCUAAAUUCCAGCUCAAUAAUUUAUUCUUUGACAAUUAUUGCAUUGCUAAUAAUUUGCAAGGAAACAUACUUUUAACUAUAUUCAAUUCCAGAAUAUUUUUUUUUGAUAAAUAUUUGAGAAAUAUUGAUAAUCUUUUAUCAAGUUUUAUUUUUAUCAUUUUUAUUUGGAAUUAAUUCUAUUAUGUAUUUAAAUGUGUUUAGUUACCUUGUAAACUGUAUGUUAGAGUCCCUCAAAUAUUCUGGCCACAUCAACCACUAUAUUUUAUGCCAAGCAGUAUUUUGUCCUUGAACCCUUUGGCCCUCUAAAUUACCCAAAAAGGACAAUAAUUGAGCACAAGUGGUACAGGUCAGGGUUAAACUCAGCUUGCUAGAGCCAGUUCUCAAUUUUAGGCGCCAGUUCUCAAUUUUAGGCACCAGUUCUCAAUCGAAUUUUAGCAAAAUCUGGGCUAGGAUUUGAAACAAAUGUAGCUAUUUUUUCUCCUUUUAUUAUUAAAAAAUAAUAUUCAUGGAUUAAUUUUCGUAUAAUUUAAGAAAGUAAGUCCUUUAAUCAAAUUUUAGAGUGUUGCAAUUACUACGAAAGGAACGCAAAAAGACAUAAAGUUUUUCGAAGAGAGAAAUAAAAAGGAAAAGGAAAAGGAAACAACCCCCACUCCAUCUUUCCCUUCUUUCCAUGAAAAUCAAUUUUAGGAUUUUGAUUUUCAAUCAGUAUGAGUGAGAAAGAAAGAGAGGACAAGCCGACACUUCAAAGGUCCUCUUUCUCUUUCCUUGCUUUUUUUAACGCGUGGAGCCAGCAGUUGUUGCCACCAAAUUCCUUGCUCAGUAUUUGAAAAUUUUCCUAAUUUUUUUUCCUCUACGUGCUGUUACCUUUUACCUCUUUUAUAAUUAUUAUGAUUAUUGCAUUGCUAAUAAUUUGCAAUAAAGAUGAUGAACAUUUUUUAGUCAAUUCAAAAUAACAAGAUAAGGUUUGUUCAGGCUUUUCUUGGAACCUCGCUCAGGGAUUAGUUAGCGAGAAUAAGAAAAUGCUGUCCAAAUUAUACAAAAUUUAUUAUUAAUCAUCAAUAUUUAUUCUUGAUCAUCAAUAUUGAAUAAAGGCUUAUUUUCUAGUAUAAACUUUGAUGAGAUUGUUUAUAAAAAUAACCAAAUUGAGGUUUUUCAAUUACCUUUAAAUAUAUCAUAGUUUUAAUAGGCACACAGUAUAUUUUUUAAUUUAUUAGAAAAAACAUGUAAUGUAAAUUAUAAAAAAUAUUUAUUUUUCUGAUAUACAUAGUAAUAAUAAAUUAGAUGAUAGUAACUAGAAAAUAGAAAUUAGUUUAAAUAAGUGGUACCAAUUUCUAUUCUAUAUAUCUACGGAAGAAGUUCAAAGAAUAGAAUGAAAUCAAAUAUUCUUAAUAAAAGAGGAAAAAAAACACAAAAAGAAAUAAAAUAUGUUUUUAAUAAAUAUAAAAUAUGGAUAAAAUUAUAGAACAAGAAAGAGAAGUUAGAUACCUCAAAUUUUAGUAAGGAUCCAAUUGGAUUGUUUAAAAGAGGAGAAACUGUCAUUGACUGAUUUAAUUGGAAAGUAUUUACAAGAAAGCUAAAAGAAUUAAAGUUUUUUAAUUUUAAAAUUAUAAUUUAAAAUGGCAAGAAAAAAAUCAAUUAUUUUUAAAAUUGUUUUAAAAAAUAAAACAUCAACAAUUUUAUAAUAGCUAAAUAAAUCUAUUAAAAUAAAUUGAGAAUAACUAGUAAAAUCAAGCAAAUAAUUCAAAACCAACAAGAAAAUAAAUAUAUUUUCUAAAUCGGGUUUGAGUAUGUUUUCUAUCUUGAUUGACUGGCUAACUUGAUAAGUCUUUAUUAAGUGUAAAUCAACUUUAUUCUAAAAGUCUGUUUGAUAUUUUUUUAUUUAUUAAUGAAAUAUUAUUUUUACUAUACAGUUAUUAGAUCCCAGGCUAAUCUACUGGGUCGGUUUAAAUUUAAUAACUAUGGUUCAUAGUCAUAUAGCUAGUAGUUGCACUAAAGCUAAUAAUUUAAAAAAAAUUAAAUAUCAAUAAUUUUUGUUGGCAUCAAAUAAUUAAAAAUGAGAAUUUCAGAGCAGAGGGUUUAAGAAAUAUUAAAAUAGAAGGUUUUGUGUAAUUAUUAGAUAAUUGAAAUCAUCACUAAUCUCCUUUGUUCAUUUUCCUUUUUUAUUACCCUUACCAUGCACAAAACUUCAUGUCACUUAAUGAUACACUUGCUUUCAACGUUUAAACUGUUAAAGAAUAAUAUAAAUUAUAUUAUGAGAUCUUACCUAACAGCUUAAGUUAUUGGGUUGAGAUGGUUCUUUGAUAUGGUAUCAGAGCCUUGAUGAUCAAGCGGUCACGAGUUCGAAUCUCACCAUCUCUAUUUAUUUGAUAAAAAUUAAGCACAAAGUAAUGUGGAUUUGUGCAAGUUUUAAGCCCAAAUGGCUUUCACUUGAGGGAGUGUGUUAAAGAAUAAUAUAAAUCAUAUCCUGGGACCUUACCUAACAGCUUAAGUUAUUGGGUUGGGAUGGUUCUUUGAUAUAAUAGCAACCAUCAUGAAAUUACAACACUAAAUUUAUUCUUUAGCAAUUAUAUAAUGCUCGCUCUUUCACAGUUAUUGCAUUUCUAAUAAUUUGCAAGAAAAUUAACAUUCUUUGUCUCUCAAUCUGCACCUACCAUGAAAUUAACAUCCUUUCUCGACAUUUCCUAGCAAUUUAUGGAGGAAAUUUCCUUGUGCCCUCUCUUAUACAUUAUUACAAAAACUGUCAUUGAUUGAUUGACUUGCAAAAGUAUUUGCAAGAAACCUAAUGAAUUAGAGUUUUUAAAAUUUUUAAAUUAUUAAAAACAUCCAAUUGUUUUUUUUUUAAAUCAAGAAUAAAACAUCAACUAUUUAUAUAAUUACUAAAUAAAUCUAAUAAAAUAAAUUGGAAAUAACUAGUAAAUAAUUCAAAAAUAACUAGAAAAUAAAUAUAUUUUCUAUGAUUUGAGUAUGUUUUUGAUUCACUAAUUUGCUAAGUAUUUGCUAAGCAUAACCGAAAGAAAUUAUUUGCUAAUCACUCACUAAUUCAUCCAUGAUAUGUUCAAAAAAAUGGGUUAAAAAUUGGGUAACAACACCAUAUCUAUUUUAUUGAAAACCCGGGCCUGUAAUUGACCGGAAGAAAACCGAUCAACCCACUAAGUAGAUCUGGAACCUUGAUGACCCAACAAAACCUGGUAGAAAUUCAUUUUUUUUUCAAAUGUAUUUUUUCUUCUAGCUAGAGACCUCUAUUUUUUAUAUAUUUUUCAGUUGGUUACUAACCCAUUUCAAAGUUUACUAUAUAAAUAUUAGAAGAAUGUUUUAUUUUUUUAAUGUGGGAUUUGAAACCUUUUAGUAUAUAUACUCUUUGUUUACUAAAAAAAAAAUUAUGUUUUUUUAAUAUGAAAUAAAAAACCUUUUUGAUUUAAAUACUUCAACUCAAAAAAAUAAGAUAGUAUCUUUUUAAUGUGGAAUAAAAAAAACCAUUUGAAAUAAUCUUUUAAACUUCAUUAUUUAUAACAUGUAUAACUUAUAUCUUUCUUAAUUUUUUCAUAUGAAAUAUUAAAACCUUUAAUAUUUUUUUUUUCUUGGUUGACUUGGAUCAAUCCUUGUAACUCGAGACUCAGCUCCUUGAUUGAGUCGAUCUCGAGUCGGGUUUGAUAAUUAUGAAAAUAUUUAAUGAAAAAAUAUAUUUUUUUUGUAUAAAAAUGAAGGGUAAAAUAUUAAAUUAUGACAUAUAUCAUUAAUUAUUGACAUACUCUUGUAACAAGCAUGAAACUUUAUGUUAUUUCAUGAUACCCAUGUUUUUAACGCUUUACACCGCUUUAAUAAAUUGUUACAGUAAUAGCACAGAGAGAAGAACGGAUCAAGAGAAAAUAAUAAUGUAACCAUCUAGAAAGUGAUGCAAUGAUAAGAAUUUGGAACUAAAGAGUUUGUUUUUUUUUUUUUUUUCAGGUUCGAGUUUUGUGGUUGCUAAUAUAAUAGUUACUGGAGAUUUACAUGAUCGUUAACUUUAGGACUCGUAAGAUUAGUUUCGAGUUUUGUGGUUGCUAAUAUAAUAGUUACUGGAGAUUUACAUGAUCGUUAACUUUAGGACUCGUAAGAUUAGUCAAGAUGCAUGCAAACUGGACUGGAUACCUACAGGAAUCUAAAAAAAAAUAAUAAUGGAGAUGAAGCAAAAUCUCUGUUUGAUUUUUUCUUUUUUGUGUUUUUGGUACAUUGGUCAACAAUAGCUUGGAAGACUUUGGUAGCAGUAAGUAACCUGUUCUUCCUCAAUAAUGUUAACGCGUGGACCCUGUUGUUGUGGAAACUUUGCAGAGGAUCUUAAUAAAAACAAGUAAAUAGAAAAAUAUUAAUUUUUAAAUAUAAAAACUAGAAAACCUGAUAAUAUUGAAUAAAAAAUAAAAUAAAAAUUUAUUCUUUUCAAGUAGAAAAAAAAUAUAAAAGUUUAACAAUAUUGAAUAGAAAUAAAUAAAAUUUUUAAACUAAAUAAAAAUGAUAGAAAAAAAUAUUUAUUAUCUUAAAAAUUCUUAUAUUAAAAUCUUAAUUUAUCACAUGAACUGAGUCUAUAUGCUAAAAUCAGAAGAAAAAAAAAAACAAAUGUAACAAAAAAAAUUCUACACAACACAAUUAAUUAUAGGAUCGUAUAUUUCGAGACUAAAUUGAGGUUUUUGAAUUAUCUUUAAACAGAACAUGAUUUUAAUAGGUGCACUGUAUAUCCUUUGAAUUUAUUAGAAGUAACGUGUAAUGUAAAGUAUGAACCGCGUACCAUUAACUAGCCUUUUCAAUUGGAUUUUUUAUUUAAAUGAAAAGGAAAUUUUGUUUUAUUAUGAAAAUAAUAUUUAUUUUUUGAUAUAUCUAAUAAUAAUAAAAUAGAAAGUAGAUUGAAUAAAUGAUAUCAGUUCCUAUUAUGAUAUAUCUAGUAAAAGAAUAGAAUGAAUUAAAAUAUUCUUAAUAAAUAUAAAAGAUGGGGAAAUUACAUCACACGAAACUACCAAUAAGCAAAUUUUAAUCUGUAAUUAUGUAGGUCUUAAUUACAAGGGUUUUAAUUUAGGAAGUAUAUUAAAAAAUAAUAUAAAUUAUAUUCUAGAAUUUAUUUUAAUAGUUUAAAUUUUGAGAUGAAUUAAUAAGUCUUUACAAAUAAAAGAUAUAGUUUUACAAUAAAAUGCAUUUUUAGAAAUGAAAUUAUAUUAAAUUAAGCGUGCUCGAGAUUGUUCAAAUUAUUAAUUAAUUAUAAUUAACUUUAUGUCUUUAGAGGAAACAAAAGGGAAGGACAAAAUUAUUUUCCCCUCAACGAUAGACCUAGCCCACUUUCCAAACAAAAGGUAAAUAGAAUGAUGGUCUCAUAAAUUGCUUUUUUUCUUUCUAGCUCGUCAAGCAGUUUGGUCUCCCUCACUGGAAAAUCUCCUUUUUCCCUGCCUCUGUGCACGUAGGGGAAGAAGGAGAAUAGUAUCGUUCAAAAUAUCACUGUUUUGAAAUUUUUUUUGAAAAAAAUAAAAUGAAUUUAGGAAUAAUUUAAAAAUAGAUUAUGAUAUUUUCCAUCACUUUUUCUUAUCAUCAACUUCAAUAUGUUGCUUCUUUUUUAAAGGUUUAACACUAGAAAGCCUUUUUUUUGUUUCAUUCUUCAAAUCUUAAUAACAAACGUAUGUAAUAGACAAUUGAUAGUGAAAUGAAAAGGUUAAGGAAGAUGAAAUUGUAAGAAAAGAAAAUAAAUUUAAAAUAUUAUUAUGAAAAAAACAAAAAACAAUAAAAAAUAUGGACCAAAACUUAAAGAUAAAAAAAUUAAAGGUAAAAUUGAAAAAUAAUUCUAGUUUUAUAAAUUAUUAAAAAAAGAUUUCAAAUAUUUAAUGAUGAAAUCGAAAAAUAUUAACUUUAAAAAUUAGCCAGAAAAAUUCAAUAAAUAAUAAAAAAACAAACUCAAGAAAAUCUAAAUCAUUUAUAAAAUUAGUAAAAACUUCCACACUAAGUAAACAAAUAAAAACAAAACAAAUAGAAACAAGGAAGUAAAGUCUGUAAUUAAAUAUAUACGCGGAGACAAAAACAUGGGCAUGUGACAGGAGACAAAAGGGCAAAGGAAGGUCUCUAUCCAACUUCCUUUUCCUUUUUCUUAGAAAAAAAGUGACAAAAUCUGAUAGAACACAGAUUCCAUCUCUUUUUCAUUGGUUUUUUUGUUUUUUUAAUGUUUAUGCAUGUGGCUCAACCUUUCUCAGUAAUUGCAACAUGUUUCUUUGUUGAAUAAACUGCAAUACUGGUCUCCCUCACUGGACCCCUUUAUAAUGAGAAUCACACUAGGAAAUUUAAAAGUAAUUUGAAGUAUUAUUAAAGCCUAUAAAAAUAAAACUGAUAAUAAUAUAGUUGGGAUUUUAAAAAAAAAAUUGAUAAAAAACCAUAUAAAAAGAAAUUUGAAACAAAGUAAUCUUAAAAAACCAAAACAAACAUGCCAUGAAAACAAAUUUAAAAUAAACAAAAUACUUUAAAAAAAAAUAAUUCAACCAUUUCUUCAUAAAAAAAACAGUAAUUGGGUGUUACUUUAUGGUCAAAAAGUACAAUAAUGCAAAAAAAAAAAAAAAAAGAGUUUUAGGAUAUUGAUUUUAUUAUUUGUUAGGUAACUAUGUAAUCUAUACGUUGAUGUGGAAAAUAGGACUAAGUUUUUUUGUCAAAAGAGUAACUGUGUAAUCUAAUAUUCAUCUCUCAAAUCCCUAAUCCAAUUGAUCAUAUAAUUAAAUAAUUGUUUUAAUUAAUAACUAUAAGAAACAAACUCCCUUGUUAGUUCAUUACUUAAAUAAAAACUCAUGAUUGUCUAGCAAAGUAAAUAAAUUACUUAACCGGAUCACCAGAGGAGUUAUUUGCCAAAAUAAAAACUCAUGAUUGAGUUAUAUAACAGUUUAUAAAUCAUGCUAUCAUCUCCAUCACCAUAUAUAAAGCUAGACAAAAUAGGAUAAGACGGGAUUAAAUUUAAUUUUAGGAUAUAUUUGAGAAUAUGAUUGAAUCAUGCUUUUUAAAAUGUUUUUGAAUUAUUUUAAUAUGUUGAUGUCAAAAAUAAAUUUUAAAAAAUAUUAUUUUAAUAUAUUUAUAAUAAAAAAAUAUAUUUUAUAAAGCAAUUUUCACCAUAUUUUCAAAUAAAUUAAAAUUUUUCAAAUAAAUGGAUUGAUAUAUCGAUGACACUCUCUAGUCAGUUUUGAGAAUUUUGAAUCCAAACAAGUGAAUUUAUAUGCAUGCUUGUACAACUUGAUUUUCUCUUUAAUUUAAUCAACAAUAAUUUCUCAUACUCAAUAGAAAUUUGGGUUUAUCAUUAGGGUAAGACAACCUGUAUUUUAAAAUACUAUUGCCAAAAGAUCAUAUUAUUUAUUACCACAAGAAAGGACCAAAGUUAAUAAAUAAUAGCAUGCACGAAACUUCGUGAUACCCAUGUUUUCCACGUUUAAUAGAGUGUUACAGUAAAAGCACAGAGAGAAGAACGGUUCAAGACAGAACAAUAAUGUUAACGCGUGGACCCCAUUUGCUGUUUUUUCCUCUACGUGUUACCUUUUACCUCUUUUACCUCUUUUAUAAUUAUGAUUAUUGCAUUGCUAAUAAUUUCCAAGAAAGAUGAUGAACUUUUUUUAGUGAAUUCAAAAUAAACAAAAUAAGGUUUGUUGAGGCUUUUCUUGGAACCUCGCUCUGGGAUUAAUUAGCGAGAAUAAGAAAAUCCUGUGUAAAUUAUACAAAUUUCCUUGCUUUUUUUUUCCUGCAUGUGUUACAUUUUUAUCUUUUAUAAUUAUAAUUAUUGCAUUGCUAAUAAUUUGCAAGAAAGAAUAUUGUUUCUCUGAAAAGAAGUCUGAAUGUUUUUAGAAAGAAGCAGUCUUCAUUGCUUUUCAAAACCAAUCUCUGGAUCUAUUAACAAAAACUCUAAAUCGCGAGUAAUAGACACAAUUAAUUAUGCAUUGCUGUAAUAAAAUCACGUAUUUAUUUUCAAGUGGGAAAAAAUUAAGCCAUGAGGCCAGGGGUUCUUUGGUCUUUACCUAUUUUCGUUUUGGCCACCGAAUUUUAUUUUUUUUUCAAUAAAAGAGAAGGUUUUGUGUAAUUAUCAGAUAAUUGAAAUCAUCACUAACUCCUUUGUUCAUUUUCAUCUUUUUUUAUUACCCUUAGCAUGAUACACAGAAAAGAAGAACGGUCAAGAGAGAAGAAUAAUGGAGAUUACUGUGGAGAUGACGAAUCAAAAUCUUUGCUUGAUUUUCUGUUGUGUUUUUGGCACAUUGAUCAACAAUAGCUUGGAAGAGUUCGAUAGCAGAGGAAGAAAAAUAAUAGCAGUAACCUUUUCCACCUCAAUAAUGUUAACGCGUGGACCCAGUUGUCGUGGAAACUUUGCAGAGGAAGAAAAAUAAUAGCAGUGACCUUUUCUACCUAAUAAUUUGCAAGAGAGAAUUCUUUCUCUGAAUAUAUAGAAAAAAACUAUUAUUUUUUAAUAAAAACAACUAUAUAGAAAAAUUAUUACUUUUUAGGUAGAAAAACCUCAUGAUAUUGAAUAAAAAAAUGAAAUAGAAAAAUUAUUCUUUUCAAGUAGAAAAAAAUAUAAAAGUUUAGUAAUAUUGAAUAGAAAUAAAUAUUAAAAUUUCUAAACUAAAUAAAAAUAACAGAGAAAAAUAUAUAUUAUCCUAAAAGUUCUUAUAUUAAAAUAUUAAAAAGAACUGAGUUUACAUGCUUUAAACAGAAAAACAAUAAAAAAAACAAAUGUAACAAGAAAAAUUCCACGCAACAUAAUAUAUAUGAUAUAAAUUGAGGUUUUUAAAUUACCUAUAAACAUAUCAUAAUAUAUAUGGUACAUCCUUUGAAUUUAUUAGAAAGAAGCCAUUAACUAGCCUUUUCAAUUGGAUCUUUUAUUUAAAAGAAAAGGAAUAUUUAUUUUAAUAUGAAAAAAAUAUGUAUUUUUUAUAUAUAUCUAGUGAUAAUAAAUUAGAGGAUAGUAACAAGAAAAUAGAAAUUAGAUCAAAUAAAUGAUACCAAUUUUUAUUCUGAUAUAUCUAGCUAAAGAAUAGAAUGAAUUAAAACAUUCUUAAUAAAAAAAAAACAGAAAGAAAUAAAAAAAUAUUCUUAAUAAAUAUAAAAGAUAGGUGAAAUCAGAGAACAAGAAAGAAAUAUAGAAUCUCUUUCUAAGAUUUCUUGUUCCCUUUCCCUUCUUUACACGGCCUCCUCAAUGAAAAAGCAAACACCCCAUUUGAUUUUCAUUCAGUAUGAGAGUGAGAAUGAGAAUGAGAAUGAGAGAGAGGUAAUUUCGACUAUACAUAGAACUCGACAGGACAGAAGACUUAAAGAUAAAAUAGCUUUGAUUUACAACCAUGGCUUCAAGGGCCUGGAAUAGGACCAGGUACAAGUUUGUUUCUAUCUAAGAAAGCAAGAAGCUCCCACUAAUGCAUGCUCUCAACAAACUACCCCCAAUUUCGCCACUACAGCUCAAGUAGCUUUGAGUCAUUCCAACAAGUAGGAAUUGAAUUCAAAGGAAUAAAUCAUUAAAUGCGGAGUUGGUGUUCUCCUGUUUGUGGUUCUGAUAAAUGUAAGAACGGACAGAGAGAAGAAAUAGGAAAAAUCCAUGUAUCUAUUAGUUGGCAGCAGUUAUCAUUCGGCCCUUGCCGCCCACGAAAUCCCUUUAUCCUGCUGUUAAUUUUUUUAAAGACGCGUAUCAGGUGUUUGAUAAAAUUCCUCAACUGGAAAAAAAAACCAUGUUUAGAAUGCUUGAGUCCUUUACAAGUGGAAAGUGGGAACUAUCCACUUUCCCAUUUGAAAUCAUCACUAACUCCUUUGUUCAUUUUCUUCUUUUUUUAUUACCCUUAGCAUGAUACACAGAAAAGAAGAACGCGUGGUUCAAGAGAGAACAAUAAUGGAGGGGAAUCAAAAUCUUUGUUUGAUUUUAUGUUGUGUUUUUGGUACAUUGAUCAACAAUAGCUUGGAAGAGCUUGAUAGCAAUAACCUUUUCGACCUCAAUAAUUAAUGUUAAUGCGUGGAUCCAGUUGUUAUGGAAACUUUGCAAAGGAUCUGCAGGAAGAAAAAUGAAAAGCUUUUCGAACCUACAAUAUAGAGAGAGAAAUAAAUAAAUAAAAAGCUUUUCAAAACCAAUCUCAUGCCAAAUUGGUUUGUCUGUCCAGUACUUGAGCUUGCACACUUCGUUUAUAUUCAAACAAUAUUCUUCCGUUGCUUUUAUUCUUUACAAUAAUGUGAUAGGAAUAACAUUAAUAUUAUUAUAAAGAAAAAACUCCACCCACUUUGAAACACCUUUGAUGUGUUGAUUGAAAUUGACAAGUGAGUUUACUCACAUGUUGUUAUAUUGGUUUUGAGUUCAAAUAUGGAGAUUUUAUGAUUUAUUCACAUGAAUGCAUUCAUUUAUUCACCUAUUAACUAAAUCAUGUAUUCAAUAUGAAUGAUGGGAGAUUUUUAAUGUCUUCUGAAUACAUUCAUUUAUAUAUGAAAAUAAUUUAUGUGUGUGUAUAAGGUUAUUGAAAUGAAGAUUAUUAUCCUCCAGCUCAUCAUCAGAUCACACGAAAGGAACGCAGAAAGACAUUCCCUUUCUUGUCAUAAAGUUUUGAAUAGAAUGCCCAUCAAAAAGUACUUUCGUGCAUUAUUGUCAUAAAGUUUUUCAAACUUCCAAUAUAGAGAGAGAAAUUAAAAAAAAAAAAAAAGCAAAAGGAAACAACCCCCACCUCAUCUUUCUUGUUCCCUUUUCCUUCUUUACAUGGCUUACUCAAUGAAAAAGCAAGCACUAAGGCACCUUCUCCACAAACUACCCCCCAAUUUCGCCACUAUAUAAAUAUUAUGGAAAACAAGAUAAAAAGAAAUCUUUUGGUACAUAUAUAAAUAUAUUAUGGAAAUUAACAUGGUAUCAGAGUAUCUGUGAACUAUUGCUGGGAUUGGGAAGUCAUAAUUUUUGACACGCCUAAUCACAGUCUUUUUUGGAAAAAGAAGAAGAAGCCAGGCUAUGAAAAUAGGUUUCUGGAAAUUUACAUCAUUUGAUUUUGACAAUUGCAUGGAAAUGGUCUUCUUAGUUUGCCGUGUGGAAAAUCAUGUCAUUUACGGGACUGCUGGACAGAGUGUCUAUUGAUAAUUUUACCUUCUUUUAAAAUCUUUGACACUACUUGCAUUGACUGGUAAUUUCGCUCGAAAAUUUCUAGUAAUUUAUAAAGGAAAUUUUUACUGUAUAUGAAUUGAAAAACUAUUAUUGACUGACUUCUUGCAAAGUAUUUGUAAAAAAGCUAAAGAAUUUAAGUCUUUUAAUUUUUAAAAUUAUAAUUUGUUGAGGCUUAUCUUGGAACCUCGCUUUGGGAUUAAUUAGCGAGAAUAAGAAAAUCCUAUGCAAAUUAUACAAAAUUUAUUAUUAAUCAUCUAUAUUUAUUAUUGAUCAUCAAUAUUGAAUAAUGGCUUAUUUUCUAGUAUAAACAAUGUUUGAAAUAAAAUUGAUAAAAGAUAGUAUACAUAAUUAUUAAUGAUGGGAUUGUUUAUAAAAAUGACUAAAUUAAGGUUUUUUAAUUAUCUUUUAACAUUUUAUGAUUUUAAUAGAUGGGCUGUACAUCAUGUAAAUUAUAAAAGAAUAUUUAUUUUUCUGAUAUAAUAAUAAUAAUAAUUAUAAUAACAAUAAUAAUAAUAAAUUAGAUGAUACUAACGAGAAAAUAGGAAUUAGUUUGAAUAAAUGAUACCAGUUCCCAUGAUGAUAUAUCUAAAGUCCUAAACUUCAAGAAUUUCUCUUCUUUAUCUUUUGUAUUUUCUCAUUUUCUUGGCAUGCGCGCAGCUGCUUCAUGGAAAAAACGUUUCAGAUGCGGAAAAUAAAAGCGGAAAAAAAAAUCCCAAAUAUCAGCAAACAUCACAAGAGAAGCUUGAUCUCAACAAGAUGUUGCAGUCCACAGUCUUUCCAUUACAUUAUAAUUACUUCUAAAAAAAAUUAAUUUAAUUUUUAAUUAUAAGCCAUCAGCAACUACCUCAAAAUUACCACUCUGAAUUCCAGCUCAAUAUCGAUUAACAUGUGGCUACAGAAUUUGAAUUAAGUUCAAUUAUACAAAAUCCUGUGCAAAUUAUACAAAAUCCUGUGCAAAUUAUACAAAAUCCUGCUUUAAGUUCUUGGAACCUAGCUCUGAGAUUAAUUAGCGAGGAUAAGAAAAUUCAGUGCAAAUUAUAUAAAAUUUAUUAUUAAUUAUCGAUGUUCAAGAUUUUCUUAAAUGUUAUUUUAUUUUCAUUAUUAUUUAUAAAAAUCCAAAAAAAUUAAGAAAAAGUUUAAAAAUUCAAAAAUAUAUUUUUCUCGAGUCAAUCACAUUUUUCCAUCAAAACCAAGUCCACCGGGUCAAACCAUGUCGACUAGGGUAAAAAAUGAGUUUCGGGUCAAAACCGUCAUUUCCGACCAAAACCGAGCUCACCGGGUCAAUACGGGUCAAACCAUGUCGACCAGGGUAAAAAAUAAGUUUCGGGUCAAAACCGUCAUUUCCGACCAAAACCGAGCUCACCGGGUCAGGACGGGUCAAACCAUGUCGACCAGGGUAAAAAAUGAGUUUCGGGUUGUUUCGGGUCAAAACCGUCAUUUCCGACCAAAACCGAGUCAUUAGGUCAGUACGGGUCAAACCAUGUCGACCAGGGUAAAAAAUGAGUUUCGGGUUGUUUCGGGUCAAAAACUGUUAUUUUCGACCACAACCCGGUUCACCGGGUUGAUACCCAUCAAAUGUUUUUUUUGAUAUUCUAUUUCUUUUUUUGCGGUUGAAACCGGCUUUUUCUAAUACUAAUUUGAAUUUUUAAUUUUACCUAUAUAAAUAUUUAUUAUUAUAUAUAAUAAAACAAAAUCAAUAAUUCAACAAUUUGUCAGCGGAGCAGUUGAUUUUUUUAUUUAAGGUAGAUGGCAGAAGGGAAAGGAAAACAGAAAGAAAGAAAGAAAGAAAGAGAGAAGAGUGUACUAUUCAUAUCUUUUUUAGUUUUUCUUCAUGAGAGUAGGAUAUUGUUUUUUUUUAAAAACAAUAUGGAAAAUAUCAAACAUAUCCCAACCACUGGAUUCAAUAGUGUUAGUUCUGGGCCUUUAAUUUAAUAGGAUACAAUAGGACUUACCACACUAGAUUAAAACCCAAACACAUCUCAGCCCUUGAAAUAAUCUAAGCUUUGAUCCCGUUGCCCCACGUCACCCGGUGUACUGAGAUUUCGGUGCACCGCGUCACACCAGGUCAAACAUCUGCUCAUCCAGACCGUCCGAUCAACCUGCAGAUCGAGCCAAUCACAACCACACGAUCUUUUCAUCAGAGAUCCAACAGAUCACAGGCUUAAGUUGCACCGGUGUAUAGUGCUAGCGCUCACACCGUAGUAUAACCCAAAGCCUCUCUCUCCUAUCGCCGGCGACUCUCUCUCUCCUCCGAUCUCCCAUCUCCGGCUGUAUAAAGCCUCCAAACUACCACAGAAAGGUCGCCAACCUCCUACAAAGCAAAACACCGGCCUUUUUCAGCGUUUUCUCCGCCUUAUCUGGCCGCAAAAAGGCCGCGAUCGUCGCUGGCCAGCGACGCUUCAAGUCGUCGAUUCUCACUCAUCAGCCAUCAACGACCGUCAAGACCACCACCAUCAGAAUCCUCGACAUCAGAUCUACCAGGAUCGACCAUCGGUUGGACAGAAAUCUCACCGGAAAAUCUCGCCGCCGCCAACAGUAACCGCACGUGAGACACGCGCCACCAGUGGCAUUUUCGUAAUUUUUCAAGAAAUCCGAGGGUAUUUAAGUCUUUUACCUGGCACUCAUGUAUUUUUUUUAUCUAACAUUUUUUUAUUUUGUAUAAAAAUUUUCUUGCAUGUAGAAAAAAAAUAAAAAAAAAAUAAAUAUAAAAAACGACGUGGGUCCAACACCCAUCUUAUCAUAUUAUUGGUCGUGGGUGCAAAGCCCAACCUCUCAAGAAUAGUUAUACCUAUUUUUAAUGACAUCAAAAUAUUUGUUUUUAUAAAUAAAUAUUAUUUGUUGACACGUCUCUUUUUAUAGAAAAGGACCGAUGUCAAAAAAAGUUUAAAUACCAAACAAAUAUGGAUUAUGUUUAUAAUUUUGUUUUUUUUGUAAAUCAGACGUAAAUCUCCUUUUUAGGAUUAGACAUCGAUAUUUUAGACGAGUCUUCUAUUUUUAAGGACUGAUGUCAUUUUUAAUGUGUCUCUUAUUUUUAAGGACCGACGUUAACCAUUUUAAAAAAAUAAUAAAAUUACAAAUAAGCUCAAAAUACAAUAUCAUUUGAAACAAAAAAAAAACACAAGUAAAGAUAACUUUUCUUUUGAAAUGAUAAUUUAAGGGUGAUGUCUACCUUCCCUUAAUCAUAACUAACCCAGUACCUAAAUCUCUGGGACCAGUGUCUAAUUUGGGAUUUUUAGUUCCCUCAUAUUACUAGAUGGCGACUCCAAUAAAAUCUUAAUUUCCCCAAUAAAAAAUCUCUUUUUAUUAAAUAAACAAAAAAAGCGGAGCCAACAAAAAAAAUAGAGCCGUCGCCCGACAUUGUGUAUAAGUUUAUAUAAGCUUAUUUGAACUCGUACACGUUAAAGAAUAGUAUUGACCUUGAUAUUAGUUAUAAAUAAAUUGGUUUUUCAGGAAGAUAUUGUUUUAGGUUUAUUUCUUUAUUUAAGCUUGUUGAAUUCUAGGCCUUAUAUGAUAUUAGUUGAUGUGAUUUGGAUUUAUUUUUAAGUUAAUUUGUGUGUGGGUAGUAAUAAGUGUAUAUGAAUAUGAAUUGAAGUAAGUACCUUAACAAAUGUGAUGGGUUGGUGUGAAGCUUUGAUUAAUUGCUAUAUUUUGAUGUCAUGAGCAAAUACCUUAACAAAUUUGAAUAUUUGAAAGAUAAUAAAUAAAUAUUGAAGAAUUGUAUAGAAAGAAUCGUAUCGAAAUUAUGGAAAAUAUGAUUUUGUCCUGAAAUUCUAAAAAACAAUUAUAGUUUGGUCACUGGUUGUAAAUAAUAAAUUUUAAAAUAUUUUUUGAUAAAUAUUGAUGAUUUAUUAUCAAUUUUUAUUGUUAUCAUUUAAAUUUAAAAUUAAAUAUAUUCUGUAUUUAAAUGUGUUUCGUUUCUUUGGAAACUGCAUGUGUUGGGAAAACUAGGGACAACUAACCGGAUCAAUUCAGCGGAAUACAAUUCACAAUUCACAAGUCCCAAUCAUUUUUCCCUCUUUGUGCAGUAAAAACAGAAUCAAACAAUGAACAAAUAUAAUGCAACAAUCACACAAAUCAACGCCAAGAUUUUUACGUGGAAAACCCGAUGCGAGAAAAACCACGGGACCGGAGUCCACCUAAAAACUUCCACUAUCACAAAUAAUGGGUUCACAAUUGUUCUUCCUCAGAUUCAACUAAGGGCUACAACAUAUAUAUAUCAUCAAGAACAACUUAUUCUCGGAUUACAACAAGAUUAAAGAGAGUAAUGUUAGAGAAAAGCUCACAACACUGACAGCCCUGUUUUCUGUCAAAACGACCAGCUUCCACACCACCAAUCUUCAAUCCAACCGUUCAGAAUGAAGAGGAACGUGUCUAGAAGUUUCUGUCAAAAUCUCAGCCCGAUCCAACGGUGAAACAACUGGAAAAUGAAGAAAGAAGACAGACUGCUCUGCUGCCUCCUCUUCUUUCUUUCUCUCGGUUUUCUUCUCCUCUCUUCUCAAAUUUUCUACUACUAUCUACAGUAACCGUUUCAUUUAAUUUAAACCAAAGAGGCAGCCAGCUGCCUCCUUAAUUAAUGUGGUGGUCCCCCAUCACAUGGUGCGGGACCACACAACAGUAUGCUAGAGUCUCUCAAUAUAUUAAAAGGGCUAACUAUAAGGUAAAAUAAUGAUCAGUUUUAGUUAGCUCCUGCGGGACUUUGCAUUCUAUAAUUUAUGCUAUGCAUUCUAUAACCCUUGGCCCUCUAAAUUACCCAAAAAGGACAAUAAUUGAGCUUGGUGAUCUAAGAGCACAAGUGGUACAGUUCUCAAUCGAAUUUUAGCAAAAUCAAGGAUCCAAGAAAUGGCCUCUGUAACAUGGUAGCUAUGAUUUGAAACAAAUGUAGCUAUGUUUUCUCCUUUUAUUAUAAAAAAUUAAUAUUCAUGGAUUAAUUUUCAUAUAAUUUAAGAAAGCAAGUACUUUAAUCAAAUUUUACAUUGACCAUCCUCAAUGUGUUUAAAGUAAAUGUUAAUUACCAAGCUGUUGCAAUUAAACCUGACCGGCCCGGUAGGUUUACUGUUACCUUUUACCUUUUAUAAUUAUGAUUAUUGCCUUGAAUAUAUUAUUUGAUUAGUCCAUUUAUAGGUUGACUCUACUAUUCCUGCCUUGCAUUGACAGUAAAUUUCACUAGAAAUUUCAAGUAAUUUACACAGGAAAUUUCCUGGUGAUAAACCUGGAAUCUGAUUUUCAACUUUCGUAGGCACUAAAGUCCCAAACUUCAAGAAUUUCAGAAUAUCAAUUCAACCGUACUCCAAAGAACACUCAUACUCCAAUAUCAGCAACGACCACGAAAGUUACCACUCUAAAUUCCAGCUCAAUAAUUUGUUCUUUGACAAUUAUUGCAUUGCUAAUAAUUUGCAAGGAAACAUACUUUUAACUACAAGAGUCUGUUUGAUAUUUUUCCAACUUUUACUGUUUCACUUCAAAGUUUCAAUAAUUGUUUUUUCAUUACAUAUUCUUUCCAACGUGUAAUAAUUCGGAACCACUCGCAAUAAAUAAAGCCAGCAAAGGCAGAUGUGUUUGUCUAUAUAUACAUGAACCUGCUGAUUCGAUUUGAACACCCCAUUUCUCCGAUUCAAUAACUUCAGUUGCAAAACUUCUCUCUCCGAUUGCUGCAAUUUCAUAGCUAACUCUUUGUUAUACACAGGUAUAUAUGGCUAACUCUUCUUAGCUUCUUUCUUGUUUUAAUUUCAUGUCUCUACCAUUAACAAUAAUGUGAAAGCUUUGCUUGUUUCAUGUUUAACUUCAGUUGCUAUUGUCCUAUGCUUUCUCAUUAUUAAGCUUAAAUUGCUAAUUGAUUGUUCCUUAAAUUCUGCAGCUGAAAUGAGAGAGUCAGAGUCUUCUCGUUCUAUACCAGAAGGGGCCUAUGAUGUCUUCUUGAGUUUUAGAGGAGAAGAAACUCGCAAGACGUUUACUGGUCAUCUAUAUGCUGCCUUAGAUGAAGCAGGAAUCCACACUUUUCUAGAUGAUGUUGAACUUCCUAGAGGAGAAGAAAUCUCCGAGCAUCUUCUCAAGGCAAUUCGAGAAUCAAAGAUAUCCAUAGUUGUCUUCUCAAAAGGAUAUGCUUCUUCUAGAUGGUGUCUCAAUGAACUUGUAGAGAUUCUAAAGUGCAAAAGGAAGAAAACCGGUCAGAUUGUUCUUCCUAUAUUCUAUGACAUUGAUCCUUCAGAUGUGAGAAAACAGACUGGCAGUUUUGCAGAGGCAUUUGAUAAGCAUGAAGAGCGUUUUGAAGAGGAGUUGGUGAAGGAGUGGAGAAAAGCUCUUGAGGAUGCCGGAAACCUAUCUGGAUGGAGUCUCAAUGAUAUGGCAUAUGGGUAUUCCUUUUCUCUCUAAGAUUCACUUGCAGACGUUUAUGGAGUAAUUUUACAUUACAUUUUUCAAUGUGAAGUUAUAAAAUAUUUCUUUUUAGCAUACUUAAUUGACUUGCUAUCGAUGACUUGCCUUUUUUUCUGUGAGCAGGCAUGAAGCAAAAUUUAUCAGAGGUUCCUGAGCACCUCGUAGGUAUGGAUCGGUGUACUCACAAUAUUUAUGACUUUCUAAGUAAUGCAACAGAUGAUGUACGCAUUGUGGGCAUACAUGGGAUGCCAGGAAUAGGAAAGACAACUAUAGCAAAAGUUGUAUUUAAUCAACUCUGCAAUGGAUUCGAUGGAAGCUGUUUUCUUUCGGAUAUCAAUGAAAGGUCAAAACAAGUUAAUGGUCUGGCUCUUCUACAAAAGCGACUUCUUCACGAUAUUUUAAAACAAGAUGCUGCAAACUUCGAUUGUGUUGAUAGAGGAAAGGUUCUAAUCAAAGAGCGACUUUGUCGCAAAAGAGUUCUUGUUGUUGCUGAUGAUGUUGCUCAUCAGGACCAGCUAAAAGCUCUGAUGGGAGAUCGAAGUUGGUUUGGUCCCGGAAGUAGAGUAAUUAUUACAACAAGAAAUUCAAAUCUUCUUCGUAAAGCGGAUCGAACAUAUCAAAUUGAAGAAUUGACAAGAGAUCAGUCCCUUCAGCUUUUCAGCUGGCAUGCCUUUGAGGACACCAAGCCAGCAGAAGAUUAUAUUGAGCUUUCAAAGAAAGCAGUUGAUUACUGUGGAGGACUUCCUUUAGCUCUUGAUGUUAUGGGUGCUUGUCUGUCCGGGAAAAACAGAGAUGGUUGGAAAUCUGUAAUUGACAAAUUGAAAAGAAUUCCAAACCACGAUAUUCAAAGAAAGCUUAGAAUAAGUUAUGACUUACUGGACGGUGAAGAACUAAAAAAUGCAUUCCUUGAUAUCGCAUGCUUCUUUAUUGAUAGAAAGAAAGAGUACAUCGCAAAACUGCUAGGAGCCCGUUGCGGUUACAAUCCAGAAGUUGAUUUGCAAACUCUCCAUGAAAGGUCUCUGAUUAAAGUAUUGGGAGAGACGGUAACCAUGCAUGAUCUAUUACGAGACAUGGGAAGGGAGGUCGUUCGUGAAUCGCCUCCAAAAGAACCUGGAAAGAGGACCAGAAUUUGGAAUCAAGAGGAUGCAUGGAAUGUCCUUCAGCAGCAGAAGGUAAGAGCUCAAUGCAUACAUGAAAGCAUAGUCAAACUUAUUACAUAUAAUUGAAUGAAAGUUGUAUUGAUUUUAUUUUUUUAGGGUACGGAAGUUGUAGAGGGUCUUAAACUGGAUGUCAGAGCAUCAGAAACUAAAUCACUGAGCACAGGAUCAUUUGCAAAAAUGAAAGGCUUAAAUUUACUCCAAAUCAACGGAGCACAUCUCACCGGAUCCUUCAAAUUGCUUUCUAAAGAGUUGAUGUGGAUUUGUUGGCAUGAAUUUCCUUUGAAAUAUUUUCCAUCUGAUUUUACUUUGGACAAUCUAGCUGUUCUUGAUAUGCAGUACAGUAACCUCAAAGAAUUAUGGAAGGGAAAAAAGGUGAGAAACAUGCUGCAAUCCCCAAAAUUUGUCCAGUAUGUAAUUUAUAUUUACAUGUUAUGACUUUCUAUGAUUAAUUUUCAUUAUUUUUCUCUCUAUUAUAACAGAUUCUCGACAAGCUUAAAAUUCUUAAUCUCAGUCAUUCUCAGCACCUUCUUAAAACACCAAACUUACACAGUUCAAGUCUAGAGAAACUAAUUCUGAAAGGUUGCUCGAGUUUAGUUGAGGUGCAUCAAUCAAUUGAAAAUUUGACGAGCCUUGUUUUCUUGAAUCUGAAGGGAUGUUGGAGUCUGAAGACUCUCCCUGAAAGCAUUGACAAUGUAAAAUAUCUUGAAACUCUGAAUAUAUCUGGGUGUUCACAACUUGAGAAAUUGCCGGAACGCAUGGGUGAUAUGGAAUCCUUAACCGAGCUGCUAGCUGAUGGGAUUGAAAAUGAGAAAUGUCUCUCUUCAAUUGGACAAUUUAAGCAUGUCAGAAGGUUAUCAUUGCGUCGAAAUAGUUCGGCUCCACCAAGUUCUUCUUUGAUUUCAAUAGGUGUUUUGAAUUGGAAACGUUGGCCGCCAGCAUCUUUCAUUGAAUGGAUAUUAGUGAAACAUCUUGAGCUUUCUAAUAGUGGUUUGUCUGAUCGCGCAACUAACUGUGUUGAUUUCAGUGGUUUGUCUGCUCUAGAAAAAUUGGAUCUAGAUGGAAACAAAUUCUCUAGGCUGCCUUCUGGGAUCGGCUUCCUUCUCAAGCUAAGGGAUUUGUCUGUUGAGGGAUGCAAAUAUCUUGUAUCAAUCCCAGAUCUUCCCUCAAGUUUAACGCGUUUGGGUGCAUCUUAUUGCAAAUCAUUGAAAAGAGUAAGAAUACCAAGCGAGCCAAAAAAAGAACUAUAUAUAUUCCUAGAUGAAAGUCAUUCGUUAGAAGAGUUUCAGGACAUUGAAGGUCUAAGUAAUAGUUUCUGGUAUAUUCGUGUUGAUGACCGCAGUCAUUCACCAAGUAAAUUACAGAAGAGCGUUGUUGAGGUACUAUUUCUUUCUGUCUCUCUUUCGCACAAAAAGAAACACACAUAAUUGGCACAUACAUUGAUUAAUGUCUAAGAUCCUAGCAUUUCUUGAAAUCAAUAUGUAUACAGGCAAUAAUCAUUAUUAUUAUUAUUUUAUUUUAAAAAAUAAGUAUCAUCUUUAAUAAUAUUUUUUAUUUUUCUUAUUUAAUCUAAAAAAUUAAAUAUUAUCUUUAAUAAUAUGUUUUUAUUAAAUAUUUAAAGUCUGAUUGGUUUUAUUUUUUAUUUCUUGAUUUUAUGAUAAUAUAUUUAUACAGGCAAUGUGCAACGGUCGUCACGGGUAUUUUAUUCGCCACACUCCUGGUCAGAUGCCAAAUUGGAUGAGCUACAGGGGAGAAGGACGCUCAUUGUCAUUCCAUAUACCUCCAGUCUUCCAAGGCUUAGUUGUUUGGGUUGAUAAGGAUGAUAAGGAUGCUCACAUUAUUAUUAUUAUAAGAAAUAAUAGAAAUGGUAAUCUCUUGUUUCAAUGUACGAAAUGGUAUUAUCAUCCAAAAACUGGAAGUAUAAGAUACAUAAGAAGAAGUGAAAUGGCAAUGGAAGAUUACUGUGCAGAUGACGAAUUGGAACUAUACAUUUAUUCAAAGCCAUCACCGUUGGCAAUGGCAAUGGCAAUGAAGGAUGCUGUGAUGCCUUCAUUUGAACCGUCUACACCUAAGCAAUGUGGGGUCCAUGUGAUCGUAGGAAAGUCAGAUUCAUUUGAAGAGUUGGCAGUGGGAAGAGAUGCAGUGAUGCUUCCUCAUCCUCGUUGUGGUUCGAUUACAGCGUCUACACCUAAGCAAUGGAUUGACUUUUUAUUUGCGAAGCUGCAAAACCAUAACCUCAAUUUAAGGCUUUUUGGUAAGAAUACAUAUUUCCUUUAGUUAUUUCUAUUUUAAUAUUCUAUUUAAUUUAAGAGAUUAAAUAUCAUCUUUAAUUAUUACAUUUUUCUUAUUUAAUCUAAAAAAAUAAAUAUUAUCUUUAACAAUAUUUUUUAUUAAAUAUUUAGAGUCUGCUUGGUUUUAAUUAUUUCUUUUCUUGAUUUUAUGAUAAUAUUUUUCUUAUUUAAUAUAAAAAAUAAAUAUUAUCUUUAAUACUUAGAUCUAUCGAAUAUCACUUAAAAAAUAAAUUGUAACUUUAAUAAUUAUUUUUUGAAAAACAAAAAGCCAACAAUCACUAACUUAUUUAUUAAAAUCACUUUAGUUUAUCUAGAAAAUAUUGAAAUUGAUUUUUUUUUUACAUUAAAGUAAAAAAAAAAUAAUGUUUUUAUAUUUUAUUUCAAACUCGAUAUUUUAAAACAAAAAUGAAAAAGAUGUGAUUUUGACCUUUUUUAUUAUAAAGUAAGUUUUUUAAUUAAAAGUGAUGGGAAUUUGUUUUAUUGCAUGUACAAUCAUGCACAUUUAACUUUCUUUUUAAAUUUGAUGGUUUUUUAGUACGGGAAUGACUUGAAGAUGAUUUUACAUAGAGAUGCUUGAAGUUGCUCCAAAUCAGUACGAUACUUUCAUCUGACAUGUUGAUAUGUAUUUGUUGGCUUGAAGAUCAUUUUCCAUCCGCUGGACAACCUAGUUGUUAAUUAUUUUCCAAGGUACUUCUAUCUGAUGUAUUGAUAUGUAUUUGUUGGCUUGAAGAUCAUUUUCCAAGCUUGGAAGUUUUAUUGAAUGCUCUUUGAAAUCUUUUCCAUCCGCUUUUAUACUGGACAACCUAGUUGUUAAUUAUUAUCCAUGAUGUAAUUUAUAUUUUCAAGUUAUAAAUUUUGAUGAAUAUUGUUUCAGUUUUUUCCUCACUUCAAAAGAUGAAAAUCCUUGAUGUUAGUUAGAAAUAAAUUGGUUUUCUAGGAAGAGAUUAUUGAUUGGAAUAUAGUAUUUGAGUUGGUUCUACAUCAUUUACUGUUAUAAAUAAUUUAAAAUAAUUGAUGAAAAUUACCGAUACAUAGAAAAGUUGUGAGAGCAUCCUUAAUUAGUCUAGUAAGUAAAGUGUUGUUAGUUUUGACUAUAAGAUCUUGCUAUGUAUUAUUGCAUGGUUUUUACUAUUUUUAGGCAUUUUUCUUUUUGUAUAUACAACUUUUGUUUUUCUUGCCGCUUGUCAUUAGCUUUAUGGCACCAACACCAAUUAAUAAUAAAUCUUGAACUAUUAUUAAAUAAAGAAAAAAUAUAAACAUUGUUAAAAUACCAAACUUGAAUUGCUCAAUCCUAAAGAAACCCUAUGACAAUAAUCUAAUUUAGAAAAUAAUUAAUUUAUCCUUGUAGUCUAAGAAAAUAUAAACAUUGUUCUUUCUUAUUUUAUUUUUUUUAAUUGGAUUACCUUUAUCUUAACGAGUGAAAUAAAGAAACACUCCCCCCAUCUUUCUUGUUCCCUUUCCCUUCUUUACAUGGCUUACUCAGUGAAAAAGCAAUUAAACACCCCAUUUGAUUUUCAAUCAGUAUGAGAGUGAGAGAGAGAGAGGCCAAGGUGGUCCUUGAAUAUUUUCUUCUUUUUUGUCUCGCUCACUGGGGCAAACCAUUUUUUUCAACAUUUUGAAUAGCAUGCCAUCAAAAGGAAUUUUGUUCAAUCCCAAUCCCACAUUGUCUGUAGAAGUAUUUACUUUUGACUCCACACUUUGUUAUUUUCCAAUCCCUCCCCAGUUCUGCAACCAUUUCUCUACUUUCUAUGCUCUUGGCUUGCUAAAAACUAAAGAAAACACAUUGCUCUAGUUGCCUCCCUUCACUCUUCAGAUUGCUCAACAAAUCCCUUGAGACCUUCUCCAUAGUUAACACAUCACAUAAUGGGUACUCUAAAAAAUUUAGCCAUAAACAUUGAACACCUUGAGCAAUCAACGUGCCUUCCUUCACAAUAUCCAUCGCCCAUAAAUCUUUCUUUUGGGAUGUCGCGGGAGUUUAAUCUCCGAGUGUUAAAAUUAUGUAUAAAUUUCCAUUCUUUCCUUCCAUCCAUUACUUGUCCUCUAUGAAGAUUCUAUGUAUGAAAUCUCGGAAUCUUUUCGAGUAUAACUUGGGAUCAACAGCUGAGAUAGACGUGGGAUCCACUUGUAAGGACUUGUAUGCAUGCUCUAGCUUUUUGCUGAUAUCAUAAUCUUGGAGGAUGUCAAUGAUACCAAAGUGAAGAACUACAUCUCACAAUCACCAAAAUUCAAAGUAAAGUAACGGAGAAGAAAAUCUGAUAACAAUGAAUGAUCACUCAUUAACCACAGCGAAUCUUACGCUUUGAAAACACUUUUCACCAUCAAUUUUCCUUUUCUCAUUGAUUUUAAAUCUUCCAGGCAGAUAAAAUAGCAUUGGUUUCAUUCUGUUAAAAAUGGACCUAUUCAUCAGCUUAGGCAUCAACAACAUGUUGCAUCCACAAUCUUACUACUACAUUAUAAUUAUAAACAAAACUAAAAAAAUAUAUAUAUGAGGACAGAGUUAACAGACAUGCACUAAGAGUUAACAGACAAUUCUGUUAUAACAAACAAGUGAACAAUCUGUUUUCUCCAACCUUCCAGCAUUAUUCUCCCGAGCAUAUUCUGUCAGCUCAAGAUUAGGCAAUUCUGUUAACCAUGCUGUUAGCUCUGUUCUCUUUUGUUGUAUAUAUACUUGAUUGAUUGAUUGAUUCAAUAACAUUAUCUUUCUCUCUUCUCACCUGCCCCCUUUUUCUUCUCCUUUUACCUCUAGCUUCCAAUGCCUAUCAACACCACCAUCCUUAACACAAAUGAAUCUCACAGCAUGUUGAUUACCAUCAAUGUAGCAGCCCAAACUCCAUUAAAACUUACCUCCACCAGGCACCAACUAUCUAGCCUGGAAACUUCAAUUCCAGACUCUAUUCAUAGGACAUUUGAUUGAGGUCUCCACAAACAUUGAAACACCGCAAUUUUUCAUGAUAAAAUCCAAAGGAUUGGUACUUUGGUGUUUGAGGGGCUGGUAAAUGAAAGAACAGAUCAAGAGAUGACAUCCCUCUAUACCGCUGUUAUUCCUUUCAAGGUGCGUAUCAGGUGUUUGAAAAACUUCCUCAACUUAAAAUAAAAAGGUCUUGUUUACAACGUUUUUUAGUCCUUUACAAAUCUUCCAAUGUGUUGCGUUUACUGAAUAUGAUAGUGGGAACUUAUUUAUCAAGAAUUAACUACUCAGAAGAAAAUGUAAAGACGCAAUAAUGAUUUUUUUAUUUUAGAUUCCAUAGUCUACAAACUUGGAAGCAUACGGACCAGUCAGCUGGUAAAUGAAAGAACAGGGAUCAAGAGAUGAAAUCCCUCUAUACCGCUGUUUGAUACAAAAGUUCAUGGCCAAGUAAAAGAUGUUUAUUUUGGAUGUAAUAAAUAUUCAUAUUGCAACAUAAUAGUCAUCUCUCAAAUCCAUAAUUCAAUUGAUCAUAUAAAUAAUUGUUGAUUACUUAAAUAAACAAUUAUAUAAUUAAAUACUUAAUUAUAAAUUAAAGAGAUGGACAAUUAUAUAUUUCUAAAAUCUUAAUUACAAUUAUAUUAUAAUUUCUUCCCUAAAAUUUUUCAAAAUACAGUAUUAGAAUUACAUAAUAAAAUACAGUAUUAUAAUUUCUCAUCUAAAGGUCCAGCAUACCCUGGGAAUCUGAUCGGGUCAAGCUACGAGCAAUUAGGAGGCAUGACCAUCACCCACAUGUAACUUUGCUAAUAAUAUAUUACGGUUGUCAAAAUUAAUUAUUAUUAGCAAAAACUUAUUUUAUUUGUGAAUCUCUCAACCGUUGGAUUUAGAUAUGAGGAUAAGAGAUUGUGGGCACCUCUCUUUUUUAAAAUAACUAAAAUCUAAAUCAUCGGACGNNNNNNNNNNNNNNNNNNNNNNNNNNNNNNNNNNNNNNNNNNNNNNNNNNNNNNNNNNNNNNNNNNNNNNNNNNNNNNNNNNNNNNNNNNNNNNNNNNNNCCGGGAUUAUUUUAACUCAGUGAUCCUUCCCAGGUAGGCCCAGGUCACAUUGAUUAUGUUAAAAAAAAAAAAAAUCUAAUGUCUUUACCAUUAUAUUAUAAUUAUUUAGGAGGAUAGUUGAACAAUACUUUUUUAAAAAAAAUUAAUUUUUGACGAGUAAAAUAAUGUGGAACCAAUCGCAAUAAAUAAAGCCAAAAAAGGCAGACGAGUGUGUCUAAUUCAUGACUUGCAUUGACUAAAAAUUACCACUAGAAAUUCCUAGUUUUAUCCUAUAUAAAGAAUACAAAAAAGGCAGACGAGUGUGUUUCGUGGUGCUUUCUCGGCCUGCAAAUGAAUAGAAAGCAUAUCCUUUUAUCCUAUAUAAAGAAUAAUACAAUUAACAAAGCAUAUUUCAAUAUCCUUGCUUUACUCUCCAGCUAACCUGAUACAUAUUUCAAUGUCUCAAGACAUACGUAUGCCAUUGAUAGAAAGGUGUGUUCAAGCAAAAUCUUUUUUUAUCUGUAGCGACCUCAAUAAUGUUAACGCCACGAAAUUACCACUCCAAAUUCCUUGUUCUUCCUUUUUAUAUUAUUAGAAAAACUGUGAUUGACUGAUUUAAUUGGAAAUUAUUUGUGAGAAAGCUAAAAAGAAUUGGAGUUCUUCAAUUCCUAAAAUUCUAAUUUUAAAUUGUAAAAAAAAAUUAAUUAUUUUUAAAAUUAUUUUAGAAAAUAAAACAUUAACUAUUUAUAUAAUAGCUAAAUAAAUCUAUUAAAAUAAAUCGAAAAUAACCAGUAAAAUCAAGCAAAUAAUUCAAAUAUAACAAGUAAAUAAUUAUAUUUUUUUGGUCUGAUUUGAGUAUGUUUUCUUGACUUGCUUUAGUGUUCAUUAAACAUAAACAAACUUUGCUCUAAGAGUCUGCUUAUCAAUAAAAUAUUACUUUUACUGUACAUAAUAGAAAUAAUUUGGUUACCCGUCGACACUUACGUCACUUUACUCUUCAAUCGAUGUAAUUUCAUAGCUUUUCUCAGCAGGUGGGAUCCAACUAAUUUCAUAAAUCAUAAUUCUUCCUAAGGCGAUGCCAAAUAGGUGCCAAGAGUAUACCGCAUUAAGCGAAAACAUGCUGUCGCCAUAGUCUUACAGCUAANNNNNNNNNNNNNNNNNNNNNNNNNNNNNNNNNNNNNNNNNNNNNNNNNNNNNNNNNNNNNNNNNNNNNNNNNNNNNNNNNNNNNNNNNNNNNNNNNNNNCCAUUAAUAUUUGAUUGUUAUAAUUUAAUUUUUUUUUAAAAGCAAUUAAUCUUCAUUCUCUUUAUUUUUUUUCAAUCCAUUUAGUAAUUUGAUUUUUUUUUUUAAUUUUACCCUUCAAUUUAAAAUUUUAGUUUGUCCUCUCAAUUUUUUUUCAAAUGAUGUUCUUUUUUCUUAAUUGUUGUUUUUUUAUCCUUUAAUUUUUUUUAAUUUUAUUAUUCAACAUUUCAUUAAUUGAGAUUUGGUCUCAUUAAGCCCUACCCAAGAGUCAAUCUGGGAUAAUUAUUAAGUCACAAGUCGAGUAAGUUGACUCGAGUUAACCUAAGUUAACCAAAUCGUUUUAUUUUAUAAAAAGCCAAAAUGAUACCAUUUUUUUUAAAAAAAAUAAUAAACAAGUUUUGACCAUGUUUCGGCUAGGUUUUCUCAGGGUUAACUGAAAUAUUGGUCAACCCAGGUUUUGAUCGUAUUAUACUGGAGUAAUUCUCCGUCAAUUUUUUUUGAAACUCGAGCCAGUUUCAGCUAAAGGUCACUUAGAACACAGGUCAACCCAUAAGUUAAACCAAAUUUUUAAAUAAUAACUUUACAAAUAUAGUUCUUUCAAUUUAAUUACUAUCUCAGAUUAAGAUUUGAAAAAUUAACAUGGAUUUCUUUCGUUAUUCAUUUUAAAAAAGAACUCGUUAGUUUGCAAGUCCACGUGUCAAAUUUGGAAAAUCAUAUGGCCCAUUGAUAGAAAGGGGUGUUGAAGCAAAAUCUUUAUUAGCAAAGCCUGUUCGACCUCAAUAAUGUUAACGCGUGGACCCAGUUGUCGCAACCACCGCGAAAUUACCGCUCCAAAUUCCUUGUUCUUUCUCCGUAUAUUAUUUUUGAAAAACUGCCAUGUAUUUAAUUGUAAAGUAUUUGCAAAAAAGCUAAAAGAAUUAUAGUUUUUUAAUUUUUAAAAUUAUAAUUUUAAAUUGAAAAAAAAUAAUUAUUUUUAAAAUUGUUUUAAAAAUAUAACAUCAACUAUUUAUAUAAUAGCUAAAUAAAUAUAUUACAAUAAAUCAAGAAUAACAAGUAAAAUCAAGCAAAUAAUCCAUAAAUAACAAGAAAAUAAGUAUAUUUUCUAGAUCUGAUUUGAGUAUAUUUUUUAUCUUGAUUGACUGACUUGCUAAGUUUUUGCUAAGUAUAAACUAAUUUUACUCUAAGAAUUUAUUUGAUAUUUCUUCACUUAUUAAUGAAAUAUUAUUUCUACUGUAGAAAAUAGAAAUAAUUUGGUUGACCAUCGACACUUAUGUGAUUGAUUAUUGAUUAUUUUACUCUAAGAUGAAUAUUUUUUUGUUUGCAUCAAAUAAUUAAAAUUGAGAAUUUCAAAGCAGAGGGUUUAAGGAAUAUUAAAAGAGAAGGUUUUACGUAAUUAUUAUAUAAUUGAAAUUGUCACUAAUCUCCUUUGUUCAUUUUCUUUUUCUAUUACCCCUUCCAAUCAGCAUGCAAGAAACUUUCAACGUUUUACACUGCUUGUUCACUUAAUAAAACUAUUACUUGCUAUAAAGCAAGAAAUAAUAUUCUUUCUCUGAAAAGGGCUUGAGAAAACCCUAAGCAUGGUAGAUAAUCUCUUAUAGGAAUCUCUUUAUUAAAUAAUCAAAUAUCAAAGUCUAUUUCCAAAGACUAUUACUACAGUUUAUAUAUAUAUAUAUAUAUAUAUAUAUAUAUAUAUAUAUAUAUAGAAACAACUAAAUAGAGAAAUUAUUAUUUUUUAAAUAGAAAAGGUUGAAAAGCUUGAUAAUAUCGAGUAAGAAAUAAAAUAUAAAAAUAAUUCUUUUUUAAAUAAACAAAUAUAAAAGUUUAAUAGUACUGAAUAGAAAAAAAAAUAGAAUUUCUAAACUAAAUAAAAGUAACUGAAAAAAGUAUUUAUUAUUCCAAAAAAUUAGAGUUUUUUAAUUUAUAAAAUUAUAAUUUUAAAUUGUAAAAAUAAUUCAAUUAUUUUUAAAAUUAUUUUAAAUAAUAAAACAUCAACUAUUUAUAUAAUAGCUAAAUAAAUCUAUUAAAAUAAAUUGAGAAUAACUAGUAAAAUCAAGCAAAUAAUCCAAAAAUAACAAGCAAAUAACUUGUCAAGUCUUUAUUCAGCACAAACGAACUUUAUUCUAAAAGUAUAUUUGAUAUUUCUUCACUUAUCUAUGAAAUAUUACCUCUACUGUACAGAAUAGAAAUAAUUUGAUUGACCGUCGAUACUUAUGUUAUUGAUUAUUGAUUAUUUGGAAGAAGAAAUUGUAUUCAUUCUUCUUAUUUAUUUUUAUUAUUAACGUGGAUGUUCAGGCCAGCUUGCGCACACCUCGACUAAUCCCACGAGUCCUGAAGUUAACGAUCAUGUAAGCCUCCAGUGACCAUCAUAUUAGCAACUAUAGAGCUCGAACCUGAGAUUAUAGAGGGAACAAACCUCUUAAUCUCAAACUCUUAUCACUAGAUCACCUACUUUACUAUUCAGCUCGUUGUAAUUUCAUAGCUUCUCCCAGGUGGACGCAACUAAUUUCAUAAAUUAUAAGUCUUCGCUAAGCAUAAAUGAACUUUAUUCUGAGAGUCUGAUUGAUAUUUUUUCAUUUAUUAAUGAAAUAUUACUUCUAUUGUAUAGUUAUUGGGUACCGAGUCGAUCCACCUGGUCAAUAGAUGAACGGUACAUUCUUUGAAUUUAUUAGAAGAAAUAUGUAGUGUAAAUUAUAAAAAAAAUAUUUAUUUUUUGAUAUAUAAUAAUAAUAAUAAUAAUAAUAAUAAUAAAUUAGAUGAUAGUAACAAGAAAAUAGAAAUUAAUUUGAAUAAAUGGUAAGAGUUCCUAUUCUAAUAUAUCCAGGGAAGAAGUUCGAAGAAUAGAAUGAAGUUAAAUAUUCUUAAUAAAAGAAAGAAAUGAAAUAUAUUUUUAAUAAAUAUAAAAGAUGGAUAAAAUUAGAGAACAAGAAAGAGAUAUAUAAUCUUUUUGUAAGAACUUCUAAAAAUUUAAUUACAAUUCAGAAUUUCUUCCUUAAAAAUAUCCAAAAAAUCCUAUUAUAUAUGAAUCAAGACAACAGUAGAAUAACUUUUACAUAUUUUUCAAGUUUACUUAGAAUAGCAGUGGAAUAAUUCUUUUAAUAUUUAAAAAUUAAAAAAAAAACUGUGUAGUUGUUUUGUAUAAAUUCUAAAGUUGAGAACUCUUUUGUGCUUGGUAAAAUAUGAUUUUCAACUUUCGUAGGCGAGCACUAAAGUCCCAAGCUUCAAGAAUUUCUCUUCUUUUCCUUUUGUAUUUUCUCAUUUUCUUGGCAUGCGCGCAGCUGCUUCAUGGAAAAAACGUUUCAGAUGCGGAAAAUAAAGAUAAAUGUGGAAAAUAGAAGCGGAAAAAAAAUCCCAAAUAUCGACAAACAUCACAAGAGAAGCUUGAUAUCAACCACAUGUUGCAGUCCACAGUCUUUCCAUUACAUUAUAAUUACUUCUAAAAAAAAAUUUAAUUUUUUUUAAUUAUACGCCAUCAGCAACUACCUCAAAAUUACCACUCUAAAUUCCAGCUCAAUAUCGAUUAACAUGUGGCUAAAGAAUUUGAUUGCUGCUCAAUAUUUACCAAUACGCGCUUGAGAAAUUUCCUGCACGUGUUACAUUUUUAUCUUUUAUAAUUAUAAUUAUUGCAUUGCUAAUAAUUUGCAAGAAAGAAUAUUGUUUCUCUUAAAAGGGCUUGAGAAAACCCUAAGCAUUGUAGAUAAUCUCUUAUAGGAAUCUCUUUAUUAAAUCAUCAAAAUAUCAGAGUAUAUUUCCAAAUACUAUUACUAUAGUUUUUAUAUAUAUAUAUAAAAAUAGAAACAACUAAGUAGAGAAAUUAUUAUUUUUUAAAUAAAAAAACUAGAAAAGCCUAUAAUAUUAUUGAAUAAAAAAUAAAAUAGAAAUUUAAUCAAUUAAAAGUUUAAAAAAAAAUACUGUUUAACUGUUUUGUAUAAAUUCUAAAGUUAAAGAGUCUUUUGUGCUUGGUAAAAUACGUCACACUAAAAUUAAUAAAUAAUAACACAAGAAAGGACCAAAGUUAAUAAAUAAUAGCAUGCACGAAACUUCACGAUACCCAUGUUUUCCACGUUUUACACUGUUUUAAUAGAUUGUUACAGCAAGAGCACAGAGAGAGGAACGGUUCAAGACAAAACAACGAAGGAGGGGCAGAUGCUCAAGUUGUUGCAACCACCAUGAAAGGAACACAUUAAUGUUAACGCGUGGACCCAGUUGCUGCACCAGCACGAAAGUACUACUCCAAAUUCCAGCUCAAAUUGAAUAAUGAUUUAUUUUCUAGCAUAAAUUAUGUUUGAAAUAAAAUUGAUAAAAGACAUAAUUACACAAUUAUUGAUGGGAUCGUAUAUAAAAAUAAUUAAAUUGUGAUUUUUUAAUUAUUUUUAAACAUAUCAUGGUUUGAGGUACAUCAUGUAAAUUAUAAAAAAAAUAUUUAUUUUUCUGAUAUAUAUAUAGUAAUAACAAAUGGUUAGAAUGCUUUAGUCCUUUUCGAGUGGAAAGUGGUGUGAAAGUGGGAACUACUGUGAGAGCUUUAUGCCACUUUCUAAAUCGCGAGUAAAGUCUGAAUGUUUUUAGAAAGAAGCAGCCUUCAUUGCUUUUCAAAACCAAUCUCUGUAUCUAUUAACAAAAACUCUAAAUCGCGAGUAAAGUCUAAAUGUUUUUUAAAAAGAAGCAGUCUUCAUUGCUUUAAUAAAUUGUUACAAUAAAGCACUGAGAGAAGAAUGGUUAUACCGUUGAGCCGGGUCGAGUUUUAAAAUUAUAAUUUAUAUAUAAAAACAACUAAAUAGAAAAAUUAUUAUUUUUUAAAUGAAAAAACCAGAAGAGCUUAAUAAUAUUUAAUAAAAAAAUAAAAAUGAAAAAAUAUUCCUUUUUAAGUACAAACUAAUUUAAUAAUACUGUAUAAAAAAAUUAAAAUUUCUAACCUAAAUUAAAAAAAAUAAAAAUAACUGAGAAAAUAUUUAUAAAGAUAACGGUAUGUAAAUCUAGGAACUAAAAAUAAUACAACUACAUUGAUUGGAGAUUUCACUCAGAAUUUCUAGUAAAUUAUAAAGGAAAUUUCCUAGUGCUUUUCAUGUACAUGAAUUUAAAAAUUAUCGUCGCGGAACUUACUUGCAUUGACUGACUUGCUAAAUAUUUGUGCUCGAAAUUUCCAAGCAAUUUAUGGAGGAAAUUUCCUUGUGCUCUCUCUUGUACAUUAUUAGAAAAGCUGUCAUUGAUUGAUUGACUUGCAAAAGUAUUUGCAAGAAAGCUAACGAAUUAGAGUUUUUUAAAAUUUUAAAUUAUUAAAAAAAUCCAUUUUUUUUUUAAAUCAAGAAUAAAACAUCAAGUAUUAUAUAAUUGCUAAAUAAAUCUAAUAAAAUAAAUCGGAAAUAACUAGUAAAUAAUCCAAAAAUAACUAGAAAAUAACCUUUUCCACCUCAAUAAUGUUAACGCGUGGACCCAGUUGUUGUGGAAACUAUGCAGAGGAAGAAAAAUGAUAGAAAAAUUUGCAAGAGAGAAUUCUUUCUCUGAAUAGAAAAAAACUAUUAUUUUUUAAAUAAAAACAACUAUAUAGAAAAAUUAUUACUUUUUAGGUAGAAAAACCUCAUGAUAUUGAAUAAAAAAAUAAAAUAGAAAAAUUAUUCUUUUCAAGUAGAAAAAAAUAUAAAAGUUUAAUAAUAUUGAAUAGAAAUCAAUAAAAUUUCAAAACUAAAUAAAAAUAAUAGAGAAAAAUAUUUAUUAUCCUAAAAAUUCUUAUAUUAAAAUAUUUAAAAGAACUGAGUUUACAUGCUUUAAACAGAAAAACAACAAAAAAAAAAAACAAAUGUAACAAGAAAAAUUCCACACAACGUAAUAUGAUAUAAAUUGAGGUUUUUAAAUUACCUAUAAACAUAUCAUAAUAUAUAUGGUACAUCCUUUGAAUUUAUUAGAAAGAAGCCAUUAACUAGCCUUUUCAAUUGGAUCUUUUAUUUAAAUGAAAAGGAAUAUUUAUUUUAAUAUGAAAAAAAUAUUUAUUUUUUUGAUAUUUCUGGUAAUAAUAAAUUAGAGGAUAGUAACAAGAAAAUAGGAAUUAGAUCGAAUAAAUGGUACCAAUUUGUAUUCUGAUAUAUCUAGCCAAAGAAUAGAAUGAAUUAAAACAUUCUUAAUAAAAAAAACAGAAAACACAGAAAUAAAUAAAAAGAUAUUCUUAAUAAAUAUAAAAAAUAGGUAAAAUCAGAGAACAAGAAAGAGAUAUAGAAUCUCUUUCUAAGAUUUCUAAAAACUUAAUUACAAUUACAUUAUAAUUUCUUCCUUAAAAUUAUUCAAAAUAUAGUAUUAGAAUUGCAUAAUGCUAGGUUUUAGUAUAUAGUUGUUUAUAUUGUUAAAGAGUCUCUCCUAAAACAAAUAAUAAAAAUAUUGUACAACUCUUUUGAAUGAAUUGUUAAUGCACGGACUGUUUUGGGUCCUGACUUGGUUGAUUUAACUUGAAUGUAUUAUUUGAUUGGUCCAAAUAAAAGUCGACUCGAAAUUUCUAUUAAUUUACAAAAGAAAUUUCCUAGUACUUUAUGCUGUAUAUAAUUUGAAAAAUUAUGACUGACCGACUUACUUGCAAAGUAUUGGCAAGAAAGUUAAAGAAUUAGAGUUUUUAAAUAUUUAAAAUUAUAAUUUUAAAUUCUAAGAAAAAAAUCAAUUAUUUUUAAAAUUGUUUUAAAAAAUAAAAGCAUCAACUAGCUAAAUGAAUCUAUUAAAAUAAAUAAAAAAAUAAUUAGUAAAAUCAAGUGAAUAAUCCAAAAAUAACAAGAAAAUAGAGAUAUUUCCUAAAUAUGAUUCCAGUUUGUAUUUGCUAACAUAAAUAGCAUACACGAACUUUAUUAUAAUAGUAUAUUUGAUAUUUAAAAAAAAAACUUAUAUAUAUUAUAUGGGUUGGAAACCCAUUUUUUAUUAAAUUUUAAAUUUUAUAUGUUUAAAAAUAUUUUUUUAUAUUUUUUAAUUAUUUUAAUAUGAUAAUAUCAAAAAUAAAUAAAUAAAAUUUUUCUAACUCUUACUACUUCUGACUUGCUAUGACUCGAAAUUCGUGGUGCUCUCUCCUGCAAAUGAAUACAAAGCAUAUCCUUUCUCUUUCUCCUAUAUGAAGAAUACAAUUAGAAAUUUCCUUGGUUUACUCUUCAGAUUACUUUUCCAUGCACGAAACUUUAUGCCAAUUAGCAACCACUGUGAAAUUACAACUCAAAAUCCCAUGAAUAUAUAAAAAAAAAUUAGAAUUUGACUAGAAAAAUUCUAUCAAAUUCUCUACUUUGUUAGUGUUCAUUUUCCUUCUUUUUUUACCAUAUCUUCAGUUGGGACAAAAUUAUCUUCCCCAAACGAUAGACCUUUAUUUUCCUUCUUUUUUAGUUUAUUAGUAAUUACAUUAAAGAAAAAUAUUAAUUAGUAAUUUUACAUUUUUUUUCUAUAUUAUAAUUAUCAAAUAACCCUUAAAAAAUUUUAUUUUAACCUUUUUUUUCUCUCUUUUUUUUUCAAUUUAUUUGUUAAUUUAAUUUUUUUUUUAAUUUUACCUUCCGGUUCAAAAUUUUAGUUUAUUCUCUCAAUUUAUUUUUCAAAUGAUGUUCUUAUUCUCUUAAUUGCUAUUUUUUAUCCUUCAAUCUUUUUAUUUUAUCAUUCAACAAUUCAUUAAUUGGGAUCUGGUCUCAUUGGUUUUUCCUAUUGUUUCUAAACUCUACCCAAUAGUCAAUCCAGUAUAAUUAUCAAGUUACGAGUUGAGUGGAUUGACUCGAGUUAAUCUAAGGCAACCAAAUCUUUUUGUUUUAUAAAAAGCCAAAAUGAUGCCAAUUUUUUAUUUUUAAAAAAUAAAAAACGAGUUUUGAUCUUGUUUCGGCUAGAUUUUCUCAUGAUUAACUAAAACAUUGAUCAACCUAGAUUUUUUAUUGUAUUACAUUAGAUCAAUUCUACCUCAAUUGUUUUUGAAACUCGGGCCGUUUUAAACUAAAGAUCACCUGGGACACAGUUUCUUGGCGCUUUGUACUGUAUAUAAUUUGAAAAACUGUGAUUGACCGACUUACUUGCAAAGUAUUUGCAAGAAAGCUAAAGAAUUAGACUUUUUCAAUAUUUUAAAUUGUAAGAAAAAAUCAAUUGUUUUUUUUAAAUUAAAAAAUAAAACAUCAACUAUUUAUAUAAUAGCUAAAUGAAUCUAUUAAAAUAAAUAAAAAAUAACUAGUAAAAUUAAGUAAAUAAUCCAAAAAUAACAAAAAUAAAUAAAAAUGUAUUUUUUAAAAACUUUUAUCUUAUAUGGGUUGGGGUUGCUAUGCAACUUAACCGGGAUCACCAUGAUUGUCGAGUAGAGUAAAUAAAUUACUUAACCGGGAUCACCAGAGGAGUUAUUUGCCAAGAUUAAGUUAUAUAACAGUUUAUAAAUCAUGCUAUCAUCUUCAUCACCAUAUAUAAAGUUUUAUAAUAAAAAAAUAUUUAAAAAAACAAUUUUCAUUACAUUUUCAAAUUAGUUAAAGUUUUUCAAAUGAAUGGAUUGAUGUCGAUGACACUCUCUAGUCAGUUUUGAGAAUUUUAAAUCCAAACAAGUGAAUUUAUAUUGUAUAUGGAUCAAGCAAGCAUGCUUGUACAAUAAUUUCUUAUACUCAAUAGAAAUUUGGGUUUAUCAUUACAAACCGUAUUUUAAAAUACUAUUGCCAAAAGAUCAUAUUAUUUAUUAAAACAAGAAAGGACCAAAGUUAAUAAAUAGUAGCAUGCUCGAAACUUCGUGAUACCAAAGUUAAUAAAUAAUAAAGUUAAUAAAUAGUAGCAUGCUUUAAAAGAGUGUUACAGUAAAAGCACAGAAAGAAGAACGGUUCAAGACAGAACUAUAAUGUUAACGCGUGGGACCCAUUUGUUGCAACCAGCACGAAACUCCAGCUCAAUAUUUACCAGCACUACACGCUUGAGUAAUUUCCUUGCGUUUUUUUUCCUCUACCGCUCUACGUGUUACCUUUUACCUCUUUUAUAAUUAUGAUUUAUUAACGAGAAUAAAACAAUUCUGUGUAAAUUAUACAAAUUUCCAUUGUUGCUUUUUUUCUUGCACGUGUUAGAUUUUUAUUUUUUAUAAUUAUAAUUAUUGCAUUGCUAAUAAUUUGCAAGAAAGAAUAUUCUUUCUCUGCUUAAGAAAACCCUAAGCAUUGUAGAUAAUCUCUUAUAGGAAUCUCUUUAUUAAAUCAUCAAAAUAUCAGAGUCUAUUUCCAAAUACUAUUACGACAGUCUAUAUAAAGAAUACAAUUAACCUCAUUUCAAUAUCAUAGCUUUGGAAUUUCAUAGCUAACUCUUUGUUAUAUUGCUCCAUUGGUAAUUGAUUGUGCCUUGAUUUCUGCAGCUGCCAUGACAGAGCCAGAGUCUUCUCGAUCUAGACCAGAAGGCGCCUAUGAUGUCUUCUUGAGUUUUAGAGGAGAAGACACUCGCCAGACAUUUACAGAUCAUCUAUAUACUGCCUUGGUCCAGGCAGGAAUCCACACUUUUCGAGAUGAUGAUGAACUUCCGAGAGGAGAAGAAAUCUCCGAUCAUCUCCUCAGGGCAAUUCACGAAUCAAAGAUAUCCUUAGUUGUCUUCUCAAAAGGAUAUGCUUCUUCUAGAUGGUGUCUCAAUGAACUUGUAGAGAUUCUUCAGUGCAAAAAUAGGAAAACCAAUCAGAUUGUUCUUCCUAUAUUCUAUGACAUUGAUCCUUCAGAUGUGAGAAAACAGAAUGGCAGUUUUGCAGAAGCAUUUGUUAAACAUGAAGAGCGUUUUGAAGAGAAGUUGGUGAAGGAGUGGAGAAAAGCUCUUGAGGAGGCUGGAAAUCUAUCUGGAUGGAAUCUCAAUGAUAUGGCAAAUGGGUAUGUCUUUUUUCCAAAUUUAUGGAGUCAAUAUACUUUACAUUUUUCAAUGUGAAACAAUAAAAUGCUUAAUUGACUCGCUAUCAAUGACCUGCUUUUGUCUAUGAGCAGGCAUGAAGCAAAAUUUACCAAAGAGAUUAUCAAGGAUGUGUUGAAGAAAUUAGAACCCAAGUACUUAUAUGUUCCUGAGCACCUAGUAGGUAUGGAUCGGCUUGCUCGCAGUAUUUUUGACUUUCUAAGUACUGCAACAGAUGAUGUACGCAUUGUGGGCAUACAUGGGAUGCCAGGAAUAGGAAAGACAACUAUAGCAAAAGUUGUAUUUAAUCAACUCUGCUAUAGAUUCGAGGGAAGCUGCUUUCUUUCGAAUAUCAAUGAAACAUCAAAACAAUUCAAUGGUCUGGCUCUUUUACAAAAGCAACUUCUUCAUGAUAUUUUAAAACAAGAUGUUGCUAACAUCAAUUGUGUCGAUAGAGGAAAGGUUCUGAUCAAAGAGCGACUUUGUCGCAAAAGAGUUCUUGUUGUUGCUGAUGAUGUUGCUCGUCAGGACCAGCUAAAUGCUUUGAUGGGAGAGCGAAGUUGGUUUGGUCCCGGAAGUAGAGUGAUUAUUACAACAAGAGAUUCUAGUGUUCUACUUAAAGCAGAUCAAACAUAUCAGAUCGAAGAAUUGAAACCAUAUGAGUCCCUUCAGCUUUUCCGAUGGCAUGCCUUGAGGGACACAAAGCCAACAGAAGAUUAUAUUGAGCUUUCGAAGGAUGCAGUUGAUUACUGUGGAGGACUUCCUUUAGCUCUUGAGGUUAUGGGUGCUUGUCUGUCCGGGAAAAACAGAGAUGGUUGGAAAUGUGUAAUUGAAAAAUUGAGAAGAAUUCCACACCACGAUAUUCAAGGAAAGCUUAGAAUAAGUUUUGACGCACUGGACGGUGAAGAACUACAAAAUGCAUUCCUUGACAUCGCUUGCUUCUUUAUUGAUAGAAAGAAAGAGUACGUCGCAAAAGUGCUAGGAGCCCGUUGCGGUUACAAUCCAGAAGUUGAUUUGCAAACUCUCCAUGAAAGGUCUCUAAUUAAAGUUAAUGCCAUUGGGGAGAUAACCAUGCAUGAUCUAUUACGAGACAUGGGAAGGGAGGUCGUUCGUGAAUCGUCUCCAAAAGAACCUGGAAAGAGGACCAGAAUUUGGAAUCAAGAGGAUGCAUGGAAUGUACUUGAGCAGCAGAAGGUAAGAGCUCAAUGCAUACACGAAAGCAUGGUCAAUGUUGUAUUUUCUAGUCAAACUUAUUACAUAUAAUUGUAUGAAAGUUGUAUUGUUUUUUUUUUAGGGUACCGAUGUUGUAGAGGGUGUUGCACUGGAUGUCAGAGCAUCAGAAGCUAAAUCACUGAGCACAGGAUCAUUUGCAAAAAUGAAAUGCUUAAAUUUACUCCAAAUCAACGGAGCACAUCUCACCGGAUCCUUCAAACUGCUUUCUAAAGAGUUGAUGUGGAUUUGUUGGCUUCAAUGUCCUUUGAAAUAUUUUCCAUCUGAUUUUACCUUGGACAAUCUAGCUGUUCUUGAUAUGCAGUACAGUAACCUUAAAGAACUAUGGAAGGGAAAAAAGGUGAGAAACAUGCUGCAAUCCCCAAAAUUUCUCCAGUAUGUAAUUUAUAUUUACAUGUUACGACUUCUUAAGAUUAAUUUUCAUUAUUUUGCGCUCUAUUAUACAGAUUCUCAACAGGCUAAAAAUCCUUAAUUUCAGUCAUUCUCAGAACCUUGUUAAAACACCAAACUUGCACAGUUCAAGUCUAGAGAAACUAAUUCUGGAAGGUUGCUCGAGUUUAGUUGAGGUGCAUCAAUCAAUUGGACAUUCGACGAGCCUCGUUUUCUUGAAUCUGGAGGGAUGUUGGAGUCUGAAGACUCUCCCUGAAAGCAUUGGCAAUGUAAAGUCUCUUGAAACUCUGAAUAUUUCUGGGUGUUCACAACUUGAGAAAUUGCCAGAACGCAUGGGUGAUAUGGAAUCCUUAACUGAGCUGCUAGCCGAUGGGAUUGAAAAUGAGCAAUUUCUCUCUUCAAUUGGACAAUUAAAGCAUGUCAGAAGGUUAUCAUUGUGUCGAAACCGUUCGGCUCCACCAAGUUCUUCUUUGAUUUCAGCAGGUGUUUUGAAUUGGAAACGGUGGCCGCCAACAUCUUUCAUUGAAUGGAUAUCAGUGAAACGUCUUGAGCUUUCUAAUGGUGGUUUGUCUGAUCGCGCAACUAACUGUGUUGAUUUUAGGGGUUUGUCCGCUCUAGAGCAUUUGGAUCUAGAUGGAAACAAAUUCUCUAGCCUUCCUUCUGGGCUCGGCUUCCUUCCCAAGCUAAGGUGGUUGUCUGUUCAGGCAUGCAAAUAUCUUGUAUCAAUCCCAGAUCUUCCCUCAAGUUUAGACUUUUUGUUUGCAGCUCAUUGCAAAUCAUUGAAAAGAGUAAGAAUACCAAGCGAGCCAAAAAAAGAACUAUAUAUAGGACUAGAGAACAGUCAUUCGUUAGAAGAGAUUCAGGGCAUCGAAGGUCUAAGUAAUAGUUUCUGGUAUAUUCGUGUUGAUAAGCACAAUAAUUCACCAAAUAAAUUACCGAAAAACGUUAUUGAGGUACUAUUUCUUUCAGUCUCUCUUGCACAAAAAGUAAACACACAAUUAGCACAUGCAUCGAUAUUUAUUAUAUGUCAUCGAUAUUGAAUAAUGAUUUAUUUUCUAGCAUAAAUUAUGUUUGAAAUAAAAUUGAUAAAAAACAUGAAUACACAAUUAUUGAUGGGAUGGUAUAUAAAAAUAAUUAAAUUGAAAUUUUUUAAUUAUUUUUAAACAUAUCAUGGUUUUAGGUACAUCAUUAAAUUAUAAAAAAAAUUAUGUAUUUUUCUGAUAUAUAUAUAUAUAUAUAUAUAUAUAUAUAUAUAUAUGGCAAUAACAAAUUAAAUGAUUAUAACAAGAAAAUAGAAAUUAGUUUGAAUAAAUGUUACCAGUUCUAUUAAUUUGAACGGUACAUCAUUCACCGAAUAAAUUACAGAAGAGCGUUGUUGAGGUACUAUUUCUUUCCGUCUAUCUUUCACACAAAAAGAAACACACACAAUUGGCACAUACAUUGAUUAAUGUCUAAAAUCUCAGCAUUCCUUGAAAUCAAUAUGUAUAUAGGCAAUAAUUAUUAUUAUUAUUAUUAUAUUUAAAAAAACAAAUAUCAUCUUUAAUAAUAUUUUUUAUUUUUCUUAUUUGAUCUAAAAAAUUAAAUAUUAUCUUUAAUAAUAUUUUUUUAUUAAAUAUUUAAAGUCUGAUUGGUUUUAUUUUUUAUUUCUUGAUUUUAUGAUAAUAUAUUUAUACAGUUAAUGUGCAACGGUCGUCACGGGUAUUCUUUCUUUUGGGAUGUCGCCGGGAGUUUAAUUUCCGAGUGUAAAAAUUAUGUAUAAAUUUCUAUUCUUUCCUUUCAUCCAUUACUUGUCCUCUAUGAAGAUUCUAUGUAUGAAAUCUCGGAAUCUUUUCGAGUAUAACUUGGGAUCAACAGCUGAGAUAGACGUGGGAUCCACUUGUAAGGACUUUUAUGCAUGCUCUAGCUUUUUGCUGAUAUCAUAAUCCUGGAGGAUGUCAAUGAUACCAAAGUGAAGAACUACAUCGAAGAUCUCAUUACCAUUAUGUGAAGGUGUUGAAUUGUUACUUCCACCCCCCAUGCACUGAUCCAUUUCAGUAGUCCUCAUUACACUCUCGGCUCUUGCAGGCACAUUUGCCCCCAGCCGGAUGAAUGGCCCCCUGGAACAGAUUUCACAUGAGUACUACAGAUAAAAUCUAGACAUUGCAUCACAUAAUCACCAAAAUUCAAAGUAACAAAACGAAGAACAAAAUGUGAUAACAAUGACAAUGAUCACUCAACCACAGCCGAAUCUUACGCUUUGAAGACACUUUUCAUCAUUAAUUUUCCUUUUCACAUUGAUUUUCAAUGUUCCGGGCAGAUAAAAUAGCAUUGAUUUACAACCAUGGUUUUAAGGCAUCAUUAUUGGCAAAAACAUUGUAGGAUCAUGCACAUUUAACUAGUUGUUAAUUGAUUUUCAACCAGAUAAAAUAGCAUUGAUUUUCAAUGUUCCUUUAUCCUUGUAGUCUAAGAAAAUAUUAUUUAAUUCUUUUGUUUUCAUAUUCAUCUAUGAUUUAAUGUGUUGAUUGAAAUUGACAAUUGAGUUGUUAGUAAUAGCAAAAGGCAUGUACAAUCAUGCACAUUUAACUUUCUUUUUAAAUUUAAAAGUUCUAUUGAAUUUGAUGGUUUUUUAGGAUACAAAAGACUUGAAUUGACGUGAGAGUACAAGAUCAUUUUACGUGGAGAUGCUUGGAGUUGCUCCAAAUCAGUACAGUACUUCUACCUGACAUGUUGAUAUGUAUUUGUUGGCUUGAAGAUCAUUUUCCAAGUUUGGAAGUUUUAUUGAAUUCUCUUUCAAAUCUUUUCCAUCCGCUUUUAUGUUGGACAACCUAGUUGUUAAUUAUUUUCCAUGAUGUAAUUUAUAUUUUCAAGUGUUGAUCGAAAUUGACAACCUAGUUUUAUUUAAUUAAUGUGUUGAUUGAAAUUAAGAAUUAAAGGUUUAAUUAAAUGAAAUACAGCUUUAAAGAACACAUCAACUACAUUUCAUAUGCUCAACUCUCAGCAAAUUGAAAUUUCAAGGCUAUUUGAAUCUUGAAAACACAAUCUCAAUAAUCUUAAUGUGAUGAGUGAUUUCUUUUCUAUUUUUUUUUCUUUGGAUCAAAAGGGUCUUAUUGAAUUAUUAUUUGUUAGGUAACUAAGAUUUAUUGAUGUUAAAAAUAGCACUAAGUUUUUGGCAUGACAAUUGGUGAGAAGCAAAAGCAACAGCAAUCCAUCAGGUUCAUCACCAUCCUAUCGCUUUGCCGUACUGUUUAUCUUCUUGGCAUUGUUCAAAGGAACGCAAAAGACAUUCCAAGUGUGAAAGUGUGUGUGAAAGUGUAUUAUUGUCAUAAAGUUUUUCAAACUUCCAAUAUAGAGAGUGAAAUAAAGAGCAAAAGGAAACAUCUUUCUUGUUCCCUUCCCCUUCUUUACAUGGCUUACUCAAUGAAAAAGCAAUUAAACACCCCAUUUGAUUUUCAAUAAGUAUGAGAAUGCGAAAGAGAGAGGCCAAGGGGUUCCUUGAAUAUUUUCUUCUUUUUUAUCUCGCUCACUGGGGCAAACCAUCUUUUUCAAAAUUUUGAAUAUUAGCAUGCCAUCAAAAAGAAUUUUGUUCAAUCCCAAUCCCACAUUGUCUGUAGAAGUAUUUACUUUUGACUGUACACUUUGUUAUUUUCCAAUCCCUCCCCAGUUCUGCAACCAUUUCUCUACUUUCUAUGCUCUUGGCUUGCUAAAAACUUUUAUCCUUGAUUGUAGUUAGAAAUAAAUUGGUUUUCUAGGAAGAGAUUAUUGAUUGGGAUAUAAUAUUUAAGUUGGUUCUUCAUCAUUUAAUGUUAUAAUUUAAAAUAAUUGAUGAAAAUUACUGUACACAAAAAAGUUGUGAGAACAUCCUUAAUUAGUCUAAUAAGUAAAGUGUUGUUAGUUUUGACUAUAAGAUCUUGUUAUGUAUUAUUGCAUAGUUUUUACUAUUUUUUCGGUAUUUUUUCUUUUUUAUAUACAACUUUUAUUUUUCUUGCCAGUUUGUCAUGGCACCAACACCAAUUAAUAAUAAAUCUUAGACUAUUAUUAAAUAAAGAAAAAACAUAAACAUGGUUAAAAUACCAAACUUGAAUUGCUCAAACCUAAAGAAACCCUAUGACAAUAAUCUAAUUUAGAAAAUAAUUAAUUUAUCCUUGUAGUCCAAGAAAAUAGUAUUUAAUUCUUAUGUUUUCAUAUUCAUAUAUGAUUUAAUGUGUUGAUUGAAAUUGUCAAUGGAGUUUACUCACAUAUUGUUAUAUUGAUUUUGAGUUCAAAUAGAUGUUUAAAAAGAGAGUUUUUUCAUGAAUGCAACCCUUCAUGUAGUCCAAGAAAAUUAGAAGAAUUAAUAAGUUUGCGGACUUAAUUAAACUUUGAGUUAAUUAAUCAAAUAAAUUCAGGGAUUUAAUUAAAAUUAACCUAAGGGCACAAUUAGAAAUCAAUUAUUACUGAUUAGGAUCCCAAUUGUUGAGAUUAAAUUGAUUAGGGGUCAAAGUGAAUAUUUCCAUUCCUGUCGAAAUGACACCGUGGUUGGGGAACAGUCGUGUAUCUUCUUCAUUCCGAUUCAACAGGGAAGCUGGAAAAUCGGCAGUAAAACCGACCCAAUCGUGACCACGUUCUCUGCCCACAAUCCCGUUCGUGGAGGGAUAACAGUCCUGCAAAGCCAGGACUGGUUUGAGGGGCAAGCUCUUAGGGGCCUUAUAAAAGGCAGAGUAGAGCAGAAAAAGGGAGGGGAAGAACACCGGGAAAAGACCAGAGAGCCGAAAAAUCAACCCAGAAAAACAGAGUUGAAAAAAAAAAGGGCAGAGAAAACAGAGCACAAAUCCAAAUACAGAGAGAAAGAGAGAACAAGAGGGCAGGACACAGUGAGGAGAAUUAUCCUUGAAAUUGUCUUCGGACCUGCAAACAAAGAAAAACCCGGAUUCAGCCAAAGAACACUCACAACAAGCCGGAAUCUUCUUUGUAGCUGUCACACCCGGACAUCGCGGCGACCAAUUAAAAAUUAUUAAAUCUUUGGAAAAGAACGGAUUUCUGGCAUCCUGUUCUUUAAUGGGGAAUGGUCUUUGUUUAAGGAGUCGCCACCUAGUAUUAUGGUCACUAGGAACACUAACUGGUCAACAGAGAUUCUAUGGUUCGAGACUGGUUACGUAAAAGGGAAGAUAUUAUCACCCCUUAAACGUCCUGCCUAAGGCAGGCUGCAUUGCUAGUUUCGUCUUAAAUUGCUAAAUGUUUAUUACUUUAUGCUAUGAAAAUUUGCUUAUAAUAUUCCUGACUCUGGCGCCAGUGAAUAUUCAACUAUGAAUAUUUCCAACUCUGGCGUUGGUAAAUAUUACGUAGCUAUAAAAUAAAUUAGAUCAAUAUUUUAUUUUAUUCCCGACUCUGGCGCCAGUGAAUAAAUAAAUAAUAAUAAAUUUAUUUUUUACAAAUGCAAAUAUUUUUUAUAUUUCUAGCUAAAUAAAAUAAAAUACAAUGAAUAAAAAUAAUAUAAAUUUAAACCGGUAUUUUUAUUCCUGACUCUGACGUCAGUGAAUAAACCAAUAAAUUUACAUUAUUUUUAUUCAUGCAUACACAUUUUUAUUUUUUUAUUUUUUCUGUUUUUUUAUAUAUGUUUAUUUUUUUUUUUUUAAAGGACUAAGCUUCACACGUGUAUGCAAAAGUAGUGAAUUAAAUUUGCCUAUGUACAGUACCCAUGCCCGACACCCCACGUGAAUAAAAAAAAAAAGAAAAAAAAAAAAAAGAAUUGCAAAGCAAAGGGAAAUGAAGAACUUACCUGUGCAGGAGGCGAAGUCGAAGACGGUGGCGAAGGUGUGCUGAAUUGCCAAAGCUACCUUCUCUCCUUCUCUGUUUUUAUUCUUCGUCCGCUUCUCCUCUGGUUUUGCUUUUCUUUGCUUUGAUUGCUUCUCUUAUUCUUCCUGUCUCCCCCCUGUGUUUGCUUGUUCUCAGUUCGCUUGUGUUUUCUUUUUUAUAUGUUGUUCAGGGAAUGGAGGAGCUGGUGUAAGUGGAGACAAAGCAGCUGAUGCCUGAGAGGGCGUUGUACUGCUGCUGGAGCUGGAAGAGGCGCGCGUUGCUGGUUGCUGAUGCAUGCUCACGAUGCAUGGAAGUGGCUGAGUUGCUACUAAUCUUGACGAUACUGGUUUCGUCCGCUGUAAAAGUUUUCGUGCCCCUGCAUCCGAUCAAAGCUUGUGCUUUUCCAAGCAAAAGCCAUGGUCCCUUGAAACUCAGCAGAUUUUCGGAGCAAGGAGGAUCGCAUGCCAAUGUAGUUCAUGGUUCUGGUUUAGAGGCAGACGUGGCGGAGAUUAAUGGUGAUUGGGACCACAGCCUAGAAGGUGACCGGGAGGAAGAUGAUCUCAAGCCUUUAUUUGCUUUUUUUUUUUUUGUGAGGAGUUUGCAGAUCCCGGGGGUUGAGAAUGAAGAAUGAAAAAUCAAUUUGAUGGGGAAGAGAUUGAGGCCAGGCAAGAAGGGAGGAAAAGGCUGGGGGGAGGGGGAAGCGACGGCUAGUCUAGGACUCGGCCGCGCCCUCCUUUUUUUUUUUAAAUGUCUUUUGUUUCUUUUCUUUUUUUAUAGGUUUUUGGUAAUGGUCUUCUCUUGGGUUUUUUUUUUUGUGUCGUUUAGGGUUCCUCUCUAAUCAUCCCCUCUCCUUUUCUUUCCCCUGAGAUCUGUAUUUAUAGUGCCAGAGUCCCUUCGCUUGUGAGAAACCAAGUUUCAAUCAAACUCAUUCUUUUUUUUGAAGUUUGAAUUUUAUUAAGAAUCAAAUUUGAAAGCGGAUAACUAUCAUUAUCUUAAAGACAAGGAUUAUCUCGAAGAUAAAGAUUAUCUUGAAGAUAGGGAUUAUCUUGAAGAUAAAGAUAGAAUGAUAAAAGCACAUUGUAGUCCUUAAUUUUCACGGAAGUUGACAAAUCACACUUUUCAUUGAAAUAAAUCUCUGAUCUUUUAAUUUUUCAUUUUAAACCCUGUAAAAAUUAAAUUAAAAAUCAAAGGGCCAAAAUUGGGUUAUGACAGUAGCUUUAGAAGUUACAGAGAAAUCAAGAAGGAAAGCACAGACAAGUGGUCACAGAAGGAAAACCAGAGGAGCAUUAGGCGAGAAUCAUCAAGCAGCGCUGCAAGCAUCUUCGGUCUCCAGAAGCAGGUAUGACUUCGUCCCCUUUGCAUCUUCAUUUCAAAAAGUGAUUCUGUGUUACAAGAACACUGUGUGAAGGUAAUUUAAUUACCUUCACUAGUGUUCGGGCACGCGUGAACAAGUCACGCGUGCCUUUAGUUUUUGCCCAGCCGGGUCACUGGCUUGGGCCAGUGACCGGGCUGGGCUGGCUAGGCCCAGCCCAGCCCCAAAAUUUUUUUGCUGGGCUGGGCCCACCCCACCCAGUUCAAAAAAUAAUAAAAAUAAAAAAUAUGUAUGUAUAGAUAAAAAAUAAUGUAAAUUUAUUGGUUUAUUCACUGACGCCAGAGUCAGGAAUAAAAUACCAGUUUAAAUUUAUAUUAUUUUUAUUCGUUGUAUUUUAUUUUAUUUAGAUGAAUAAAAAUAAUGUAAAUUUAUUGGUUUAUUCACUGACGCCAGAGUCAGGAAUAAAAAUACCGGUUUAAAUUUAUAUUUUUUUUUAUUUGUUGUAUUUUAUUUUAUUUAGCUAGAAAAAAAUCAAAAAAAAUGUGCAUGCGUAAAAAAUAAAUUUAUUUUUGUUUAUUUAUCACUAGCACUAGAGUCAGGAAAAUAAAAAAAUAUUAAUCUAAUUUAUUUUAUAGCUACGUGAUAUUUACCAACGCCAGAGUUAGAAGUAUCCGUAGUUUAAUAUUCACUGGCGCCAGAGUCGGGAAUAUUAUAAGUAAAUUAUCAUAUCGUAAACUAAUAAACAUUUAGCAAUUCAAGACGAAACUAGCAAUGCAGCCUGCCUCAGACAGGACGUUUAAGGGGUGAUAAUAUCUUCCCUUUUACGUAACCAGUCCCGAACCAUAGAAUCUCUGUUGACCAGUUAGGGUUCCUAGUGACCAUAAUACUAGGUGGCGACUCCUUAAACAAAAAUCAUUCACCAUCAAAGAAUAGGAUGCUAGAAAUCCAUUCUUUUCUAAUUUUAAUUUUUUAAGACCGCCGCGAUGUCGGGUGUGACAAGGAGUGAUUUCUUUUCUAUUAUUUUUUUUCUUUGGAUCAAAAGGGUCUUAUUGAAUUAUUAUUUGUUAGGUAACUAAGAUUUGUUGAUGUGAAAAAUUUGGCAUGGCCAUCGGUGAGAAUCAAAAGCAGCAGCAAUCCAUCUGUGAAGCCGUACACCACAUCAGGGCCCCAACAUUUAGACUUUUGAUGGCAACCAAAGCUAAAUUUAAAAACAGGACCAUCUGAGAAGCCGGCAUACAACAACAGGUCAAAGAUCCAAUUUCCAAAAAUAAACCAUGUAUCAUGUAGUUUAACAUCUCUAAGCAUGAUUUUUGCAAUAAUCAUCUAUGCUUUACCAUUCAUAUCUUUCACCACAGUUCUCUGUCACCACUUCACAUGCACACAUUCCAAAAAAGAGAUAGCAUGGAAAAAUGUCUUUGCUUGCCGUAAAAAAUACAAGGGCUAAAACCUAACAUAAGGAAAAUAGAUUGGGAAAAGGAAAGCAGAACCAAAGCAAGGCACUAACAAUUAGGAGGGGCAAAAACAUGAAUUCUGAAAAGGAAAAUACAUUCCGGCCUUCCAUGACCCAAUCCAUAUUGGGCAGCAAAUGAUAACCCCGCAUCGAUGUUUCCUCGUGAUGUGAAUUUCUUUUUUCUGAUACAGAAACACAAAACCAAAUUACCUCAAGGUCUAUUGUUGUUGUAAAUUUUUAAGGUAGCAGAAUUACAGGAUAAAAGUAAUUUACCAAAAUGCUUAUGGAUAAUUGGCUCUUCCAUCCAGCAUUAAUUCUAUUAUCAAUUAUAGUUCAGUCACUGGUUGUAGAUAAAUUUUUUUAAGAUAUUAUCAAGUUUUAUUUUUAUCAUUAAAAUUUAGAAUUAAUUCUAUUACGUAUUUAAAUGUGUUUAGUUACCUUGUAAACCGUAUGGUAGAGUCCCUCAAAUAUUCUGGCCACAGCAAAUUGUAUGGGGCUUGCAACCACUAUAUUUUAUGCCAAGCUAAUAAUAUUUUUUUUUCUAAAUUAAAGAUUAAUAUUUUUUGUUCGCAUCAAAUAAUUAAAAAUGAGAAUUUCAGAGCAGAGGGUUUAAGAAAUAUUAAAAGAGAAGGUUUUACGUAAUUAUUAUAUAAUUGAAAUUGUCACUAAUCUCCUUUGUUCAUUUUCUUUUUCUAUUACCCCUUCCAAUCAGCAUGCACGAAACUUUAUGUCACUCAAAUGAUACAAAUGCUUUCACCGUUUUAUGCUGAUUGUUUAUUAUUAUUUUUUUUUUUUUAAUGAAAGUGAUUGUUCAGGCCAGUUUAUAUGUAUUUUGAAGUUAACGAUCAUAUAAACUUCCAGUGACCUUGAAGUUUGUAGGACUCGAACUGAUAAUUUCUAAAAAGUAAACUUAAAGUCUAAUUAGUUGAGUUAUACCUUUCAGAAUUACAAAAUUACAUUGCUUGUUAAAUUAAUAAAGUUAUUAGUUGCUAUAAAGUAAGAGAUAAGAAAGUAUCUAGGAAUAUGGUAAAUAUUGUGUUUUAAAAUAUAUUAAAAUAAUAUUUUUUUAUUUUUAAAAUUUAUUUUUAAUAUUAUUACAUCAAAACUAUAUAAAAUUUUUUUCAGAAUAUCAAUUCAACCGUACUCCAAAGAACACUCAUACUCCAAUAUCAGCAACCACCACGAAAGUUACCACUCAAUAAUUUAUUCUUUGACAAUUAUUGCAUUGCUAAUAAUUUGCAAGGAAACAUACUUUCUAACCGAUACUCAAUCGAUCUGCACCUACCACGAAAUUACCAAUAAGAGUCUGUUUGAUAUUUUUCCAACUUUUACUAUUUUACUUCAAAGUUUCAAUAAUUGUUUUUUCAUUACAUAUUCUUUCCAACGUGUAAUAAUUUGGAACCACUCGCAAUAAAUAAAGCCAGCAAAGCCAGAUGUGUUUGUCUAUAUAUACAUGAACUGCUGAUUCGAUUUGAACACCCCAUUUCUCCGAUUCAAUAACUUCAGUUGCAAAACUUCUCUCUCCGAUUGCUGCAAUUUCAAAGCUAACUCUUUAUUAUACAGAGGUAUAUAUGGCUAACUCUUCUUUGCUUCUUUCUCGUUUUAAUUUCAUGUCUUUACCAAGAAUAAUAAUGUGAAAGCUUUGCUUGUUUCAUGUUUAACUUCAGUUGCUAUUGUCUUAUGCUCUCUCAUUAUUAAGCUUAAAUUGCUGUAUUAUCUUCGAUGAUCACUUCACAUGUAUCAGCAAUUGCUAAUUGAUUGUUCCUUAAAUUCUGCAGCUGAAAUGACAGAGCCACAGUCUUCUCAUUCUAGACCAGAAGGGGCCUAUGAUGUCUUCCUGAGUUUUAGAGGAGAAGAUACCCGCAAGACAUUUGUAGAUCAUCUAUAUACUGCCUUAGUCCAAGCAGGAAUCCACACUUUUCGAGAUGAUGAUGAACUUCCUAGAGGAGAAGAAAUCUCCGAGCAUCUUCUCGAGGCAAUUCGAGAAUCAAAGAUAUCCAUAGUUGUCUUCUCAAAAGGAUAUGCUUCUUCUAGAUGGUGUCUCAAUGAACUUGUAGAGAUUCUGAAGUGCAAAAGGAAGAAAACCGGUCAGAUUGUUCUUCCUAUAUUCUAUGACAUUGAUCCUUCAGAUGUGAGAAAACAGACUGGCAGUUUUGCAGAGGCAUUUGAUAAGCAUGAAGAAGAGCGUUUUGAAGAGAAGUUGGUGAAGGAGUGGAGAAAAGCUCUUGAGGAUGCCGGAAACCUAUCUGGAUGGAGUCUCAAUGAUAUGGCAAAUGGGUAUUCCUUCUCUCUCUAAGAUUCACUUGCACACGUUUAUGGAGUAAUUUUACAUUACAUUUUUCAAUGUGAAGUAAUAAAAUAUUUCUUUUUAACAUACUUAAUUGACUUUCUAUCGAUGACUUGCCUUUUUUCUGUGAGCAGGCAUGAAGCAAAAUUUAUCAAAGGGAUAAUCAAGGAUGUGUUGAAUAAAUUACGUCGCGAGUGCUUAUAUGUUCCUGAGCACCUGGUAGGUAUGGAUCUUGCUCACGAUAUUUAUGACUUUCUAAGUACUGCAACAGAUGAUGUACGCAUUGUGGGCAUACAUGGGAUGCCAGGAAUAGGAAAGACAACUAUAGCAAAAGUUGUAUUUAAUCAACUCUGCAAUGGACUCGAUGGAAGCUGUUUUCUUUCGGAUAUCAAUGAAACAUCAAAACAAUUCAAUGGUCUGGCUCUUUUACAAAAGCAACUUCUUCAUGAUAUUUUAAAACAAGAUGUUGCUAACAUCAAUUGUGUCGAUAGAGGAAAGGUUAUGAUCAAAGAUCGACUUUGUCGCAAAAGAGUUCUUGUUGUUGCCGACGAUGUGGCUCAUCUGGACCAGCUAAAUGCUUUGAUGGGAGAGCGAAGUUGGUUUGGUCCCGGAAGUAGAGUAAUUAUUACAACAAGAGAUUCAAGUUUACUUCGUAAAGCAGAUCUAACAUAUGAGAUUGAAGAAUUGGAACCAGACGAGUCCCUUCAGCUUUUCAGCUGGCAUGCCUUUAAGGACACCAAGCCAGCAGAAGAUUAUAUUGAGCUUUCGAAGAAAGCUGUUGAUUUCUGUGGAGGACUUCCUUUAGCUCUUCAGGUUAUAGGAGCUCUUCUGUACAGGGAAAACAAUGAUAAAUGGGAAGGUGAAAUUGACAACUUGAGCAGAAUUCCAAACCAAGAUAUUCAAGGAAAGCUUCUAAUAAGUUUUGACGCACUUGAUGGUGAACUACAAAAUGCAUUCCUUGAUAUUGCAUUCUUCUUUAUUGGUAAAGAGAAAGAAUACGUCGCAAAAUUGCUAGGAGCCUGUUGCCGUUACAAUCCAGAAGUUUUGGAGAAACUCCGUGAAAGGUCUCUGAUUGAAAUAUUGGAAGAGACGGUAACCAUGCAUGAUCUAUUACGAGAGAUGGGAAGGGAGGUCGUUUUUAAAGCAAAAGGAUGCAUGGAAUGUACUUCAGAAAAACAUUAUGGAAUGUACUUCAGCAGCAGAAGGUACGAGCUCAAUGCAUACACAUAGCCAUGCGUAUUUUCUAGUCAAACUUAUUACAAAUAAUCAUAUAAAAGUUUUAUUGUUUUUUUUUUUCAGGGUACGGAUGUUGUAGAGGGUCUUGCACUGGAUAUGAGAGCAUCAGAAGCUAAAUCACUAAGCACAGUAUCAUUUGCAAAAAUGAAACGUUUAAAUUUACUCCAAAUCAAUGGAGCACAUCUCACCGGAUCCUUCAAACUGCUUUCUAAAGAGUUGAUGUGGAUUUGUUGGCAUGAAUGUCCUUUGAAAUAUUUGCCAUCUGAUUUUACCUUGGACAAUCUAGCUGUUCUUCAUAUGCAGUACAGUAACCUCAAAGAACUAUGGAAGGGA
rnacentral:lncRNA from 1 species